UUUGCUCAUACUCGUUCUUUCCUUGAAUGUAAUCAAAUAGCCUGGAAGAGGAUAUAUAAAGCCAUACGUUAACAUGACAUUUGUCCAAGACAGUUCAGUGUGUGAAGCACGCUGAAAGGACGAUAGAGAAUUAGAGAAUCAAAUGCUAUAAGGCUCUGAAGGGAUAAUUGAUCAAAUAUUUCAAUGACUACAUAUUUGUAAGGAUAACACAGCAACUAGUUCCUUUAAGGAAAGAACCCAAAAAAAAAAAAGAAUAGUUGAUUCUCAAUGAACCCCCAUUAGAUCUUAGUAAGAUGGUAAACCACUUUUACUCUCGAGUCGAAGUCCCUCAUGUGCAUAUAAUUUUUUCUUGAGUUCAAGUUCCUUUGUGUGCAUUUUUUUUUUCUACGACCUAUUAUGAGUCCAAUAUUGACCCUUGAAGGCUUAGAUAUUUGGACUAUGGCAAUUAAAAUAAAUCUAAGAUUUAAAGCACUAGGGAGGGAUGGAAUAAGGAAAUUCUAAAAUACAUAAUACAACCAAUUAAUGCAUGUAUGACAUACAUAAUUUAAUUUAAUAUAACCACUAUUUACACGGUAAUUUUUCAAAAUAAAUACGCACAUAUCAUAGUAUCAUUUGCCUAUUAUAUGAUUAAUACGGUAUCUAUAAUGCAUUUUAAAAUUUCUCGUCCAAUAAUUUAUAUUAAAAAGCAAUAUUAAGCAUCCCAGCAUUCAAUUCCUAAUUUGAGUCCUAACUAAUGCAGUAUCCAUCUAUUAUAUGGUGAUUAACAAAUUUUACAAACUCUAAAAUCCAUCAUCUAAAAAAAAAUAACACAUGGCAUUAGACCUCACUCAAAUGUUGGGAUCCUAACAUUAUUGCUAUAUUAAAACAGGUCUCGAAGACUUUCAUUAUAAUAUUCGAAAAAAUGAAAGAUUUAAAGUCCUAAUCUUGUAUUAUCUGGUUUUCUAUCUAUAAAAUAAUCGCUAGUCAAACAAAGCAACGACAAAAAACGUAAACAAACGAAAUCAACAAAUUAAAUAGAUUACUAAUAAUUCAGAAUUAAGAAAACAAUCUUACUGGAGAAAGCCAGUUCUGGUAGCUUGAACUAGAGAGAUAUCUUGAAUAGGGGAAGUAGACAUCCACAUGGACGAAUUAUAGCGACGAAUUGCAAAGCCAUUGCCAACAUGAACGGUCUCAAAGCUUGGACACUCAAUUCUGUUGCAUGUUGGUGGAAAUAUUUUCAACCCCUUUGAAGAUUCAGGCCAUAAACCCAAGCUCAGAUUUGAGAGUAGGCCCAGAAGAACUGAAAACUUUAACAUGCUCAAGCCUGCAGCCAUUUUUGUUUUUUGAGUGGAGAGACUUCUGGGUGCUCGAUGGUGAGGAUAAUGGAUGAGUAAUGCCUCAACGCAAAAAUAUUUAUCACCCACAGUGUUCGUGUUUUUGAACUGAUGAUUUUCUUGAGGUUCAUGUGAAGACACGUGUCGUAACUUUUUUCAUUUUUAAUUUAUCGAAAAAUCGAAAUUUAUGGAAAAAUGCUGACCAAAUGGGUCUUGGUGAUAAGGCUGACUUUUACUGUUUUAAACCUUUUUAACCAAACAAUUAGAUUUAGUAUUAAGUUGAGUUUUAAAAUUAUAAGUUUAAUUUAUUUUUUUACAAAUUUUGAGAUUAAUUUGUAUUAAUAUUAUAAGCUAAAUAGUAUAAUAUUUAUGUGUUACAUCAUGUAAGGAAUUAGUAAGAGAUCACCACGUGAUAACUUCUCAUUAAGAGAUUAUAGGAUUAUUUGUAGUUUAAUUAACUUAGGGAUAUUAUCAUUUUCCCACCAAAGGUAUUCUGACACAUUAUGUCAGUACCACGAUUUGGUAAAACCAUCAAUUUACUACAAAACGUUUAAACUAUUAGCAUUUUCUCAUUAUUCCGUUAAAAUUCAGUUAAUAUGUAAUGGAAAAUUUAUAAAAGAUCAAUUUUACCCCUGGAGCAUAAAAGACCAUGUAAUUAACCUUGAGCUUAUAAAAUUGAGCUUUUGCUUUAUCUCACCAACAAGUUGAGUUUUAUGUGAUUUAAGAUUAAAAUAUUAAUCAAACUACAAAAUUAUGUCAUUUAAGAAAUUAUAUUUAAGUAUUUACUUAAUCAAAGUUUUAGCUAACCAACAAGUGACUUAGAUUUAAAACUCUAGUUGAUCGCUCAUUUGAGAAUGUUAAUUCACUUACUUAGCAAUAUGUGGUAUUUUCUUUAAAGAUUUUGAAUUGUUUGAUGGUUGUGAGAGUAAAAUUUAAAAUAAUAAAAACUAAUAUAAUUAUCAUGUUAAUGUAAUAGUCUGAGUUUUAAAAAAAUUUUAAAAAUAAAUAUUUUUUUCCGUGUGAAAAGGAUCGAAAAAAGGUUUAUUCAACUAAAUAUUAUUUGGUCCCUAUCAUUUUAAAAGUUUAAUAUCUUACCUCAAAAUUAACAUACUUUUUAUUAAGCAUUAACCCCUCAAAAAAUUAAAUCCUAUGGCAUUUCGCUCCAAAAUUUCCAAUUCUUAAGUUGCCCUAACCAGAGGACCCAAUCCAUUUUUUUUUUUAAUUUUCUCCUAAAGAUUAUUUGGAUGUGAAUAAAAAACCCAUCCACUAAAUUCGUGUGAUAAUUAUAUGGUCUUUUACGCUCCAGGGGUAAAAUUGACUUUUUAUAAAUUUUCCGUUACAUAUUAACUGAGUUUUAACAGAAUGGUGAGAAAAUGCUAACAAUUUAAAUGUUUGAUGUAAAUUGAUGGUUUUACCAAAUUGUGGUAUUCACAUGAUGUGUCAGAAUACCUUUGGUAGGAAAAUGAUAAUAUCCCAUUAACUUAAUUUCAAUCAAUUAAGUCAUUAAAUUUGUCUAUCUUUCAACUUAAUAAUAAUUUUUAGUCAUUAUAUAAUUCAGUGUAGUUGUAGCCUCUACUAGAACCCGGGUUCGAUUCUUGGAGGUAGUAAGUGAGGUAAAAAAUAUAUUUAGGCUUGCCCACCCCCUUACCUUUAAAAUAAAAAAAAAAGUUAUUAAGCUAACAUUUUUAGCUUAGUAUUUAAUAUAAAAAAUAUGAAUAAUAUCAUUAAAAGAUAUUCUAUAAAAUAUCCUUAUAUACUUAAUUAAUUUUUAUCAUUACCUAAAUAAAAAUUAGUAAUUAGUAUUAUUACCUAUUUUAUAACUUGUGAUAAUAUAGUAGCAUACUAUUAGUAUUCUUGUCUUUUCAUUUUCUUCUUCAAAUUAGCAUUAUUUAUCUCCAUAAUUUUUUACGAAUAUUUUUCAUAAAAGAUUGUAUUCAAUUAAAAAUGAUUUAAGUAAUGAUAAUAUAUUACUUUAUUUAAAUUCUUUACAUGUUUAUUAUUUUUUAAUGUUUAUAAUUUGUAAGGAUAUAAAUAUAAAAAUACAAAUUUUAAAAAUUUUUUAAAUUAAAAAAAGUGAACAACUUAACAUUUAUUAUUAACAAUUCUGAUAAAAAAUAAACAUAUCAUUCCCUGUGAUAUUUAGAAUUCAGAUUAAUUUUAGAUGUAUUUAAAUUAAAAAAAAAAUACUAUCUGUGUCAUGAAAUCCACAGGUCAAGUCUCAAGAUGAAAGACUGACACGUCACAACGUUCCCCAUUAGCCACAUAAUAGUUAAAGGGUUUCCAUGGUAUAUACAGGGGCAAAUUUUGAAAGACUUGUGUUAAUUUUCUGAAGUAAUACGAGAUUUACAAACAUCGUGUAUCUCCGAGUCAAAUAUUAAAGACUUUGAAGUUUGCAAGAUUGAUAAUACCCACACUUGAACCCGCGAGAGUGUUCAUCACUGUUUUGGGACUAACUUUUUCUAGGUUAGUCAAGAGAUUUCUUUGAUAUAAAUCAAUUUUCAUGGAAUCUCUGUAAUGACUCAGUUGAGCGCACGCAUGGUGUUCGAUGAAAUUCCUGAAUAAAACUUAACAUUUCUUGGACGAGUAAGACGUCAUUUGCUUUAGCCAUUUCUUUUCUUGCUUACACGUUUGUUGAAAGGAGGACCAUGAAGAAACAAAGUUGCAUGACAGAUCCUAUGCCCGUUACUGCCCAGCUCUCAUCAGCUGGUGGUGGUUAAGAAAUUAUGCGGCUGGAUUUGAUGUUUGCCUUACUCAUCUGAUUGUCUUCCUAAUUUGGUGAUUCUAGUUUAUGAUAAAGACAGUGAAUUAAAAGCCACAAGCACCUUGAUCUCUAAAGUUCUUUGUUGUGUUGGUCUGAUGCUGCGUUCAACAGUCUACCUCCCUGGCUCUUAUUAAUGUCUUAUAUGUUUUAUUUUUAAGAAGGCAGUAGGGUUGAUAAAGCACAAAUUGAUUGUUUGAUCCUCCGAUGACCAGUCAAAUAAAACUACGUAAAACCAUUCAGUAAAGUUUUUAGAAGUACAUUCAACAAUAUUUGUAGAUAAAAUCCUAACCUGUUUUCAGAAGCCUCAAUUCCAAAAGGGAUGGAAGAGUGUCUCUUAUUAUCCGAAUCUUUCCCAAAUUGUUUCGAUAUAUAUUUGGCAAAACUCAUGGUAUAAAAUUUCCAAUCUUGAUCUUCGAAACUAACUUUCUCGAUGGACUGCUUCUGGUUCCGCACCAACAUUUUGGGCUACACCAAAAACUUUGUGGGAUCUCAUCAAUUUCAUCAUCAGAUAUUGCUAAAACGAAUCUCAACUUCAACCAUGAUAUUUUGGGCUACACUAAAAACUUUGAUGAUGGAAAGUGGCAGCAAGAGGAAGCUGAUUUCUAUAGUUGUCGAUCUUUCUCUUAUAGAUUUGUUCAAGUUGAACUGCAAGGCUAUUUGGAAGUUCUUUUCUGGCUUCGUAUUGUAUUAUAAUGAUGGAUGAUGCUUUGGGGGCCAUUUGGAUCUGCACGUUCAUAUUUGGGGAAAAAAAUUAGUGAUAAAAAGAACUAUAAACCCAACUAGAUUUACUCAAUUUAUAAUAUUGCAAUCCCAGGGUGUACAUAUUAUUUUGUUGGUAUUUUAUCACAAUAUAUUUUUGGAGGAGUAAUCGAAUAGGAGUAAGCUACAUGCAUAUUAUGCCCUUCUUUUUAGCUUUACUAGUUAAGGAAAGGAUGAAUUUUAUAUGAGGAGCUAAUGCCUAAACGUCAUACAUAACUGUUGAUUCUGCUACGACAAGAAACAACAAUAUACAUACAAUUUAACCUCUCACCAGGCUUAUAAGUAAAGGACGACUUUCACUUAUUUCUUUACCUCCUAUGUCUUCGUCUUGCUCUUCUAACAUUCUUCUGCUGGUCUCCUUCAACCAUACGCACAAACCAUUGUGGUUUUCCAGUUGAGAAUACCAUGUAUCCAAUGGACAAUCCAAUCACUAGUCCAGACGCAUACCCCAUCUUCGCCAUUUUCCAAUCAAACCGGCUAGCAGUUUCGUCGUGAUCAGAAGAAGCCAAAGGAAGUGCUUCUGGCAGGCCGUCAUUGCUACAUCUCACAGUCAAGGGCUCUCCACACAAAUGAAUGUUCCCUAUAUAGGAAUCAUUUUCAAAUGUGUUAAAUUGAUUGCCUCGAGGAAUGCGUCCCCAAAGCCGGUUAUAUGAAAGAUUUAACAAGUAAAGGGCUGUAACGCUUAACAACUGCUCUGGGAUUCUUCCAUCAAGCUUGUUGAAAGAGAGGUCCAAUGAUUCAAGUGCUGUCAUAUUCUCAAAGGAGACCGGAAUGUUACCUGUCAGGCUAUUGUGUGAAAGGUUGAGCACUUUUGAGUGAUUUAAAGUUUCCUAGUACUUCAGGAAUCUCUCCGUGGAACCGAUUUCUUGAAAAAUCCAUUGCUCUAAACAUGACUAAGAUCUUUUGCAAUUGAAAAGCAUGUCCUUUCAUUGCCACCGUUAUGGACUCGUCAUAGAAGGCUCCACCCAUAUAUUCAAGUCUUCCCUGUUCGUCCACAUUCUUCAUUGCUUCCAUACUAGGAAAAAUCCUUCUUGGUAGAAAACCAGUGAAUUCAUUAUGAGAGAGAUCAAUGAUUCGAAGGGCUUGAAAGGGAAAUGUAAUAUUGGAGUUGCAUAGUGGACCAUAGAAUCGAUUAGACCUCAAGACAAGAAUUUUUAGCUCAUGAAGUGAUCCCAACCAGCAUGGAAAUGAGUCACUAAUCAUGUUUUUCCCCACAUUGACAACUUCCAGCUUAAUACAUUUAGCCAGAGAUCUUGGUAAUGGCCCUUCUAAUUUGUUGCUAUUAAGGUCAAGACUCCUUAAAUGACUUGCAUUUGCAAAAGUAUCAUGGAUGUGACCCUCAAGGCUGUUGUUCUUCAAGUGCAGAGUAAUCAGCUCAGUGCUAAAGUUUCCAAGACAUGGUGGAAUUGUUCCGCUCAAAUUGUUGUCAGAUAAGGAAAGAUAUUGAAGGGAACUCAAGCUGCAAAUAGAUGGAGGGAUCUUUCCGGACAAUUUAUUGUUUGAAACUAAGAAGACUUUUGUUGAAGGUGGUGGAACCAGAAUUGAUCCUUGGAUUCUGUUGUUUCGCAGAUCAAGGGUGGUGAUAUUCAUCCAUGGAUGUAGCUCUAUAUGCGUCAUAAAAUUGUUAGAAAGAUCAAGAUCAAUCAAACUCUUCCAUCCUGGAGAAUCAGAUUUCGAAAUCCGACGUUGAAUUCUGUUGUUGGAAAGGUCUAAGAGGUACAACUCCUCUGAGUUUCUCAAGAAACCUGGGAACUCAGUGAUAUUGCAAUAAGCGAAACGCAAUACCUUAAGACUAGGUAAUGAAUAUUUGAUACUGAUAUUGGCAGAAGAGGUAAAUGAAAGUAGGCUGUUAUUUGAAAGAUCAAGAAAUUGAAGCUUUUUUAACUUUGAGAACUGGUCGAAUCUGAUUGCGCCACUCAAAUUAUUUGAUGAAAGAUCGAGAAUAGUGAGGUUCACUAAUUGAAAGGUGGAAUUAGGAAUUGUACCACGGAUCUCAUUUUCUUCCAAACGAACAUCUUGUAGUGAAUUAGGCAACUGGAAUAGAUCAAUAGGACCAUUAAGCAUGUUCUUUGAAAGAUCUAUAGAAAGCAAGGAAGGCAGAGUGAACAACCAAGAUGGUACUCCGCCUUGGAAAUAGUUUCCAGAAAGGUCGAAAGUGGUUAAAUAAGACAAUCCACUUACAUGAUGAGGCAGUUGGCCCGUAAAAUGAUUUGAUGCGAACGCAAUUUCAGUAGCUCUGGUAAGGUUUCCGAUUGAUGUUGGAAUUGACCCAGUGAAAUUGCAGAAUCCAAUAUCUAAAACCUCCAAGAAAAAUAGAUUUCCAAUUGAAUAUGGUAUUUCACCUAAGAAAUUACUGAGAGAAAGAUCCAACUCCCUAAGAGGACUACUCCAAUUAGACUUCGGGAGAUAGCCAGUGAGUUGACUGUUUAGGUUUAAAAAGAGUAUUUGAAGAUUUGGAAGACGAAAAAUGUCACCUGGGAAAUUUCCUUUAAUCCUAGUACCACCCAGAUCGAGAUCCGUCAUUGUUGAAGACAAGUUUAACAGAGAAAAAGGUUUGAUCAAAGACAUGUUUGUCGCUCCCAGAUGGAGAAGACUUAACUUUGUAAGGUUACUCGCAAGCAAAUCAAAAGUUCUUUGUUCGAUUGUCAAGACACAGAAGGAAAGGUCAAGAUGAGUUAGUUUGGACAAGUGGGACAUUUCAUGAGGGGCUAGACCACCAAAAUUAGAAGCCGAGAGGUUAAGAUAUGUCAAUUCCUUCAGCCGUCCAAACUCCGGAGAGAGUUGAGAACCGAGGAAAUUGCUAUAAGCAAGGUUGAGGGAUUGGAGAUGGGAAAGAUGAAAGAGGGUGCUAUUGUCAUCGAUGGUACCUAAAAGCCAACUGCAGUUGCUAUAAAGGUCGAGGCCGAUCACGUUUCCAGUCACAUUAUCACACGUUACUCCAUCCCAUGAGCAACAAUCGGUACCCUCCGUCCAAGAGUUCGUCUUAGGAGAAGAAUUUUCUUCAUUGCAAAAAGAGUAAUUCGCUGAUCUGACGGAAGUGUUAUUUUUAAAUUGAAGCAAAGCCAAACUUUGUUCGGGAGGGCAGGAAUGAGUUGUUUUAAAAGAAAAGUGAUGGAAAGGUGAUGAACAAUCAACUUGAAAACUAUAACCAAGCAAAAGGAAGUAGAAGAAUAAGAGAGUGCAGGAGACUUUGUUAUAAUGCCAUAUGAACCUCUCCAUGGUUUCUAAGAAUUAAUGCAAAGAAACGUGACAAUUACUUAUCAUAUGUCUAAUUGUUGAGAGGCGGGUGGAUGAGUGUUUAUAUGAAUUCCAAGGACUGUAUCUUUAGCUUUUAUGUUUCAUUUCCGGGCCGGGCGUGUUGCGAGUUGGUCAAAGAUUGAUUCAAAUGAUACAUUUAACAUUUUCUGAAAUGCAUGAAAUGGAAUGCAAUGGACAAAAAUAAAAAAAAAUUCCAUGAAAUGCAUUAUCCUCCAAAUGGCGUGAAAGAAAGCAUACGAUGGAAUAAAUACGAGAGACGGCCGCGGCUGAGUUUCACGAAUUAUCUUUCAGCCGGCCAAUAUCAUUUGUUGACUGAAAUCCAACGAAUGCAAGGAUUAAUGAGAAAAAUAGAAAAAAGUAGUGGAUAACUGGAUGACCGGGUUAAGUUCCAUUUUUUUUUUUUAAUUCUGUUACUAAAAGGUGUUCGCAUUAAUGGUUUUGUUUUUUACCUUGUUUCACAGUAUGGACUUAAAAGAGCAAUCUCGAUUCAAGCAAAUCCAAAGAGUAGGAUAUUUUUAUAUUUGGCAUUACAUAUCAUAUGCACAAGUAUGUAAUGGUGUGUUUACUUUAAAAUUGGGAAAAUUGAAAUUCAAAAUCAAAAUAAUUGAGAGUAUUUACUAAUUAAAAGAGAAGGGGGAAUGAAAAUCAAGUAUGUGGAACCCACAAAUUUUACAAUUUGAGAAUAGGAACUUGAUUCUCAAGGGGAUUGAGAAUGAAAUUUUCAUUCCCAGAACUACCAUUUUACUCCCAUUAAAUUUUCAUAUUCUCCAAAUUACCUCAAUCAAGUAAUAUUUCUUUUACAUUUUGAUCCUUACAGAAUUUAUGAAAAUGCUUAGAAAAUUUGUAAUAUUUACAAAUAUAUCCCUCAAUAUUUAUUAUUAUCAUUAUUAUUAAGGUUUUGCUAAGUUACAAUUAAUAUAACUUACAGCCCAACUAAAAUAAUGCAAAAAUCAGGUGGGUUCCACUACCAUUUUAAUCAUUUAUGCAUAUUUUAGGUGAAUUGUAAGUUUUAUUAAUUAUCAUCAUCAUCAUUGUAUUUAUUACUGUUAAAUUAUUAUUAUUAUUAUUCAUUUUUUAUUAUUUUUAUUCUUGUUAUUGUUAUUAUUAUAAUAGAUGCAAAUAAUACUAAGUGCAACAAUUAACAAAUAAUAUAUUAGUAACUUACAACAAUUUCUUUCAAUUUCAAAAUAAAAUAAACACAUGAAUGAGAGUACAGUUCGUUCCAAUUUCAAUUCCUAUAUUUUAAGUAAACAACUUAUUUUGAUUACUUAUUUAAUUUCAACACAUUUCGAUUAUCAAUUAAUGAAUGCACCAUGAAAAUAUAUCCUCUAUUUAUAAAUCAAUUAAUAAUUGGCUCCAUACUUAUAAAUCAAUUAAUAAUUGGUCCACAUUCUUCAUUGCUUCCAUACUUACAAAGAUCGCUCUUGGCAGAAAACCAGUGAAUUCAUUACGAGAGAGAUCAAUGAUUCGAAGGGCUUGAAAGGGCAACGUAAUAUUGGACUUGCAUAGUGGACCAUAGAAUCGAUUAGAUCUCAAGACCAGAAUUUUUAGCUUCGGAAGACAUCCCAACCAACACGGAAAUGUGUCACUUAUCAUGUUGUUCCCCACAUUGACAACUUCCAGCAUGUUACAAUUCGCCAAAGAUCUUGGUAAUGGCCCUUCCAACUUGUUGCUAUUAAGGUCAAGACUCCUUAAAGAACUUGCAUUUGCAAAUGUAUCAUGGAUGUGACCCUCAAGGCUGUUGUUCUUCAAGUCCAGAAUAAUCAGCUCAGUGCUAAAGUUUCCAAGACAUGAAGGAAUCGUUCCACUCAAGUUGUUGUGAGAUAAGGAAAGAUAUUGAAGGGAACUCAAACUGCAAAUCGACGGAGGGAUCUGUCCGGACAAUUUGUUGUUCGAAACUAAGAAGACUUGUGUUGAAGGUGGUGGAACCAGAAUUGAUCCUUGGAUUUUGUUGUUUUGCAGAUCAAGAAUUUUAAUUUCCUGCCAUGGAUGUAGCUCUACAUGUGUCAGAAAGUUGUUGGAAAGAUGAAGAUCAAUCAAAUUCUUCCAUCCUUCAGAAUCAUGUUUUGAAAUUCGACCAUGAAUUCUACCAUUGGAGAGGUCUAAGCUUGUUAACUUUCCUGAGUUUCUCAAGAAACGUGGGAACUGGUUGACAUUGCAAUUAGAUAAAUUCAAUUCCUGUAGACUAGGUAAGGAAUAUUUGAUAUCCAUAUUGCCAGAGGAAGUAAAUGAGAGUAGGCUGUUGUUUGAAAGAUAAAGAUAUUGAAGGCUUUCCAACUUUGAGAACAUGUCGAACUUAACAGUGCCACUCAAGUUGUUUGAUGUAAGAUCGAGAUAAGUGAGGUUCACUAGUUGAAAGAUGGAAUUAGGAAUUGUGCCAUGUAUCUCAUUUUUUUGCAAUCGAACUUCUUGUAGUGAAUUAGGCGACUGGAAUGGAUUAAUAGGACCAUUGAGCAUGUUAUUUGAAAGAUCUAUAGAAACCAAAGAAGGCAGAGUGAACAACCAGGAUGGUACCCUGCCUUGUAGAGAGUUUCCAGAAAGGUCUAAAGUGGUUAAAUAUGACAGUCCACUUACAUGAUGGGGCAGGUGGCCAGUAAGAUAAUUUGAUGCGAACACAAUUUCAGUAGCUCUAGUGAGGUUUCCAAUUGAUGAUGGAAUUGACCCGGUGAAACUGCAGCCUUCGAUAUGUACAAUCUCCAAGAACGGUAGAUUUCCAAUUGAAUCGGGUAUUUUACCUGCGAAAUUAGUGAAAGAAAUAUGCAACUUCCUAAGAGGACUACUCCAGUUAGAGUUUGGGAGAUAACCAGUGAGUUGGUCGUUUCCAAAUAAAUAGAGUACUUGAAGGUUUGGAAGACGAAAAGUUUCAUCUGGGAAAUGUCCUUGUAUACCAGCAGUACUGAGAUCAAGAUAUGUCAUUGUUGAAGGCAAGUUUAACAGAGAAAAAGAUUUGAUCAAAGACAUGUUUGUUGUUCCGAGAUUGAGAAGGCUUAAAUUUGUUAGGUUACUCACAAGGAAAUCAAAAGUUUUUUGUUCGAUUGUCCACUCAUUUAGGGAAAGUUCAAGAUGAGUUAGUUUGGACAAGUGAGAUAUUUCAUAUGGGAGUAGGCCACCGAAAAAGGAACGAGAGAGGUUAAGAUAUGUCAAUUCCUUUAGCCGUCCAAUCUCGGGAGAGAUUUGAGAACCGCCAAAAUCGUUAAAAGCAAGGUUGAGAGAUUGGAGAUGGGAAAGAUGGAAGAGGCUGCUAUUGUCAUCGAUGCUGCCUUCAAGCCUGCUGCAACUGCUGUCGAGGCCAAUCACGUUUCCUGUCACAUUAUCACAGGUUACCCCAUCCCAUGAGCAGCAGUCGGUACCCUCUGUCCAAGAAUUCGUCUUAGGAUAAAAAACUUCUUCAUUACAAGUAGCGUAAUACCCAGGAUUGGAAAAAGUUUCAUUUUUAAAUUGAAGCAAAGCUAAACUUUGGUCGGGAGGGCAGAAAUGAGUUGUUUUAGGAGAUGAGUAAUGGAAAGAUGAUGAUGAACAAUCAACUUGAAAAUAACCAAACAAACACAAGAAGAAGUAGAAGAAGAAGGGGGCACAGGAGACUUGAUUAUAAUGUGAUACGAACCUCUCCGUCAUCAUUUCUAAGAAUCAAUACUCAGAAACUUGACAAUUAAUGUCUAAUUGUUAAGAGGUAGAUGAUAAAUGUUUAUACAGAGGAGUUUUUAUAUGCUUUCCGUGGACGGUAUCUUUGGACUUUUGUAUUUCAUUUCCAGGCAUGUUCCAAGUUGGUCAAAGAUUAGUAUAUCUGAAAUGCAUUAAAUUAUGAAAUGCAAUUAAUGGACCAAAAAAAAAACUAGAAAAAAAUUCCAUGAAAUGCAUGAUCGUCCAAAUGGUGUGAAUUAGGCAAGCAUGCAAUGGACCAAAAAAAAAAAAAAAUCAAUAAACGGUACCCAUCAAUUAAUGUUAAAUUAAAUAGAUGUUUUUAAAUACGAGAAUGUGGAAUUUUUAGCUAAUAAAUUUAAUUUUGAAAUAGUAUAAUCAGUGAGUAUAUACGAGAAAUAUUGGCCGCACAUGAGUUAAAUUUUCUGUAUCCUUUCAGCCGGCCAAUUUUCUGCGUCCUUUUGGCCGGCCAAUUUUCUGCGUCCUUUUGGCCGGCCAAUAUCAUUUUUUAGGAUUUGUUGACUGAAAUCCAACGGAUGGAAGUUACUGAAACCAAAAACAAAAUAAUAAUAAGUAUUAUCUAUUAAUAGCACACCGUCACAUUUUGACUGUUUUUCUGUUUUGUUGUCACUAUUUGUCGUAAAAAUAACUUCUAACAUGGUCUAAAAUAUUACUAAAAAAUAAUUGAUGUAAAAAAUCUUUAAGCAAGAAAAAAUGUUUGAAUUUUCCAAUUUUUUUUCUUUUUUCCCAAUAUAGCAUUCUCAUUAAAACGAAUUGAGUAUUCGCGAAAAUACUCACUCAUCAAUUAACCUACAAGAACGUCAUAAAGCAAUUAACAAGAAAAAUAAUCGUUCAAAAAAUCUGUACUCCAAGAAAUUCAAAUCUGUCUCCUCAUGGAUUUCUCCUUCUUACGCCUCUGCUUCUCUAUCUCAUUUGGAUAUCUAAGCCACCCUUCUAUAGUUUUUUAUUUGGGGCCGAUUAAAAUUUACCUGAUGGGCUGUUAUGUUAAAAUUUUGUAAAUUGUUUUACACAUUAAAAUUAAAAUUGAAGGGCUAACAUAACAAUCCUUGCACAAAUUUACCUGAUGGGCUGUUAUGUUAAAAUUUUGUAAAUUGUUUUACACAUUAAAAUUAAAAUUGAAGGGCUGUCAUUCAAUCCUAGUGCAUAUGUGCAAGGAGGGCAAUGGUCAUAGUUUGGAGACUGUUUUGCACAUUACAAUUGUAAAAAUUAAAUUGAAGGGAUGUCAUUCAAUCCUAGUGCAUCUGUGCAAGGAGGGCAAUGGUUAUAGUUUGGAGACUGUUUUGCACAUUACAAUUGUGAAGGCCCAUGUUAGCUGAACUUAUACAUACACAUAACUGAAUGAGAUGAUUGAAUUAAGGAUUGGAAGACUUUUAUUUAAAGAUUGAACACUUUGAUUGAUUGAUUUAGAGUUCCUAAUUAAUGGUGCGUUUGGAAUUGAGAUUGGAUAGCUGUAGUUUAAAAACUGCAAUACUAAAGUGUUUGGUAAAUACUAACUGCUGUACCUUAGAAACUAUGUUGAAAUGAUUUUUCACUUGUAUCAUGAAAAAUAUAUUAUUUCUUUAAUAAUUUUGUUAAAAUUAUUAUGUAAAAUUUAUAUUUACUACAAAUUAUUAAUUUUUAUUUCAUACUUAUAGUUUUUUUUCCAAAGCAGCUGUAGUUUAAAAGUUACAACACCUCAAUCCCAAACAGGACCUAAGUAUGUUAGGAAUCUCUUCGUGGAAAUGAUUGCUGGAAAAGUUCAUAGCUCUAAAUAUGAUCAAGAUCUUGUAGAUUGUAAACUCUCUCCUUUUUCAUUGACACCGGCACAAAAUCGUCGUAGUAGUAUCACCUAUAUAUUGUAACUCCUGAUCCCUUUUCCAGCUCAGUACAAAUAGCCAAAGAUUUUGGUAAUUGUCCUUCCUACUUAUUGCUAUUGAGAUCAAGGCUCGUUAAACAACUUUUGUUUACAAAAGUAUCCGGGAUGCGGUCUUUAAUGUUAUUGUUCUUCAAGUGCAGAAUAAUCAGCUGAGUGCUACAGUCUCUAAGGAUGGUGGAAUGAUUCCGCUCAAAUUGUUGUCCGACAGGGAUAGAUAUUCAAGUGAGUCAAGUUGCAAAUUGAGGGACGGAUCUGUCCGGACAAUUUGUUGUUAGAAACUACGAAGUGUGUUGAAGGUUUUUCAACUUUGAUAACAAUUCAAACUAGACCGUCCCAUUCAAGUUAAUUUUGGGGCUGGGAAGCUGUUGGUCCAAAUAGUCCGUCCCGCCAGUGUUGGCAUUGGCGUCUGGUCGCAACUCUGCACAACAGCACGACCGUAUUUCAGCAUCAAUAGACUCUGUAUCUCUAAGUCAAUUAUUAGAGAUUUUGAAGAUUGAUAAUACCCAUAGUUGAACAACACAAUAGUGUUCAUAACUUUUGGUUCGUUAGAGUUUUCUUUCACAUAAAUCGAUUUGAUUAGAUUUUGUGAACUUUAUAAUGACUUGUUGAGUGCAUGCAUACUGUUCGAACAACUUCCUGAACAAAACUUAACUUUCUUGGACAAGUAUGAUAUAAUUCGCCUUAGCCAUUUUUUUUUUCACUUGCUUAAGACAUUUCUUGGGAGGAACAUGAAGAAACAAUGUGCACGACAAAUCCUGAGUCUGUUACCGCCUAGCUCCCAUCAGCUUCUAGUGGUUAAAAAAUAUGCGGCUGGAUUUGAUGUUUGCCUUACCUGAUUGUCUUCCUAGUUACAGUGAUUCUAAUUUAUGGUAACGGGAACUGAAAUCACUGUUAGGGGGUCACUCAAGUUUAAAUUUGAGGUAGGGAAGAAUUAAAAUCCACAGGCACCUUGAUUUCUAACAUUCUUUGUUGGGUUGGUCUAAUUAAAUAUUAUGCAUUCUUGAAAAAUAUUUAUAUAUUAUGCAAACAUUAUGUUCUUUUUAAACAUCAGAUUCGAUCAUAUUGUUUACUAACAUUUAUAUAGGAACCUUAUUGGAGCAGUAAGAGACCACUGGACUCUUUGUAUUUGCAAAAUUUCUUCAUAUUGUCACCGAGUUUAGAUACGGUCCAUCCAUCGAACCAUACAUCCCACCACAUGAGAAUCAUAUCAACUAUUUUGUUUUCAUUUACUUUCUGUAGAAGGUUUCAUGAAAGCUCAUAUCAAACCUCCGGUUACAACGUUAUUGUUUCGACAAUGACGAGUAAAGUCCCAAGUUUUAUAAGAAUAGCAUCAAUCUCCCCGGAGUUAACGUACAAACCCCAAUAUCGACGAGAAAAAGAUAAAACGCGGGAGUAAACAUGCAAAGCCCAAAAACAACGAUAUUGUUCCUGUUAGGAAAUUGAUGGGUGAAGCAGGGGCACAACUAAAAUGAAAUUGGAAGUAAAUAAAGAGCAAACAUUAAGAGGACACUAUAAAUUACAUGAUUCGACUUUUAACAUAUAUCCAUGGGCGAAGACAGAAUGAAAAUAUUUUGAUUAAUGUUAAAAAUUGUAUGUUUGUUAAGGGGUAAAAAUGUUAUUUUGUGCUAUUAUUGUAAUUUAUAUUUGUAAUUGUGUAACAUAUUGUGAAUUUCUAAUUAUUUUUCUAAGUAUUUAAUUUUGUGUAUUUUUAUGUGUUUAUUAGGUAAAAAUAAUAAUAUCAUGCAAUUUGAGGCUCCAAACAAAUGUGCGGAUGACAAAUUUGGAUUUUGAAAAUCCGAAAAAUUAUGUCAUUGUCGAGGAGGAUCCAAGACUUUUGUUGUAAAUUUUUAAGUCAGGAAAUUGAUGGGUGAAGCAGGGCCAUAGUUAAAAUGAAAUUGGAAGAAAAUAAAGAGCAAGCAUAAAGAGGACACCAGAAAUUACAUGAUUCAGCUUUUAGCCUAUAUCCAUGGGUGAAGACAGAAUGAAAAUAUUUUGAUUAAUGUUAAAAAUUUUAUGUUUGUUAAGGGCUAAAAAUGUUAUUUUGUGCUAUUAUUGUAAUUUAUAUUUGUAAUUGUGUAACAUAUUGUGAAUUUCUAAUUAUUUUUCUAAGUAUUUGAUUUUGUGUAUUUUUGUGUGUUUAUUAGGUAAAAAUAAUAAUAUCAUGCAAUUUGAGGCUCCAAACAAAUGUGCGGAUGUCAAAUUUGGAUUCCGAAAAUCUGAGAAAUUAUGUCAUUGUCGAGGAGGAUCCAAGACUUUUGUUGUAAAUUUUUAAGUUUUUACCACGAUAAAGUGGUAAUUGUAAAAUUAUAAGUUUUUAUCAUGUUAAGUAUGAUAAUUAUUAGUGGAAUGUGUUGGAUGUGCUUGAGUGGAUUAAGUUAGGUUUAUGUUUUAUUAGUGAGACAAAUAAAAGGUUAAGAAGUAAUUAGAUUUAUUUAUUUAUGUGGUGUGAAUUUACCAUGUAUUAGUAUAAAUAGAGAGGAGGGAACACCUCUUCACACUUUCUCUUCUCUUCUUUCCCUCCAAAUUCUUCCUCUCAUCUCUCUUUAUAAUAAAUUUUCAAUAAAUAAAAUUAGUUUUAUUUCAAUUUUCAAAUUCUAUUUUUUUAAUUAUGUGUUUUUCCAUUUUAAUAAUUUCAUUUAUUUCAAAAGUGUUUAGUUAAAUAUUCAUAGUUAGGGGAAGGUGAAACUCUUAGUAAAAAAAUAUAAUUUAAUUAAAUUCGAAUUUUAAUUGUAAAAAUUGAAUUAUUUUCUAUUUAAUUUUAUCUAUAUUUUAUAUUUUAAAAAUUUGAAUUAUUGUAAACAAAAAUGGGAGUUUGGUAUAAUCAAUUUUUAAUAUCUCAGUAUAAAAUAUGGAAAAAUGGUAUUUUGACUUAUUGUAGAUAAGUUGUGUUUUGGCACAUUAAGUUCUUAAUCCAUAAUAAAAUUAAUGGGAAAAUUAUUUCAAUUUAUACAAUUAAUCUUUUGGGAAAUAAAAUAAAAAAUAAAAAGAAUUUUUUAAAUAAUAUUUAUUAUUAGGAGUUGAUACAUAACCUUAACUAAUUCAAUUUCAUAGUUUUUUUAAAACUAAAUUGCAUAUUUUUAAUUUUAUUUUUUGAUAAAUUUAAAUAAACAAAUUAAAUCACUUUUAAUUCAUGUCAUAUUUUACUAGUAUAAUGAGGAUUACAAGUAUUGCAUUAUUUUAUCUCACUAUCCAGAACCCCAACACACCCAAUCUCUCUCACUAAACUCACAAGAACUUUAUAAUUUUAAGCCCUUAAAAUCACUCAAGCUCUCUGCUUUUUCUCUCACAAAAUUGAAUGCCAAAAAUGAAAUGGAGAGCUCCCUUUUUAUAGCCAAAAAUUGGCUAUAAAAAUAUUAUUUUUUUAACCGCCUUUGAUUUUUCUUUAUUCCUCUCUUUCCUUCUUCAAAAAACGCAGCUACCGAAUUACAUUUUUCUUCUUCUUCUUUUUUUCUUUGUUCAAAUUUGGUAGCUUCAACACUUUUUUUUUUCUUCUUCCUUGGCGACACCUAACCCUUCAACAUUUGCUACUUCAACUCUUCUAGAUGUAGAUUCUAGAUGCAAAUCCUGAUCUUUCAUAACAUAAUGCAACAUUGGAGGUUCCUUUAAUGUAUCUCAAUAUCUUCUUCACAGCUUUACAAUGUUCUUCACUAGGAUUCACCAUGUUUGGUAUUAUAUAAAUCAUAGCGAACAUCAAACUUCUCACUGCUGAUGCAUAUAGUACUCGAGACAUCUCCUUCCUCUCGCUUCAUUACUAGAAUACAUAUUUGAGGAUAACUUGAAAUUAACAGAAAGUGGGGUAGAAAUUGGCUUACAAUCUUGCAUAUUGAAGCGGCGCAAGAUUUUCUUCAAAUAAUUCUUCUGAGAAAGCCAAAUCUUCUUAUUAUUCAUGUCUCAGUAAAUUUGCAUCCUUAGAAUCUUGUUUGCUGAUCUCAAGUCCUUCAUUUCAAACUCGCUAGCCAACUGUGCCUUCAACUCUUGGACUCGAUCUUUGUUGGGGCCUGCUACCAGCAUGUCAUCCACAUACAAUGGCAAAAUAAUGAAAUCAUUAUUCUCAAACCUCUUAUAAUAUGUACAAUGGUUUGAACUGAGUCUAUUGUAUUCAAGGCUCAUGAUAAAGGAAUCAAAUCUCUUAUACCAACAUCUUGGCUUAUGUUUGAGAUCGUAUAAAAAUUUGUUCAACCUGAUAACCAAGUUCGCCUUUCCUAUUUUAGUAAAAUCAUCUGGUUGGAGCAUAUAAAUUUCUUCUUCAAGUUCUCCAUGAAGAAAUGCAGUUUUCACAUCUAACUGCUCUAGAUGUAGGGCGAAGACUACUCUGACUGUUGUGAGUCAAACUAACAGAGAAAAAAUCUCAUUGAAGUCAAUACAUUCUUUCUGAGCAUAUCCUUUCACCACCAAUCUUGCACGAUAACGCUCCGUUUAUUCAUUUUCAUCAUGUUUGAUCUUGUAGACCUAUUUGUUUCCAAUAACUUUUCUUCCAUGUGAUAGUGGUACAAGUUCCCAUGUCUUAUUCUUGUGUAGAACUUUAAUUUCUUCCUGCAUUGCUGUCAUCCACAAAGCAACAUUUGAGUUGUUUAAAGCUUCAUGAAAAGUUGAUGACACUCUAUCCUCUGUUAGAAGACAAUAUGUAGCAUUGAUCUCUGUGAUAUACUCCAGUGCCAUACUGGCAGUCGUCUCUCACGAGUUGAUCGAAGAACUUUUAGAACUUCGGACUCGACUGAUUUUUAUUCCUCAUGCUCUGGUGCUGCUUUAAAAGAAUCUGAAUCUUCUUUUUCCAGAUUAUUUUUCACAUAUACUGGUACAAUCUUUGACUUUUCUUUUACAAUGCUAUCAUCCUUAUCUCUCAUUUGCCAUUGAUCUUCUAUAAAGGUAACAUCUCUAAUGAUAAUGAUCUUGUGGGCAGUGGGGUCCCACAGACAAUACCCUUUUACUUCAUCAGCAUACCCCAAAAAGAACACCUUAUAGAUUUUGGAUAUAAUUUAGUUCUUUCUUGGACAUUGUACGUCACAUACACAUAACAUCCAAAAGUAUGUAAGUGAGAGUAAUCAACUGGCUUUCCAGUCCACAUCUUCAUCGGUGUCUUCAACUUAAUUGUUAUGGAUGUCGAUUGAUUUAUUAUAUCACAGGCAAUUUUGGCUGCUUCUGCUCAUAAUGAGUUGGAUAAACUGUUGAGUGUUAGAAAAUGUAUAUUUAUAAAGGAGAAAAUCGUUAUUUUACAUUUCAAGUCUUACUAACAACCCUUACUUUUAUGUAUUUAAGAUUCUUGUAAUUUAAUUAUGUGUGUUUUGUUUUAAUUAAGUAUUUUAUGUAUUUUAGGGGCAUCAUAGUCAUUUCACAAUAAACGAGAGAUCAAACGGCAAAACAAACAUCACUUUUGAACUUAGGACGGUCGAAAACCUUAGGAGGAGCAUAAAAGGAAAAAUGGCACUGUUCACAUGUACGGUACUGUCUACGAUACUGUUCACAUAGACGGAUCGAUGACGUGGCAUUAACCGAUGAUGUGGCAUUGACUGAUGAGGUGUCAUGAUCCUGUUGGACUAAAAUUCUUAUGUACUGUUGACUGAUGACGUGGCGCAAUCCUGAGCGUCCAAAUUAUUUUUAAUCCGAUGGCCAUGAUUUACUCAAUGUAUCUAUAAAAAAAAGGGGCCUCCCCCUUUAAUUUGAUAUCUCUGAAUUCAUUUUUGGGCUCCAUUUUCUGUAAUUCCUUCUCUAUCUUGUAUUUUCUGUGUAUUUUAAUAAAUUCCCAUUUUACCCCUAGUUCAAUUAUGAGUAGUUAAUUUUCUUUCAAGCUUGGGUUGAAUGUGAAGUCUCAACAUGUGCCAUGGGCUUUAUUUGGUAAAUUUAUUUUCUUUUCCCCUCUAAUUUUUGUGGAUGAUUUGACUUUUCGUCGACAAAUAAUAAUAAUAUUGUCUAGAUACUGCCCUAGUUACACCGGCUCCCUAGUACAAGGUUAUUAUUAUUUGGCACGAUAAGCUCUUAGCACCAUAUUGAUUAUAGCGUGGUUCAUGAGGUGUGGAUUCCCCCCUUAUGAUUUAAUUGACAUUAAUAAGGAAUAUUUAGCCUAUGGUGCAUGUUGAUACGGAUCCAGAUACCCAAGUGCUUCAAUCAUAAUAGUUUUCUCUUCAAUUUCUUCUUACCAUUUUAAUUCAAUUUUUAGAAUAAUUUAAAUCACUUCCACCACAAAUCCAACCAUCCUCAUACAAAAUUAAUUCUACAUAUAAUUAAAAUCCACCUCCUCGUGGGAUCGACACUCGUCACCAUUGAUCUAUUCUAUAAUAGAUUCGUGCACUUGCGAGUUCAAUAAAAUUUGCACAACAUAAACUAGCAGUCUUCAACAUAGCUCUUAUCAUUUCUGCACAAGUCCUGUUCAUUUAUUCUACCACUCAAUUUUAUUGAGGAGUGUAUGUCACCGUUAACUGUCUCUGAAUACAUUCUUACUUACAGAAAGAAAGAAACUCGCGAUUUGUAUACUCUCCACCAUUGUGUAUCCUCAAGCACUUAAUCCUUUUUCCAGAUUCAAGUUCUACCCGCACUUUGUAUUCCUUAAACACUUGAAACACAUUUGACUUUUUCUUAGUUGAAUACACCCAACAUCUCCUGGAAUAAUCAUUAAUGAAAGUCACCAUGUACUUUGCACAUCCUAUUGAUAUGUCUGGUUAUUCCCAAACAUUAGAAUAAACUGAGUCUAUAAUGCAUUUACUUCUGGCAACAAAUCUAUUGAACUUCAAUCUAUGCUGCUUACUUGUAACACAAUGCUCGCAAAACGGUAAGUUUACCGAUUUGAGCCCUAGAAGUAAUUGUUGCUCAAAGAGAAUCUUCAAACCUUGUUCCGACAUGUGGUUAAGUUUGAGAUGUCACAUCGUCGUUGACUCUUCUCCAUUUGACGCAACACACACAUCAGUUUCCUGUAGUGUUUCUCCUUUAAGCAUGAAUAUCUUAGCACUAGUCUUUUCUACUUUCAUCAAUAUAAGUGCGCCUUUAACAAUCUUCAUGAACUUAAUUUUCCACAUGAGUUUUGCACCCAUGACUAUUUAUUUGUCCCGUAGAUAAUAUAUUUUUCUUCAAGCCUUUGACAUGUUGUAUCUCUUCAAUUGUGCGAAUCAUACCAUCAAACAUUUUUAUUUUGAUAGUACCAAUACCAACAAUUUCCAAAGCAUGAUCAUUACACAUGUAUACAGAUCCUCAUAAGAUAAGUUCAUAUGUGUAGAACCAUUCUCUCUUAGAGGCCAUGUGCUAGGUAGUUCCUGAGUUUAUAAGCCAGAUGUCAGAUAGCCAUUUUCUGCCUUCUGAAAUAUUUGUUGCCUCACUGUAGAAAAUUUCACCACCAUCUGAGGUACUUGCUACACACUCCUGAGUUUGAUGACUCAGGAUCUUUACCCUCUCUUAUUUUCUGGUUGUUCCAACACUCUUUUUUGACAUGCCCUUUAUUUCCAUAAUUGCAGCAUUUGACAUUCGUCUUACUUUUUUGUUUUGAUUUACCAUGAUUGUGACUUCAACUGGGGCCACAUUCUGUUGAUCUCCCUCUCGUCAUCGAUAGUGCUUCUGCUUGUUACGAACUUGCAUUAUAUGUCUUCUUUAUUUUUCUGCCUGCUCUCCUUAUUUAACACAGAGGCUACAACAUCAUCGAAAACUGGACUAUUCGCUGGGUUAUUGUUUGUUAAAUUGAUGAUGAGUUGAGCAUAUGAAUCUGGUAAACUUUGAAAGUAGAAGCUCCGUACGUUCAUUUUCUUCUAUUUUAUGACCAACGUUAUGAUUUGUGAAACUCUAAAGUUUUUAAGGUGUUGAUAUGAUCAAUCACUGAUGUAGAUUCUGUCAUUCGAAGAGUAUAAAGUCUUCUCUUUAAGAAGAUCUUGUUGUGCACUAACUUGGCCUCGUACAAUUUUGUGAGAGUAUCAUAUAUUUCCUUUGCUGUCUUUUUCUCUGCUACACUGGAUAAUACUCUAUCCGCAAGCGCUAAGGUGGAUCAACAAUAGCGUUGUCGUCUAUCUCAUUCCACUUGUCAUCAGUUAUUUCCGUUGGCUUUUCUCCAAUUACUACCUUGGCCUCGUACAAUUUUGUGAGAGUAUCAUAUAUUUCCUUUGCUGUCUUUUUCUCUGCUACACUGGAUAAUACUCUAUCCGCAAGCGCUAAGGUGGAUCAACAAUAGCGUUGCCGUCUAUCUCAUUCCACUUGUCAUCAGUUAUUUCCGUUGGCUUUUCUCCAAUUACUACCAAGCAAUUAUUUUUCCUCAAUACAACUUUCAUCUUCAUUUUCCACAACGAAAAAUUAUUUCUAUUGAACUUCUCAAUUUUGUAUUUUGCUGCCAUCGCUUUUCACCACGAACUAACUUUGCUAGGAUCGGCUCACACCAUUUCACGUGAACAGUAACUGUAUACGUGAACAAUAUCGUAUACGUGAAUAGUACUUGUAAGUGAACAAUGCCCCCAACUACAAAAAAUACAAACAAUAGCUCUGAUACCAAUGUUAGGAAUUUGAUGGGUGAAGCAGGGCCACAGUUAAAAUCAAAUUGGAAGAAAAUAAAGAACACAAAGAGGACAACAGAAAUUACGUGGUUUGGGUUUUAACCUACGUCCACGGGCGAAGACAGAAUGAAAAUAUUUCACUAGUAAAAUGAGGAUCCAAGUAUUAUAUUAUUUUAACUAACUAGCUAGAACCCCAAUACACCCAAUCUCUCUCUCACUAAACUCAUAAGAAUUUUAUAAUUUUAAGCCCUUAAAAUCACACAAGCUCUCUGCUUUUUCUCUCACAAAAUGGAAUGCCAAAAACGAAAUGGAGAGCUCCCCUUUUAUAAGCAAAAAUUAGCUAUUAAAAUAUUAUUUUAUUUUUUUAACCACCUUUGAUUUUUCUUCAUUCUUCUCUUUCCUUCUUCAAAAAACGCUGCUGCCAAAUUCCAUUUUUCUUCUUUUUUUUCUUUGUUUAAAUUUGGCAGCUUCAACUCUUCUUUUUUUUUCUUCUUUCUUGGCAGCACCUAACCCUUCAACAUUUGCUACUUCAACAUUUGUAGAUGUAGUUUCUAGAUGCUACAGCCAAAUAUUUUGAUAGUUCCCACAAUAAAUUUCAGACUCUAGUUUCAAUGUACAAAUCUCUAAAGUCUUACAAGAAAAAAUUCGAAGUACACAAACCCCGAAUAUGUACGAGAAAAACACCGAAGUUAACGAAGAAAUCCCAAGCUUCAAUGUACAAAUCUCCAAUUUUUAUAAGAAAUAACUCAGAGUAUGCAAACCCCGAAUAUGUACCCAAAAAAUAAAAGAAAACAUUGGGGUUAAUGAAGAAACCCCAAGUUUCAAUGUAUGAAACUCCAAGUUUUACAAGAAAUAACCCGGAGUACUACACUAACCCCAAAUAUGUAGGAGAAAACCCCUGGAGUUAACUAAGAAAUCCCAAAAUAUUAAUAUUUUAAGAGAGAGAUAAAACAACUAUAAGUGAGAGGAUGUGUGAAUUUUGUAGAGAGAGAAUGUGUUUUCAAAGAAAUUAUGUGGAUGAAUGUUAGCCAUUAGCUUGUAAACAUUUAUGUUGUGUUUACUUGUUGGAUUAGGGAAUCGGAAUCCGGAAUUGGAAUCAUUGACAGUGUUUACUUAAUUAAUAUAUUAAUAUAUUAUUAAAAAAAAUUAUUAUAAUUAUAGUUUUUGAAUAAAUAAUCACAAUAACUAAUAUAUUAUUUUUAUAAUUAACUAAUAUACUAUUAUAAUUAAUAUUAAUAAUUAAUAAUAUUAUUAUUAUAAUUAAUUCAUAUAUUAUUAUUAAUUAAUUCAUAUAAUUAUUACUAUUAAUUAAAAUAUUAACAUAUUAUUAACAAAAAUUAUUAAUAAUUAUAAUUUUUGAAUAAAUAACCACAAGAAUUAAUAUAUUAUUAUUGUUAUUAUAAUUAAUUAAUUAAUUAAUAUACUAAUAUAAUAAUUAUUAAUAUAUUUAUUCUAAUUAAUUCAUAUAUUUUUAUUAAUUAAUUAAUUAAAUAAUAUAAUUAUUACUACUAAUUAAUAUAUUAUUAACAAUAGUCAUUAAUAAUUAUAUUUUUUGAAUAAAUAAUCACAAUAAUUUAUAUAUUAUUAUAAUAAAGUAAUUAAUAUUAAUAUUAUUAGUUAAUAUAUUUUUAUAAUAAUAAUAAUUAUUAUUAUUAUAAUUAAUUAGUAUAUUAUUAUAAUUAAUUAAUUAAAAAUUUUUACAAUUAAUUAAUAUAUUAGUUAAUAAUAAUUAUGACAAUAAUUCAUUAAGUACUUUUUAGUAAUUUGUCACAAUCUAACACAUUCUGAUUCCGAUUCCGAUUCCGAUUCCAAGACAAAGUAAACACAUUAAUGGCAAUACAACUCAUUUCGAUUUCGAUUUCUACAGUUCAAGUAAACAACUUAUUUUGAUUCCCAUUCCUUAUUUUCAUUCCUCCCCAUUCCAAUGUCCAUUCCCAUUCCAGUUUAGUAAAUGCAGCAUUAAAAUCUAUUGGAUACUUUUUAAUUACCGAUGACAAAAAUCUAAUUAAUCAUAACCGUUCAUGAAAUCUAACGAUUGAGACAGUGAUGUACAAUUAGCGCUAAUGGACCGUAGCUUAGGCCAUUGUGACACCAUAAUGUUAAAGAAUAAAGCUGUUAAAAAAGUAGGAAAAAGACUAUCCACACUUCUAAGGUUUGUUUAAAUUGUCAUAUAAACUCAUUUAGUUUUAGAAAUGAUCAUCCAUACCACUUUUUACUAUUAUACCCUUUGAUUAUAAUAAUAUAUUUUAUAAUAAAUACAAAUAAAAUAUUAAAUAUAAAUACAAUUAAUGAAAAUAUAUAUAACAAUACAGAUAAUAUCCCUUAAUGCUCGAGGAGAUUCCAAAAAGAACAAAUAAGAACCUAUUAAAACCCUCUAAAUAGCAAAGGUAAAGUUAGAUGACUUGAAAAAAAUAUUUAAAUAGGGUUUAAGUUUGGGGAUGACUUAAGGAUAAGGUUGAUGAAAUUCUUGCAAAGAUAUUCUAAUGUAUUUGCUUGGUCGUAUAAAGACAUACUAGAUAUCGACCCUGAGGUGGGUUUUCAUAGAUUAUCCACGAGUACGACUCUAGGCCAAUAAAGCAGAAAAUGAGAUGCUUUAAUUAAAAGAAGUAUGCCACCAAUAUGAAGGUAGACAAGCUUAUGUAAGCUGGUUUCAUUAGGGAGGUGAAAUACUCAGAUUGGAUUUCUAAUAUGGUCUUGGUAAAGAAGGCGAAUGGCAAGUGGAUAAUGUGCAUAGAAUUUAUAGAUCUUAACAAGGCAUACCCCAAAGACAGCUUUCCAUUGCCAAAGAUAAAUUAGUUGGUUGAUUCAACAAUAAGAUAUGGAAUCCUUAGUUUCAUGGAUGCUUUUUCAGGUUUACCAAAAAAAAAAAAAAAAAAAACCCUUCUUGAAACAACUUUUGUAGCAAUCGAUUUAUCCAGUUCAUGGUCAUCGUUUUAGCUAUUAAACUAGAUAAUAUCCCAUUGUUUAAACUAGAUGAAAAAGGAGACUUUUUUCCAUCACCAGUUAAAGGUUAUACUGCUAUAAGGGGACACCUUUUAGGUUGAAAAACGUUAGGGCAACAUACCAGAGGCUAGUGUAUAAGAUCUUUAUGCCCUUAAUUGGAAGUACAACAGAGGUGCUUAUAGAUGACAUGUUCUUAAACCAAGGGAUCUCAAUGAGCAAGUUUAGGAUUCAAAGGAGACCUCAACAUACUUAGGAAGUACCAGAUGAAAUUUAAUUUGGAAAAGUAUGUUCCGAGUGAGCUCAGACAAAUUUUUGGGUUCAUAGUAAGCCAUAUGGGGAUAGAAGCAAAUCCUAAGAAGACUAAUGUAAUGUUUUAUUUGCUAUUGUAUUGAUUACAUUGAUUGAUUCUAUAAUAACCAACAAUAUAGUAAAUAGUAAAUGAAGAGUCUUUGAUGCCCAAGGAGCAACUUGCUCCUAGUAUAGGUCACUUACUUUUCUUCUUAGUUUCUAUAAAAUAUCAGUAUGUUACAUGAAUCAAACCUUUUUAUAUAUAUAAAUAUAUGUAUAUGUAUAUAUAUAAUCCAUUACAUUUGGUUUCUUCGUCCUUUAUCUAUUUAAUUGAUAAGGACAUAGUGAUUAGUGUGAGUGUUAAUAUUUAUUUAAUUCAGUUGCCGCGUGAGAAUUGAAGUUGCAUGAGAAUGAAUAUUAUCAAAAUGCAUAUAUAGAAAUUGUUGUUAAUUAUUUGCAAGGACUUGGCUAAAUGACUGUCAAACAAUUUUAUUUGAUUGGCUAUCAAAGUUCAAAUCCUAAAAAGGCAUGAGGUUAAAAUAGUAAUUUGAGUAACCAACAAAGUAUUGGCUCCACUGGCAAUGGAGUCCCCCUUAAGUGACUUGACUGGGUUUGCUCCCCAGUUCGAGUCGCAGGGAAGUCGCCUUUAUUGGGAGAACCUGUGCCUCCCGGUUCGAGCGGGGACUUCUAGUCUGGGUUGUGGUACGGGCUUAAAAGUGCCUCCCACAGUUGGGGCCCUCCCCAAGAUACCUCAUGGUUAAGACAAAAAAAAAAAAAUAGUAAAUUGAGUAUUGUCCAUCACUCUUAUCUUUAAGGAAAAAAAAUGUUGUUGAUUAAAAUAAUACAUAUGUGUGUAGCACUUGAGUUUGCUUUUGACCUUACUUCUACACACUAACCCUUGAUGAAGAUUCCAAGUCUGAUAGGCUACUUCUAAUAAUGACAAUACGUACGUUGUUCUCUAUUGAUUUGUUUUUGGUCCCAUGCCGCAGCAAGCUUUUGAAUUUUUUUUUAUAAUUAUUUAAAAAAAUAUUUUAUUUAUUAUUUAAGUGCUCUAGCUAAAAUAAAAAAUUAUGAAAAUGUGCCAAACAAUUUUAAAAGAUUUCAUGUUACUCCUAGUUUAAAUUUCUAAUUUUAAAUAAUUUAAUUAACUAUUUAAAUAUUAUGAAAGUUAAAUCAAGACGAAAGACUGUAGCUAUUAAAAUAAAUAAAAAACUAAAUAAACAAAAGAAAUUCAUUUUACUCUUUUUACGUUUCUCGUCUUUUUUUAGUGCUUUGAAUGAAGGGUACUUUAUUUAUUUAUUUGAUACAGUGGGAGUGGAAUAGUCGAUCAGAGCAGUGCAUAUGCGUCCGUAUGUGGAUUUCAUUCUAGUUCCCAUAAAUCAAAGGCACUUUCCUACAAUUAUUUAGUUUUUUAAUAUUGAUCCCUAAAUUCUAACUCUAGUUAAUUUUAAUUUUCAAUUAUUCCAAUUGACCUUUUAUCUAGAAAAUUCCUAGUUUUAUCAUGUAUUCAUGUUAACUCUUAUGAACAUAUUUGCUAUCAUAAAAAGACUUUAGAGAAUAAAUUAAUUUAAAGAAUAAAUUAAGUGAUAACUUAAUUUUAUGCAUUGAAAAUUUUGCUUUUGAUUAUAUUAAUAAUGAAAUUGUUUCAUGUUAUCUUCCACACAUUAAAUCCCAUCGAGGAGCCUUCAACAAGGACAAUUGUAAUGAGAAAAUUUACUAUCAAUGAAUAUUAUAAUUGCAUGUUAUUUAUUGCUAUAUAAAAAUUUUAAAUUAUAUUAUAUUUUAAAAUGAAGUACUAAUCAAGUGCGUGCAGUUACACACCUUAUGGAGUACGAUAAUCACCCAUUUGAGAGUUGUAAGACACAACACUACUCGUCAAAUGAGAACUUAUCACACAAAUAGUUGUAUCCCUGAUCAUGUUCAAUUUUAAAUGUGCCCCAACUCAAUUUCGAUCCUAGCUACGUCCCUGUUAAACCUUUUUAUCUACCUACGAUUGAACAAUGGUUAACCAAUGCACGGUUUAAUAAUAAAUUCAUAAAUUUUAAGAGUACAAAUGUCAUUACUUGAAAUUCUUAUUUACAUAUCCACACGCAUAAUUUUAUUUUUGAUGACAUUUUAGUUUAUUUUUAGAACAUAUAAUUAACCGAACCAUACACUCUAUGGUUCUAGAACAAAAUCUUGAGUGACAAGUACACAAAGAUGACAAUACAGUUGUAUAAAAUAUUAGACCCGUAUUCUCUUUUAACACCACUUGUUGGAGAUAGUAUCUGGUCCAUCAAACACAUGCAGACAAAAAUGAUUUUGUCCGUCACUUUAAACCAAUCUUCCAACCUCAAAGAUAUAUACUCUCCCAUUUCUCAGAACACUUAAAAAAUUUCUGAGCGUGAAAUGGAAUUGACUCUGAAAUCCACAGCGUUCACCAUUGUUAUUGUAACAUUGGUAACAUGGGCAUGGAUGGUGCUGAACUGGUUGUGGCUGAGGCCCAAGAAGCUGGAGAAAUUCCUGAGACAGCAAGGUUUAAAAGGCAAUUCUUACAGGCUUCUGUUUGGUGACUUGAAAGAAAGUUCCAUCAUGUUGAAGAAAGCAAAAGCCAGACCUCUCAGUUUGGAUGAUGACGCUGCAGUUCGUGUUAAUCCAUUCCUUCCCAAACUGUUCAAGGAUUAUGGUAUGUAUGUCAGCGGCCUCAUAUUCUCUUUUACUUGUUUCCAAUUUCAGUAGGUAGCAGCCAAUCCACUCAUUGGUUGGCUGUGUGACCCCUUUCAAACCUCUAGCUGCCUUUUACAACUUUUACCAUUUCAUUUAUUUAGUAUUUAAGUGUUAGCUAAUAGAUGGAAAAAACAAAUUUAUUGAUCCUGAAAAGAGGUUAUCCAAAUAUUAUCUUGGACUAUUCUCCUCUACUAUAAUAAAAUCUAACAUCAUGGUUAUUUCAAAAGGAUUUUAAAUCAAUAAUUACAAGUAGUUCUACAACCCCUAGUAGCAUUAACAACGAAUCCAUUCAAUGAAUUACUUAUGGCUUUAUUUUUAGGUCCAUCUUGUCUAAAGUGGCUUUAAAAACGAUGUCAAAUGAACUGCCAGAGUCUAUCAAAAUCCUUUUAUAUUCUUUGCUUACAGCAUUGCCUUUUAUAAACACCACAUCUUUGUAUUGGUACAUAACUCCCACCUUAUAAUUGCAAAUAGUUUGGUCUUUGCACCUUUUUCCAAUGGUAUAUUGAAACGAACAUCAUGACUGCUCAUACUAUAUCUUUCAUAAUUUUUUUAGCACUAUUUGAGUCCUAUACUAAUGUUGGCCUUUUACAAUAACUCUAGCAUUGGCUCUUCCCGUGUUACAUCUUCAUUACUCACCUUUUCAGGCAACUUUUGCUCAUCUGCCAAUGGAAAUAAUAUAUUUACAUACUCAUUUGAAUAACAAUUUCUUACUAGAUCUUUGACCUUAUUUUUUAGAUCACGACAAUGCACCAUGAUCUGGCAAUAGUUGUCAUGAAAUUCGCAGAAUUUACUCUUGUCAUGUUUGUUAGUUGCUCUAUGAGAGAUGUUAGAGAGUACAACAGCACUUGAUCUUUAAUGGAGUGGUACAACUUUUCUAAUGAGACCUUUAAAGGUGUAUAUUGUCUAUAAACUAUAGUCUGCUCAUGUGUGGUUCUAUCUCUUGAGAAGCUUUAUGUCUAGCUAGAAAGAAUUAGUGGUGAUAGAAGGUUUACACCUGAUUUGUUUGACCUUUUGUCUUAGUUAGAUGUUCUGUUGGUCACUUGGUUGUCCUAAUUGGGUGCAAAUAUUUUGUUGAUUAUGACUUUUUAAUUGUUUUUUAUUAAAGGGAUCCUGAGUUGGCUUUAUUUGUGUAUGUUGGAUUAGGUCAAGACAAGAAAUAAUGCCGCGAGUAGGGUGCUCUCCUCAACCCUUACAUGCUUAAGUCAAUUUUACGGGUUUGCUUAAAAAAUAAAUACGGUGUCUUUUUUUUUGUAAAGAUGAAUGAGGAAAAGAAAAAAGUCUUCUUAAGUAAAUAGAGUAAGGAAAGGGAUAACAUGGAAAAAAAAUCUGAGAGAGAGGAAUAUGAAACUUAGAUUUGUUCAAAUUUUCUAAGAUUUAAUAGAGGGCAGAAUCUUCCUACUUUAGACUCUAGAAAAGCCCUUAAGGGAUAAAACUCGAUUCUUUAUUUUUCAGAGAAAUCAAUGGGGCAAUUUUAAUUGAGUCUUUUUUUUUCGUUAGUUCAACUUAAAUGUCUCGAGAAUAUCUGCUUAUAGGUUUCUUCCUAACAAGCUAUCUGCUCGUGUAUUCUUUUUGUCUUGAACAGUCGCUUAUUGAGGCCUAGCAAGAAACCUAUUGGGAUUAUCUGUUAGUGAAUUGUUUAUAUCUCUGUUUCACAAUGAAGAAAGUGCUAUGAGGUACGAAGAAACACUUAAUCGUGUUCCCACAAUUUUAUUACCCAAACAAGGGCGAUGUUAUAGGGUUAGGAUCUCUUCAUCUUAAGAAGAAGGUUUGUGGGUUCUCAUCAACAUUAUCAUCAGAUAUUGCUAAAAGGAAUCACAACUUCAACUAUGACAUUUCGAGGUACACUAGCAACUUUGAUGAUGGAAAGUGUCAGCAAGAGAAAUUUGAUUUCUACAGUUACGACGAUUCUCUUUUAUAUUUGUUCAAGUGCAAUUGAACCUAUAAGGCGAUUUGGAAGAUCCAUAAUUUUUUUCUGGUUUUUUGUAUUUCAAUAUAUAAUACAAUUUAAUCAAUCAUGUAGGAACACGAUGACAAUGCAUGUUGUUGUUGGGGCCAUCUGGACAUAGACACAAAAAAAAAAAGAAGACAAUAAUGGUGCAUUUACUAACUGAUAAUCAAAAUGAGUAGAAAUUAGAAUGGGUUAGAAUGAAAAUCAAAAUAGGAUGCUUACCUGAGCUAUAAAAAUUGGAAUCAGAAUGGGUUGUAUUCCUAUUGAUUUGCUUACUUUAUCUAAGAAUUGGAAUUGAUUGUUUUAAGUUAUUAAUGCCCUAAGUUAAUUAUUUCCAUUUUUUAUUAUUUAUUAUAAUAAUUUUGAAUAUUAUUAUUUAAAAAAUAUUGUUAUUAAUAAUGAAAAUAAUAAUAAUCAAUAUAGUUGAUAAUGAAAAUGCUAAUAAUAGUAACAAUAUGAUGAUGAUGAUGAUGAUGAUGGUGAUGGUGGUGGUGGUGGUGAUGAUGGUGGUGGUGGUAACAAUAAUAAUAAUAAUGAAAAUAAUAAUAUUAUUAUUAAUAUUAAGGAUAGUAAUAAUGAAAAUAAUAAUAAUAUCCACGAUAAUAUUAAUAAUUUUAACAAUAAUAAUAGUCAUUUUGAUGAUGACAACGACCAUGAUUAUUAUUAUUAUUAUUGUUGUUGAUGCUGUUGUUGUUCUUGUCAUCGUCAUUAUUGUUAUAUUAUCAUUAUUAUUAAUAUUAAUUUAAUAAGAACAAUUAUUAUUAUUAUUAUUGACAACAAUGAUAAGAAUAAGAAUAACAAUAAUAAGAAUAACAAUAAUAUAUUAAUAAUUUAGUUUGGGAUAAAAGUGAAAUAAUGAAAUUUGGAUAACAAUAAUAUAUUAAUAAUUUAGUUUGGGAUAAAAGUGAAAUAAUGAAAUUUGGGUGGAGUAAAAUGGUGAGUUAAAGGAAUGGGAACUUAAAUCCAAUCCCUCAUAGGAAUUAAGUUUUCGUUCCUUAAUCCCAAAACUAUAGUGGCCUCAUAUGUUUCAUUCUCAUUCCCCUUUAAUUUCUAUUUUAACAAGUAAACAAUAUCAAUUAUUCUUAUUUUGAAUUCAAAUUUUCAAUCACACAAGUAAAUACACCAUAAACCCAACUAGAUUUAUAUACUUAAUUUACGACUGUAAUCCUAGUCGGGUGUACACAUAAUUGUUUCUUUAUCAUUUUUUAUAUAGAUAUAUUUGGUCCUCAUAAUGAGUAAUGUCUGAUUUAUUAUAAAGAGUUGGUCUAUAGAUAUGCGCUCCAUAAUCUCUUCAAAUCCAAUUUCUCCGUUUACCCCAUUUAAAUAUUGGAUUUUUCUAUGAUGAUGUAUGACUUUUUACACUAUUAAUAAUGGGAUUGUUCUAGCCUAUUGGAUUUGAAUAUUUUAAUCUCUACCAUUACUUUAAUUAAAUGGAUAAAUAAUUAGUUAAUUAAUAAGCAAUAGGUAGCUUUCAAAAUUAAGUUGAUGAAUUCAAAUUAAGAGAUAAGAAUUUAUAAGUUUUAUUUAUACAAAUAUUUUACACUGUUCAUGAAAAUCUCAAGGUGUACAUUUAUUAUAUUAUUGAUGUCGUAGAAAAAAUAACAGUAUUAUAGAGAGACCUACUUAACACCUCUUAAUAAUAGUGUAAAGUUGAUUUAAUUAGCUUAUUAUAAUUAAAGAGUAUAAUAAUAAUAAUAAUAAAGAUAUGUGCAUUCAUUUAUGAAACUGAUGGUGAGACUAAUGUGAAAUACAAGAUAUGAACAUUUAAAACAAGUCUCACAGCGCUUUAUAUGAAAAAUAAUUGUAUUGAUUAUUUUCUUUACGGAACAUUUUUUUUUUCCUUGUCCUGAAGUACCCACAUUUUAGUGCAUUUUGUGCAUAUGUGUGCCUUAUAAGUUGCCCAUGAAAUGAUAUUGCAUUCUUACGAAUUGAAAUAUUACUUUUCAUAAAUUUGAAAACAUGAAUGAUAAUAGAGCUUCGUCAAGAAGAUAUAUGUCAGAGCAAAAUAUAACUAGAGAUUUAUGCUAAUACCUCGUCAAAUCAAUCCAGACCAAGUUGAGUUGUAACCUAAAUUUAAUUUUAUAUUCAUUUAUGGUACAACAAAAUAAAAGAUUAUUUUUUAGAAGAGAUCACCAAUUGCAAAGUUCAAAAAAAUUAUUCUAAGUAAUAUAAAUAAGCUUUAUAUAAAUGAAUAAAUGAUGUCAAUUUAGUUACUGUUCGGUAUUGAGGUGGCGUAAAUUUUAAACUACAGCUGUUGUGAAAAAAAAAAUUGUGACCAUACAAUAAAAGUUAAUAGUAUAUAGUAAAUAUAUUUUUUAAAUAAUAAUUUUAAUAAAAUUAGUAAAAAUAUAAUAAAUUUUUCAUUAUACAAGUAUAAAAUCAAAUUAAUUUAACUUUUAAACUAAAGCACUAAUCGCUUUAAUGUUAUAACUUCUAAGGCACAACUACGGAAUCUCAAUCUCAAAUAGAGCCUUAAUAUAUUGUAUAACCAAAGCACAACAACUACAACAAUUAACAAGUUUUAAAGUAUUAUUAAUUAUUGAAGCAUUUAUGUUACUAUGAGGAGCAGAGGUGUGAUUGAAUAUGAGCAAGCUAUAUGCCCAUUAUGCAAUUUUUUUCCUUCACUAGGCAAAGAAAGGACGAUUUUUAUUUAAAGCGCUCAUAUAUAUAACUUCACAUAUAUGGUUGUUGAUUCUGCAACAAGUACAGUAAGAAAUAGCACAACUACUGAUCUAAAGCAACGAACACACUUACAAAUUAACCUUAGGCUGUAGGUGAUUUUCAAUUACUUCUUUUAUAUCCUAUGUCUUCGUCUCGCUCUCCUAUCCUUCUUCUGCUGGUCUCCUUCAACCAUCAUCACUAACCAUUGUGGUUUUCCUGUUGAGAAUACCAUGUAUCCAAUAGACAAUCCAAUUACCAGUCCAGAUGCAUACCCCAUCUUCGCCAUUUUCCAAUCAAACCAGCUUGUACUUUCAUCUUCCUUACGAUCAAUAGAAGCCGAAGGAGGCGUUUUUGGCAUCAUUGAUGCAUGUUACUGUCCAUGGCUCUCCACACAAAUGAAUGUUCCCAAUAUAGGAAUCAUUUUCAAACGUAUUAAAUUGAUUGCCGCGAGGAAUGCGUCCCCAAAGCCGGUUAUAUGAAAGAUUUAACAAUGCAAGGGCUAUAACGCUUAACAACUGCUCUGGAAUCCUUCCGUGAAGCUGGUUAGAAGACAGGUCCAAUGAUUCAAGCGGUGUCAUAUUCACAAAGGAAACCGGAAUAGAACCUGUUAGGCCAUUGUGAGAAAGGUUGAGCACAAUCAGUGAUUUGAAGUCUCCAAGUACUUGAGGAAUUUCUCCCUGAAACAGAUUGCUGGACAGAUCAAUGGUUGUAAAAAUUGUUAUGAUUCUUUUUAGUACCACAUCGCGCCCUUUCACUGUCACUGUUAUGAAAUGCAAGUUAUGCAACCCAAGAGGGGGGGUGAAUUGAGAUUUUAAAAUUUAUGCAAUACAAUUCGCACAACAAUUUAAUCUAUUGCCUUAAUCAAAUCAAAAACAACAAAUUCAGUCAAGCACAAUAUUAAAAGAAUAAGGGAAGAGAAAACAAACACAAUGAUUUUUACGUGGUUCGGCUAUCCCCGCCUACGUCCACGCCUCCAAGCUCACCCGGCUUGAGGAUUUCACUAUCCAAGCCUCCCAAGGCUUCAAAUGUUUACAAUUGACUUCCAAGGUGUCAAUGAACCUUUACAACGAGAGAUUAUCUCCUCAAUCUCUUCACCUCAAGUGUUUCUCACACUUGUACACUCACAAUUUGAUGAGAAAUGAAAAUCACAACAAUGAAACUCUCUUUAAGAGUAGAUAACAAAUUAUAGCUCAAUGAUGAUUCAAUAAAUGAUGAUUUGCGAAAUGGAAGCUCAAUAUAUGUUAUAUGAUCUUGUUUUUCCUUGUAUUAGUCCUUAGAAUGAAGUUUGAGUUGAGUUUUUAUAGUGAAAGCCCAAAAACUAGCCGUUAUAGGCAAAUUCCCGUGCUCAAGCGGUUAGCUGCUUGAUUAUCCGGCUAGCCGCUCAGGAAUAGUGAUAUUACCGUUAUUUUUGAAUUUUACUACAGUAACAGUGUUCACUGAAAUUACACUUUGACCCAAAACUUUCUAUAAUUAUACUAUGGCCCAAAACGUCAUAAAACUUUACAAAUAGGUCCAAUUUCAGAACUUCCUAAAAAUGGUUGUCUUUCUCAAACUUUCUGAAAUUAUGAUAUGGCCCCAAGGAUUUUAUUAUGUCGCACAAAGGUCAUUUUCAACAUAAUACCUAUAUUUUUCAAAGUUCUCAAAACCUUUCACUUUAGUCCAAAAUAUUCAUAAAUUAUAGUAUGGCCCAAAACAUUUCAAAUGUUUAUAAAAACGUCCAACUCCGAAAUUUAAUACUUAUUUAAAAUUAAAGAUUUCAAAUCUUAGCAUUUAAGUCCAAAUUACUUAAAUCCACAAAAUACUUUACUUUAUAAAAAUAAAACAUUUUAGUUUAUGAAAAGUAUUUAAUUAAAUUAAUCUCUUGAGCUUCUCAAAUGCUAAAUCAUGCAUUAAUUAAAUCAUACCAGCGUUACAAGAAUUUGUCGCAAUAAUUUAUCCAUUUAGCUCUAAACUUUAUUCUUGAUUUCGCCGUUGUCCGUUGUCCGUUGUAAUAGUGCAAAAUACUUCCUAUAAAUAGAGGGAGUUUUUCAUUUGUUAAGCAUCCCUAAAUUUGUUAAGCUUAUAAGUUUCUAAGCUUUUGAGAGUUCUGAGAGUGUGAGCAAUUGGAGAGUGUGUGUGAGAGUACUGGGUGUAUUUGGAUUAUGGGAAAGUGAGAUUUUUUACUCAAAUUUGUACUCAAAUAAUUGUUAAUAAUACAAUUAUUUUUCUCUUCCUCUCGUGGACGUAAGCAUAUUGUCGAACCACGUAAUUCUUGUAUCCUUUAUUUUUCUGUGAUUAUUCGGUGCGCUUGAUUCCGCAUUCCGCGCACAACAAGUGGUAUUAGAGCCGAUGGUUCGUACUUAGGGGAUACGGCACUAUUCACAUAUACGGUACUGUUCACGUACGGUACUAUUCACGAAUACGAUGGAGAUGGCCGUUUAUACUUGGGAGACAAUCUAUUAUAAGUAGUGUGUAUUUUUACAUGUUUAAGAAAGUUCUGUCAAUAAGGCGAUAAGAGUUUAAGGAUUUUGUUUUUUAAUUGGGACCGAAUUCCCAUCCAGUCUCUUGGAAACUUUUCUGGUACAUUUAUUCACACGAAAUUAAUAUCAUAGAGAAUGUUUUUCAAGUGGAAAUAGUUCGUUGAGAAAAUGGUAGAAGGUGAAACUUCUAGAAUUAGGGAGAGAUCUACCGAGACUAUUUCAGGAGACACUUCAGGUGGGAGGCGAGAUUUGUCAAAUCACUAUUCAACACCUAUUAUAGGAGGCCAAAAGAUCAAUGUUGAAAAAUUUGAUGGGAAAAUCAACUUCGGCAUGUGGAGGCGCGAAGUUAUGGAUGCCCUUAUUCAAAUCGAUCUCCAUGUUGUUCUGAAAAAUAAAAGACACUUGUAUAAUGAAGAAAUUUGGGAUCGUAUGAAUGAAAAAGCCUAUGGUAUAUCUUUUUUUACCAAGGAGGUGAAAUACUUGGCGAAAGAUGAGGAGUGUGCGAUGACUUUGUGGCGUACAUUGGAGGAGAAAUACUUGCUGAAAAGUCCUGAAAAUUAUCUUCAUGCAAUGAGCCAAGUAUAUGGCUUUCGAAUGAACCCUGGGGUGUCAAUGCACGAUCAUGUCUCAAGAUUUGAAAACAUACUUGCUGAUUUAAAGAAUCUUGAUGAAGAUAUUAAGGAUGAAGUCAAGGCUAUGAUUCUGUUACACUCACUACCAGAGGAAUAUAGUCAUUUUGUGACUACUUUGAUAUAUGGGAAGAGUGUGAUCGUCUUCAAAGAUGUUUGCACAAGUGNNNNNNNNNNNNNNNNNNNNNNNNNNNNNNNNNNNNNNNNNNNNNNNNNNNNNNNNNNNNNNNNNNNNNNNNNNNNGGAGAAAAAAAAGAAGCGCGGUGGAAAGAAUUCUUGAUCCAAAUCGAGAAGCAGAAAUAUAGCUCGAGACGAGUGUGCUUUUUGUCAUGAAAAGGGUCAUUGGAAAAAAGGAUUGUCCAAAGGCUCAAAAGAGAGAUGGGAAGAAACCAGCAGUAGCAAACAUGGCACGAAAAGAUGAGGACUUUGAUUAUUCACUAAGUAUUACUCCUACAUCAUACGUGGCUAGUUCGAGUGAGUGGAUACUUGAUACUGGAGCAACCUACCAUUUGUGUCCUAUUAAGGAAUGGUUUAUGGAUUUUCGUAAUAUAGAAUCCAAUGCAGUUGUGAUGGGGAAUGAUCAACCUUGUUGUAUAAUGGGGAUAGGAAUAAUUUGGCUCAAAAUGUUUAAUGGAAUGAUCAGAGAACUCAAAGAGGUUAGAUUUGUUCCAGUUUUAAAGAAAAAUCUAAUUUCUAUGGGUGCUUUGGAAGCUAUAGGAUACAAGGUUACCAUUGAAAAUAGCACAAUGAAGUUUACACAUGGGGCUAUGGUAAUUCUGCAAGGGAUUCGGCGUCACAAUUUAUACUAUUUGAAGGGAGGUACAACUAAUGAAGCAAAUGUUGCUGUAGCGCACAAUAACACCACCAACCUAUGGCACGUACGGUUGGGACAUGCUGGAGAGAAGUCUUUGCAAACUUUGAUGAAGUACAGACUCUUAAAAGGUACUAAAACUUGUAAAUUAAAUUUCUGUGAGCAUUGUGUAGUAGGCAAAAAAACAAGGGUCAAAUUUGGUACAGCUAAUCACGAUACUCGUGAGAUCCUUGAAUAUAUUCACAGUGAUGUAUUGGGACCAACCAAGAAUGCAUCAAUUGGUGGAAGCCAUUAUUUUGUUACAUUUGUUGAUGAUUUCUCUAGACGUGUGUAGGUGUACACCAUGCGAGCAAAUGAUGAGGUUUUAGAGAUUUUCGUGAAAUGAAAGAAAUUGGUGGAGACUCAAACUGGCAGAAAGAUCAAAGUAUAUAUAUUACGAUAUGAUAAUGGGGGUGAAUAUACUUCUAAUCCAUUCUUGCAAGUAUGCCAGAAUGAUGGUAUUAAAAGACAUUUCACGGUGAGACAUAUUUCGCAAUAGAACAAUGUGGCUGAGCGUAUGAAUCGUACUUUGCUGGAGAAAGUACGGUGUAUGUUAUCUAAUGCUGGUUCAAAUAAAAAGUUUUGGGCUGAAGCUGUGAGCUACGCAAGUCACUUAAUAAACUGGUUACCUUCUGCUGCAAUUGGAGGUAAUACUCAUAUGGAAAUGUGGUCUGAAAAGUAUGCACAAGACUAUGAUUCCCUUCGUAUAUUUGGGUGUCCAACUUAUUAUCAUGUCAAAGAUGGUAAACUGGAUCCUCGUGCUAGAAAAAUUAUCUUUGUGGGAUUCAAAGGUGGAGUAAAAGGCUUCAAGUUUUGGGAUCUCGAAGAUAAAAAGUUUGUGUGAAGCCGAGAUGUCACGUUUGAUGAAACUUUAAUGAUGAAAGUUUCAAGUUCUCAGUAGGUGAAAAAUAAAACCACAGAGGUAUUACAGCGGGUGGAGUUUGAUGAAACUCCAUAUAUAGCAAUUAGUUCUAUAUCAGAGAAUGGUUCAACAAUGGAGGUGACACCUAGAGUUGAAGAAGAGGUUGUUUCUUCUAAUGUCCCACAAAAUGAAGAAACAAUUGAUGAUGUAGAUAAUGAUGAUUUUAUAGCAACAAGGAAGCCAAUAGGAGAGAUAAAGAAACCCGAAUGACUUACUAAAGAUAUGGUGGUAGCCUAUGCACUUCCAGUUAUUGAUGAUGACAUUCCCAACACUUUCGGUGAAGCAUUACGCAACAGUGAAAGUGAUCAAUGGAAGUUAGCCAUGGAAGAAGAGAUGACAUCUUUCCAUUAAAAUCAGACUUGGGAACUUGUGGAGUUACCAAAGGGGAAAAGGGCUAUUGGCAAUAAAUGGGUCUACACUAAGAACCAAGGAUCUCCGAAUCAAUCAACUCCUAGAUACAAGACAAGACUCGUUGCGAAAGGUUUUGCUCAAAUGGAAGGUAUUGACUAUAAUGAAAUUUUCUCUCCAGUUGUAAAACAUACUUCUAUUUGUAUUCUACUUGCCGUAGUUACAGAAUAUGAGUUAGAGUUGGCUCAAUUGUAUGUUAAGACGGCAUUCUUACAUGGAGAUUUGGAGGAGGAAAUCUAUAUGACUCAGCCUUGUGGUUUCAAAGUUGCUGGAAAAGAUAAUCAUGUGUGUAGAUUGAUUAAAUCUUUAUACGGACUGAAGCAAUCACCAAGACAGUGGUACAAAAGAUUUGAUCAAUUUAUACAAGGGCAAAAAUUCACCAGAAGUGAACAAGAUCAUUGUGUUUACUUUAGAAGACUAUUAGAUGGAGCUUUCAUCUAUUUGUUAUUAUAUGUCGACGAUAUGCUUAUAACUUCGAAGAAUAGAGAUGAGAUUGAAAGAUUAAAGAAGCAGCUGACUUUUGAGUUCGAGAUGAAAGACUUAGGUGAUGCACAGAGAAUACUUAGGAUGGAGAUUCGUAGAGACAAGAAGAAUGGGGAGCGUAUAGUUGACUCAAAAGUCUUAUUUGAAGAAAGUGCUAGAAAGAUUCGGUAAGGAUGACAAAACUAAACCAGUAUGUACACCUCUAGCUCCUCAUUUCAAAUUAAGCUCUUCUUAAUGUCCUAUAUCUCAAGAAGAGCGUAAUUAUAUGGCUCGUGUUUCAUAUGCUAGUGUUGUGGGUAGUCUUAUGUAUGUUAUGGUAUGCACAAGGCCCGGUACAUCUCAAGCAGUGAGCAUGGUUAGUAGAUACAUGCACAAUCCGGGUAAAAAUCACUAGCUUGUUGUGAAAUGGAUUCUCUGAUAUCUGUAUGAGACAGUUGAUGUUGGGUUAUUGUUCAAGAAGGAUUGUGGUCAACAAUCUGUUGGGUAUUGUGAUUCUGAUUUCGCCGGAGACCUAGAUAAGCGAAGAUCAACAACAUGCUAUGCAUUCACAUUAGGUGGAGGUCCGGUUUGAAAUGCAAGUUAUGCAAUCCAAGAGGGGGGUGAGUAGGGAUUUUAAAAUUUAUGCAAUACAAUUCGCACAACAAUUUAAUCUAUUGCCUUAAUCAAAUCAAAAACAAUAAAUUCAAUCAAGCACAAUAUUAAAAGAGUAAGGGAAGAGAAAACAAAUACAAGGAUUUUUACGUGGUUUAGCUAUCCCUGCCUACGUCCACGCCUCCAAGCUCUUUCGGCUUGAGGAUUUCACUAUCCAAGCCUCCCAAUGCUUCAAAUGUUUACAAUUGACUUCCAAGGUGUCAAUGGACCUUUACAACAAGAGAUUAUAUCCUCAAUCUCUUCACCCCAAGUGUUUCUCACACUUGUACACUCACAAUUUGAUGAGAAAUGAAAAUUACAACAAUGAAACUCUCUUUAAGAGUGAAUAACAAAUUAUAGCUCAAUGAUGAUUCAAUAAAUGAUGAUUUGCGAAAUGGAAGCUCAAUAUAUGUUAUAUGAUCUUGUUUUUCCUUGUAUUUAUUCUUAGAAUGAAGUUUGAGUUGAGUUUUUAUAGUAAAAGCCCGAAAACUAGCCAUUAUAGUCAAAUUCUCGCGCCCAAGCGGUUAGCCGCUUAAUUUAUCGGGCUAGCCGCUCAGGAACAGUGAUAUUACCGUUAUUUUUGAAUUUGCUAUAGUAACACUGUUCACUAAAAUUACACUUUUGGCCCUAAACUUUCUGUACUUAUACUACGGCCCAAAACGUCAUAAAACUUUGCAAAUAUAUCCAAUUUCAGAAUUUCCUAAAAAUAAUUGUCUUUCCCAAACUUUUUGAAAUUAUAAUAUGGCCCCAAAUAUAAUAGUAUUUUUUAAAGAGGUCCUUUUUAAAUUUAGCAUAAUACCCAUAUUUUUCAAAGUUCUCAAAACCUUUCAAUUUAGUCCAAAAAUUGAAAAUAUGAGAUUUUCCUCAGGUGGCUAGCCGCUAGCCUCAGGUGGUUAGCCGCUUCCUCUCUGUCCAAUUUUGGAUUUCAAGUGUUUAGAUUAAAUUCGGGUCCUCAAACUUUCAUAAAUUAUAGUAUGGCCCAAAAAGUUUCAAACCUUUGCAAAUAAGUCCAACUUUGAAUUUCAAAAUAAUAUUUAUUAAACUCAAAGAUUACAAAACUUUUUCAUUUUAAUCCAAAUUACUCAAAUCCACAAAACACCUUAUCUUAUAAAUAUAAAACCUUUUAGUUUAUGAAAAGUAUUUAAUUAAAUUAAUCUCUUGAGUUUCUCAAAUGCUAAAUCAUGCAUCAAUUAAAUCAUACCAGCUUUACAAGAAUUUAUCGCACUAAUUUGUCCAUUGAGCUCUAAAGUUUAUUCUUGAUUUCGCCGUUGUCCGUUGAGUGUGUUCAAUCUUGAUUUCACUUGAUUCACUUGCAUAAAUAUUAUCUUUCAAAACUAGUGAAAAUGUGAAAUACAAUAUUUAUUAUUUUUACUUAAGACACAUGUUUGUUAUCAUCAAAAUUACAUUAUGUGUAGCCCUUUAGGCUAACAUAGUUUGCUAGAGGUCGAUUUUGCAAUUGACAAUUGCUCUGUCCACUACGGAAGUAGAGUAUAUGGCAGCAACUGAAUCUGUAAAAUAAGUUAUCUGAUUGAAAGGCUUGUUAGAUAAUUUGGGAGUAAUCCAGGAGAAUAUUACAGUCUUCUGUGAUAAUCAAAGUGCGAUAUUCCUUGAGAAGAAUCAAACAUAUCACGCUCGGACAAAGCACAUAGAUGUGAAAUAUCAUUAUGUUGUUGAGAAAGAUCGAUACUAAAGAUAAUCCAUCAGAUAUGUUGACGAAUGUAGUUUUUGGAGUUAAGUUUCAACAUUGCUUGAAACUGAUUCAAAUCCUUUGAUUGUGUUAAGUUAUGUCCUUCGAGAAUUUUGAACUACAGUUGGCUUGAUCCUAAAUUUUGGGUAUGUAGGCAGUCACAGAGAUGCAGCCAUUUUGGGGAUGAUGAUCCGUUGGUAAGUCGGCUCAAAUUUGGACAAAUCUUCGCUGGGAUGGAGAAUUGUUGAAAAGUUGACAAAACAUGAUGACAAAUUGGCCAAAGUUGGCACCAAACCUUGAAAAUUUGACACAUGCAUGUGGCUAAGCAUGCAAAGCUUGAAAAGUUGGCACCGACCCUUAGAAAUUGAAGCCAAAGGAGUUGGUGAAGCAUGUGACAGUUUGACAAAUUCACAACUACUUUGACAAAUUGGCAAAUUAUUGGUGAGCGCUGAAUUUGUAAUAGUGCAAAAUACUUCCUAUAAAUAGAGGGAGUUUUUCAUUUGUUAAGCAUCCCUAAAUUUGCUAAGCUUAUAAGUUUCUAAGCUUUUGAGAGUUCUAAAAGUGUGAGCAAUUGAAGAGUGUGUGUGUGAGUACUGGGUGUAUUUAGGUUCUGGGAAAGUGAGAUUUCUUACUCAAAUUUGUACUCAAUAAUUAUAAUUAUUUUUCUCUUUCUCCCGUGGAUGUAGGCAUAUUGCCGAACCAUGUAAUUCUUGUGUCCUUUAUUUUUAUGUGAUUAUUCGGUGCGUUUGAGUCCGCAUUCCGCGCACAACAGAAACUUGGGGGAGAUUUGAGAACCACUGAAAUAGUUGAAAGCAAGGUUGAGAGAUUGGAGAUGUAAAAGAUGAAAGAGCGUGCUAGUGUCAUCGAUGGUACCCUCAAGUUUAUUGCAAUGAAGAUUGAGGCCAAGCACAUUUCUCGUAACAAUAUCACACGUUACUCCAUCCCAUGAGCAGCAAUCGGUUCCUUCCUUCCAAGAGAUUGUCUUAGGAUAAGAAAUUCCUAAACAAAAAGAGGAACCUGCUCGAUCAUUACGAACAUAUGUGCUAUUUUUAAAUUGAAGCAAAGCUAAACUUUGUUCCUGAGGGCAUAAAUGAAAUGAUGAUGAAAAAUUCAAUUGAAAAUAACCAAAUAAAAAAGACAAAGAAGAGGAAAAAGAGACCGGGGACUUGAUUAUGCCAUGCAAACCUCUCCAUCAUUUUUAAGUGUUUAAUAUAAAGACACUGACAAGUACUUACAUAUAAUAUUUGAGGUAGAUGACAUGAAUUUAUAUGCAUUCCAUGGACAGAGUAUCUUUGGUCUUUAAGGGCCUGUUUGGUAGCGUUUUUGGGCCAGUGUUUUCAUUUUCAUUUUCGGAUUACUGAUAUAAUAUGCGUUUGGUUGAUUGAAUCCAAAAACAAAUUACAAAAUAAGAAAUCCAAAUUCACUUUUUAUAACUAGUAAAGUAAAAACAUGUUUAACAUGUUCUCUGCUUAUUACAAAACCGAACUCAAAAACAAAUUAAAAAAUAAAAGCCAACAAAAAAUCUCAUUCACGAACUCACGGUGCUCUCUCUCCAUCCUUUCCUGAUCUACUCACAGUGUCCUCUCUCCCUCCUUUCUUGAUCUGCUCACAACGAAGCUCUCUCUCUCUCUCUCCUUAUCUUUGCCAAUCUACACACAACAGCAAGCUCUCUGUCAUUUUCUCUCCAGAUCUGAUCUUUCUCAAUUUGCCCAUCUCGGUUGCUGCACUUCAUCUCUGGCGUCGUUGUCGCUUCACUUGAUCGCCGUCGCUAUCGCUUCAUCUCCAACGUUGCUGGUGCGCCAUCUCACUGCAACCACUGCUGCUCCAUCCAACUACCUUGACUGCUUUUGCUAUCUCAGGCCUCAGCUCCAUCUUUGUUAUGUGAGUUGCUGAUAUUUUUCGUUUUUAAGGCUUGUGUACAAUCGAAUUUGGCAUUCAUUGGGUUUUAAUUUGCUUUGGAAAAUGGUGAAUGUUGAGAAUCCAUACUCAAUAAUUAUUUUCUAUUUUAAAAGGGAUCGAUUCCACUGCCAUGGACAUGAAGGAGAAGAAAUUGACAGUGAUAGGAACCGUUGAUCCUGUAAACGUUAUGAGCAAAUGGAGAAAAUAUUGGCCGACAGAUAUAAUAUUAGUUGGGCCAACAAAGGAGCCAGAGAAGCCAAAGGAGGAGUCGAAGAAGGAAGAACCGAAGAAGAGAGAGGAAGCUAAGAAAGAAGAGCCCAAACGCAUUGAAGGGAAUCCUUACUUGACCACUCAUUACCAUGUUCAAAGCAUUGAAGAGAAUCCAAACGCUUGUGUUAUUUGUUAAUUUCUCAACAAAAAUUAAAGACAUUUUGCUAAAUUGGUGACUUUUUGAAUGUCAUCAAUUCUUAUAGUAAGCAGGCAACAUCAAGAUAUCAAACCUGUGUAUAUAAAAGGUGCUGCCUCCUUUGUUUCUUUCCAUGUCUGAGUGAGUAAUUGAACUGUAGAGAAAAUAAAUAAAACUUUUUAAAUUUUGUUUAUGUUCAUCAUCAAUUUUUUUCCUCUUCCCUUUUUUUUGGUUAGUUAUUUUCAUUAUGUACACCAGAGGAUCAAAGUCGAUAAAGAUUUAGCCUCGAAUUAGUGUUCAUUUCUAGUGGCAUUUUUCUUAUUUUUGCUAAGCUAAAACUGAUUAUAAUGUGCUUAAAUAAUUAAGCUUAAAAAAAUUUUAUUCGACGAGAACAUACAAGAGAUUACCAAAUGCAUAUUCUCUGUUUUUAUUAUUUUUAAUUUUGUCUACCAAACGCAUAUUACUGUUUUCAGUUUUAAAAUAUAGAUUACAGAAAAUGAUACCAGAUGCAUAUUUAGAUGCGUAUUUGUCAUGCCCACGCGUUGUAGGUAGGUCAAGAAAGAACCCUUGGGUCUAAUACAACAACGCGGGCAUGACAAAUCUAGAUUAUUAGAAUUAUUUUAGGCAUUUUUCGCGUUCUGUUAUUUUUAUCGAAUCCUAUCUCCCACCGUUACUUAUUUUUGGACAACUAACCAGUUGAUAUUGCCUCUGCAAGGUGGAACUAACUAAAUGUCAACAAGCUUAUUGUUUGAAACCUCAAUGCCGGUGAUCGUUACUAAUUAACAAGAGGUAAUUAAAUAAGAAGCUUUAAUGAGUACUAUUGAUAUGAAGCAUACAAUUUAUAGUUGGUUUUGUUUUAUUUUAUUAUUACCUAUCCAAUUACCAUGAUCAUGCAAAUUGUUAAGAUGUUAGGUGGCUGUUGCUUGGUGUGCAUACAACUACACAACUGGUUUUCAGAAAAGAGAAAAAAAGGGGUAAUUGGUUUGACGAAGGAGGAUUUUAAGUUAAGAGUUAUAUUAUGUGUAUUUAGUUGAGAUACUUAAUUUGUAUUCUAACUAAUGUUUCACCAAUACAAAUUUAUUAUUUGAAUUGAAAGUUAUAAGGUCACUUGAAGUAAUCAAUAAAGUGAUGCAUCACUUGCUAGAAUAGUUAGAAUAUAAAAUAAGUAUCCCAACAAAAUAAUAAGAAGAGCACUAUUGUUUAAUUAAAAAGCGGGUAAUUUUUAAAAACCUCCCCUGAUGUUUGAGCUUGUUGCAAGUAGAUGACGAGAAUCUGUUUAUUUGUAAAAAAACUCCCUACCGUCAGUUAAUUUUAACAUUGACCGUUAGUUGACUGUACAAAGACAAUAUUACCCUUAACAAUAGUUUGUAGAGGGAAAUAAUUAAAAAAAAAUAAAAUUAUUGGUUAUUUUACCCUCUUUAAAUUAUUGAUAUUUUCUUAAAGUUCCUACAAAAAAAUAAAAUUAAAAACUUGAAAAAUCCUCUUUAAAUUAUUGAUAUUUCCUUAAAGUUCCUACAAGAAAGAUAAAAUUAAAAACUUAAAAAUGAAAUAAUCAUAAUCUUUAUCUAUGAUAUUGCAAAAUCUUUGGAAUUGACAAGGAUAAAAUUGUCAAAAAAUAGGGUUUGUGUUUUUCACGCCAAUAAUUUUAGUUUUUUUUUAGUUAUGUCAGUGUACAAACUAUUGUUAAGGGCAAUAUUGUCUUUACACAGUUAACUAACGGUCAAUGUUAAAAUUAACUGACGGUAGGAAAUUUUUUACAAAUAAACAGAUUCUCGCCAUCUACUUGCAAUAAGCCCAAACCUCAGGAGAGGUUUUUAAAAAUUACCCAUUAAAAAGCUAAUACAUAACUGUACAAACAUCACUGUUGAUUCUGCUCCAAGUACAACCAAAAACAGCACAGCUAUGUAAUCCAAAGCAACAAAUACACACUUACAAUUUAACCUCUGGCUACUGCUGACCUUCACUUUUUUCUUCUACCUCCUGUGCCUUCGUCUUGCGUAUCUAACCUUCUUCUACGGGUCUCCUUCAACCAUCUUCACUAACCAUCGUGGCUUUCUGUUGAGAAUACCAUGUAUCCAAUUGACAAUCCAAUCACCAGUCCAGACGCAUCCCCCACUUCGCCAUUUUCCAAUCAAACCCGCUUGAAGUUUCAUCUUUAUCGUCAUCAGUAGUAGCUAAAGGAUGCACUUUAAUUAAACAACAAAAAAAAAAGGAUGCACUUUAAUUCGACACCUUGGUUUGAGGAAUGAGUUGUUUUAGAAGAAAAGCGAUGGAAAGAUGGUGAAAAAUCAACUUGAAAACUAUAACCAAACAAAAGGAAGUAGAAGAAAAAGAGAGUGCAGGAGACUUGGUUAUAAUGCCAUAAGAACCUCUCCGUGGUUACUAGGAAUUAAUACAAAGAAACGCAACGAUUACUUACAUAUGUCUAAUUGUUGAGAGGCAGAUAGAUGGGUGUUAUAUUCAUUACAUGGACCGCAUCUUUGGUCUUUUAUGUUUCAUUUCCAGGCCGGGCAUGUUGCGAGUUGGUAAAAGAUUGAUUCAAAUAAUAUAUUUAAUAUUUUCUGAAAUGCAUCAAUGAAAUGCAAUGGACAAAAUGUAACAUAUGUGAAAAAAAAAUUAAAAAAAUAAAAAAAAAUUGAGGCGGUUAAUAAAAGUAAACGAAGAAGCUGGAAACGGGGAAACAUAUACACGUGUGAGAAAGUGAGAGUCAAAACCGACCCAAACACCCGACCCUUUUGCCCGGAAAUCGACCCGGCCAUAUCUUGUGCUUCCGACCACCCCACCGGGCACGCUUGGCACCAAUCUGAAGCUUGACGACUACACAUCAUACCCUAGCCGUCCACGUUGCCGGAAAAUAGCCAGAACAUCGGCGACCAAAGCUUGAAAAACCCGCGACUUUCACCUUGCUCUGCCGGACUUUUCGCCGGUUUUGGGUGACACCACCGGCUGGAUUUUGUUCCCCACGACUCCCUCUUCAAUUCCCGACGAUUCACAGCCACCGGGAGUCACUGUUUCGCCGCCGGCCAAUUGUUGGACUUUCACGGCUGCCGAGCUAGAUUCCGGCGCUGUUGCCGCGCGUGGGAGGUCACUGCCGGUACCAUUAGACCCAGAGUGGCCGAAACUUUUAGACCUGAGUUUCCCGGUCUCCGUUGCUUGAAUUCCGGUCACCGUUGUCCGGCGAGGGCAAUUCGGUAAUUUCACAAUAUGAGGGCAAUUUUGUAUUUCAGACCUUAUGAAGAUUUUAGUAAUUUCUGAAAUUGGGAUCUGUUCUAAUUACGAUUCCGAAGGUACUUCAAUGGUUUACGAUCUCGGAAUAUUUUAAUGAUUUACAGAGUCGAGGGUAUUUUAGUAAUUUUAUUGAUACAGGAGUUGUAAAUUAUGGAUAGAUGUUUGUUUCGAGUUUAUUGCAUAAAUUUAGUCUUAAUUUCGAUUUACAAAAAAUAAUUAUGUCGUUUCCUUGAUUUAGGAGGAUCUGCGACGAGAAUCAGUCCACAGGCGUGGACGAUAACCGAGCAUGAACAUUGUUACUGUGAGUGAAAUAUACAAAACAUUUUUUCAUAGUUAAUUAUGAUAGUAAAGCGUGUUUGCGAAAUAAGUAUUUUAAAUAUUCUGAUUUAAUGAUUUUCUUGAAAUGAAUUUUAUUCACGCAUUGAUAUUAUAUUAAAAUAUUUAGUUAAUGAUUUUUCGUAUCGACUUUAAAUAAAAUAUGAUAGUAUUUUUAAAGAUAAGAAAAGUGGAUUUAGAUGUGAUAAUGAAAAGAAGAGCAUGAUUUAAAGUAUGGUUAAAAUGUAUAUGAAUAUGAGUAUAGAGAUUAUUUUUAAAAUUAUUAAAUAGUACCCUACACUUCAGAUACAGUGAUACAGAUGAGAUGAGAGACCUUUUGGGGCCCGUUCGAACACACAUAGAGGCUUUGGGCCGUGUGUUUAGGCGCUUCUGUCUUUUGGGGGCAUAUGCGUGUGAUAUGAUAAUAACAGUGAUACAGAUACAGAAGAUACAGAUAAGAUAUAGGUAUUUUGGGUCCGUCGGAGUACACACAGAGACUUUGGAUCGUGUGCUUGGGCGUUUUUGUCCUUUGGGAAUUAGAUUAUACAUGCACAGAUAUGAUGAGAUAUGAGAUUGUAUUUUCCUGUCUAUUCGUGUAGCUUCGGGCGCGUGACGGUACCUAUAUAGUACGUCAUUAUCCGUCCGUUGAGGUCCGGAUACGCGAGAUUAUUUCAUUGGGUACUUGUUUAGUGAUGAUUUUUAAAUUUGUGUAUUUUAUAUAAUAUUGUAAUAAGAUCUCCAUUGUUAUUACAUACGAUAUUAUAUAUGCUCUUCAAGGUUAGUAAUCUGAUUUAGAUGUUAAAUGAUUUAUUAAUGGUUUCUCGCAUAUGAUUUGAUGAAAUCGUGUUUGGAAAUAAUAUAAUUAUUAUUUAUUUUUUAAAAAUUAUUAUCCACUUACUGAGUUCACUGAGUUUAUACUCAUCCCGUUUUUAUUAUAUUCUCUCAUCCCCCUUCCCCCCCCCCCCUCCCAAUAAGAGGUUGUAGAUACACUAGAUUGACCCAACGAAUGUAAAUAUAUUUUGAGUUUUGGACAUGUGAUGGUGUUCAAAGAUAUAGAUGAUUUUUUUUUGUUAGGACAUCCUGAUCAUCUCGUUCUUUUAGGAUUGUAUAAUUUUGUUAUAGUAUUCUUUUGGGAUUAAAAAUAAAUUGAUGUAUAUUAAUAUUAGUUCUAAUAUGAUCUUUUGAUACCUUGGAGAUAAUUUGAAUAAAAUUCAAUAUUUUUGUUGAUGAUGUUAAUCAUUAGAGCUGGUUGUAGAUUGAAUUACUUUCGGGAGUGUUAUAUUCAAAUUUUUAGAUUGAGAGUGUAAUAUUUAUAAAGGAGAUUCUGCUAAAUUUUCGGUAGAAUUACCACUAAUUAGAUUAUUAUCAAGUCAGUUUUGGUAAGACUAGAUUGACUCACCCGGAGAAUCUAGGGCGGGUCGUUUCACAAAAGUAAAAGAUUCCACGAAAUGCAUGAUCCUCCAAUAUCAUUUGUUUGGAUUUGUUGCUGAAAUCCAACGGAUGCAAGGAUUAAUGGAAAAAUAAAAAAGGAAGUAGUGAAUCACCGGAUGAACGGGUUAAAGGUUUGAUAUUUAUCAAAUUUUUCGUUUUGUUUCGUAAGUCAUCACCAAACACUCAUGCUGUUACCAAAAUGUGUUAACGUUAAGGGUUUCAUUAUUUGACCUAGUAAGUGCAAGCCGAAAACGCAGGGUUUUAAUUUCCCAGUAUGGACUUGAUUGAGGAAUCUCAAUUUAAAAAUAUAUUGUAAGCAUGUGUAAAGAGUAUGGCAACCUAAAAAAAUGCUUGAGAUAUUUUUAUAUUUGACAUUACAUGUCUUGCGGCCUCACUUUCUUGUCAAAAAAUAUAUCCUGUAUUUCUUCCAAGCCUCUAUUUAUAGACAAAGGACUUAACUUUGGGUGGGAAACUUGACCUAAUCUUGUCCAUUCAAUUUCAAGAUGAAUUAUAACUAUCGAUCUAGUAGCUAAUUUAUGAUUAAUAUGUUCUUUGUCAUCACAUGAUUUUAUUAGAGAUCACAUGUUGUUGGUUUAAUCAUCCUUGUGAACCGGCUUUCAAUAUUUGCCCCAGUUUAAUGAUAUCAUGUGAGCUCUUUGCAGUUAUCUAGCCGUUGAAGGCCUUGUUUCUGUUAUGAAUCGAAGUGUUAUCCAAACGCUUUUAUUGUUUCUAUUUAAUUUCAAAUUAAUAACAAGUUACGCGAUUUAGGUGAUAUGAUUAUAUGGCACUUACACCCAUGGAAAGUAAUAAAAAAAUACAGUAAAAAAUAGCUGCUGUGACAUCAAUAAUAACUACAAUUUUUUAAAUUGAUUUUUUUUAAUUAAAAGUAAUUGAUAGCUACUAUUAUAUUGAUGUUGUCAUGUUGUAAUAAAUGGGUAGAGUUGUCUUUUUCAUUUUUUUGUGAGAGUAGAUCCGUUAUGUUCUUUUUUUUUUUCCUUCCAUUUUUUUUAAGUUUUAUUUUAGUAAAACUAUAUUUCCAAUUUAUUGGACAUUGAACCCAAACUCGUGAGCUCUGCUUUCACUUAGGAAGUUUUGCCAAGUGGUCAUCAUUUGACAUAAUAUUUAAUAAUAAGUACCUAAAUAGUGGGGGAUAGACAAACUCAAUUCAACGGAAUAGGUCCGAUCUAACCCAAUCUAGUUUUGAUGAAUUGACUUGAUUAUUGCAGGAUAAUUGGGUCAUUUUUUUCUAACUCAAUUAAUAAUUAGGCUUGGUUGAGUUAAUUAUGAAGAACUUGUCUAAUCCAACCCAACCUAGGAAAAUAAUAAUAAUAUGUUAAUCUUCAAUUAUAAAACCUUAAAGACCCAAAUGACCAACAUAAUUUUUAACUUUUUUUUAUUUUAUAAAAAAAGACUAUUCAUUCGUAUCUAGUGCUCCAGAGUUUAAUUCCAAAAGUAAAAUCACUCUCUCAUGUAAGUAAAUUUAUUAUCUUUUAAGUUUAAAAUUUGAAGGUAAGUGGGUUUCAAUUUCUCUUUAUUUUUAGGUAAUCAAUGGAUGGUACAUAAUUAUAAAUAACUUUCAUUUUAUUAUUAGAUAGGAUGCUAGCUAAUUAUCUAAAAGAUCUAAAUUUAAAAUUAGAAAAAAGAGAUGCAAGGAUUCGAGAAUAAAGUUUAGAAGCUCAUUGUUGAAAUUUUAUUAAAUUUAAGAUAGUUGAUUUUUUAGUUUUUUGUUUUAAUCAAACACUAGAUAAUGAAUAGAAUUUUCAUAUUAUAAUAGAUUUAUCUUAUUUAAUAAAUUUUAUAUCUUUUUUUUUUAAUUUUAAUUUGACCUUCAACCAACUAUCCCAACCCAACCCAACCGAGUCUGAUUAGAUUAAGUUAAACAUACUUAUUUAAUUAGAUUGAGUUAAUUUUAUCUUAAUUCAUUUAAAAGUGGGCUAGUGUCAUGACACAAUCUAAACCGGGCAAAUAUUAUCCACUUCAAAGCCUGCAUGGUUUUGUUUAUGAGUAGCCAUACACCUCAAAAUGCUUGAACUAGAGAGAUAUCUUGAAUAGGUGAAGUAGACAUCCACAUGGACGAAUUAUAGCGACGAAUUUCAAAGCCAUUGCCAACAUGAACGGUCUCAAAGCUCGGACACUCAAUUCUGUUGCAUGUUGGUGGAAACAUUUUCAGCCCCUUUGAAGAUUCAGGCCAUAAACCCGAGUUCAGAUUUGAGAGUAGGCUCAGAACUGAAAGCUUUAACAUGCUCAAGCCUGCAGCCAUUUUUGUUUUUGAGUGGAGCGACUUUUGGGUGCUCGAUGGUGAGGAUAAUGGAUGAAUAAUGCCUCAACGCAAAAAUAUUUAUCAGCCAGAAUGUUCGUGUUUUUGAAUUGGUGAUUUUCUUGAGGUUCAUGUGAAGACAAGUGUCGUAACUCUUUUCAUUUUUAAUUUAUCAAAAAAUCGAAAUUUAUGGAAAAAUGCUGACCAAAUGGGUCUUGAUGAUAGGCUGACUUUUACUGUUUACACCUUUUUAACAAUUCGAUUUAGUAAUAAGUUGAGCUUUCAAAUUAUAAAUUUUAAUUUAUUUUUUCACAAAUUUUGAGAUUAAUUUGUAUUAAUAUUAUAAGCUAAAUGGUACAAUAUUUAUGUAUUACAUCACGUAAGUAAUGUCGAUUAUAGUAAGAGACAUCACCAAAUGACAACUUCUUAUUAAAAGAUUGUAGGAUUAUUUUUAGUUUAAUUGACUUAAUUUCAAUCAAUUAAGUCACUAAAUUUGUUUAUCUUUUAACUUAAUAAUAAUUUUUAGUAAUUAUAUAAUUAAGCUAUUAAGCCAACUUUUUUAGCUCAGUAUUUAAUUUAAAAAGUAUGAAUAAUAUCAUUAAAAGAUAUUCUAUAAAAUAUGUUAUAUACUUAAUUAAUUUUCAUUAUUAGCUAAAAAAAAAUUUAAUAAUUAGUAUAAUUACCUAUUUUUAUAACUUGUCAUCAUAUAGUGGUAUAUUAUUAUUAUUCUUAUUUUCUUUAAAUUAGCAUUAUUUAUCUCCAUAAUUUUUUAUGAAUAUUUUUUAUAAAGGAUUGCGUUCAAUUGAACAUGAUUUAAGUAAUGAUAAUAUAUUACCUUAUUAUCACAACGCUCCCCAUUAGCCACUAUAAUAGUUAAAGGGUUUCCAAGGUAUAUACAGGGGCAAAUUUUGAAAGACUCUUAAGUGAAGUUUGCAAGAUUGAUAAUACCCACACUUGAACCCGCGAGAGUGUUCAUCACUGUUUUGGGACUAACUUUUUCCAGGUUAGUCAAGAGAUUUCUUUGAUAUAAAUCAAUUUUCAUGGAAUCUCUGUAAUGACUUAGUUGAGCGCACGCAUUGUGUUCGAUGAAAUUCCCGAAUAAAACUUAACAUUUCUUGGACGAGUAAGACGUCAUUUGCUUUAGCCAUUUCUUUUCUUGCUUACACAUUUGUUGAAAGGAGGACCAUGAAGAAACAAAGUUGCAUGACAGAUCCUAUGCCCGUUACUGCCCAGCUCUCAUCAGCUGCUGGUGGUUAAGAAAUUAUGCGGCCGGAUUUGAUGUUUGCCUUACUCAUCUGAUUGUCUUCCUAAUUUGGUGAUUCAUUCUAGUUUAUGAUAAAGACAGUGAAUUAAAAGCCACAAUCACCUUGAUCUCUAAAGUUCUUUGUUAUGUUGUUCUAAUGCUGCAUUCAACAGUCUACCUCCCUGGCUCUUAUAUUAGUCUUAUAUGUUUUAUUUUUAAGAAGGUAGUAGGGUUGAUAAGGCACAAAUUUAUUGUUUGAUACUCCGAUGACCAGUCAAAUAAAACUACUUGAAAAUUCGUUCAAGUUUUUGGAAGUACAUUCAACAAUAUUUAUACAUACAAUCCUAACUUGUUUUCAGAAGCCUCAAUUCCAAAAGGGAUGGAAGAGUGUCUCUUAUUACCUGAAUCUUUCCCAAAUUGUUUCGAUAUAUAUUUAGCAAAACUCAUGGUAUAAAAUUUCCAAUCUUGAUCUUCGAAAACUAACUUUCUCGAAGGACUGCUUCUGUUUCCGCACCAACUUUUUUGCUUUUUCCCAACAAUAAAAGGACUGUAUAGAUCCCCAUGUCUAUCUGUUUUGCCAUAAGGAAAUACAUAUUCUUUUAACAGAAUAUGCAUUUUCAAGAACUGAUGCAUGCCAGUUAAUGUUCUUUAUGAACAUCAGAUUCAAUCAUAUUUGUUUAAUUGGAGAAAGAACUCUGUUGGAGCAGCAAGAGAAAAUUUUCUUGUAAAUUUGUGGGAUCUCAUCAAUUUCAUCAUCAGAUAUUGCUAAAAAGAAUCUCAACUUCAACCAUGAUAUUUUGGGCUACACUAAAAACUUUGAUGAUGGAAAGUGGCAGCAAGAGGAAGCUGAUUUCUAUAGUUGUCGAUAUUUCUCUUAUAGAUUUGUUCAAGUUGAACUGCAAGGCUAUUUGGAAGUUCUUUUCUGGCUUCGUAUUGUAUUAUAAUGAUGGAUGAUGCUUUGGGGGCCAUUUGGAUCUGCACGUUCAUAUUUGGGGAAAAAAAUUAGUGAUAAAACGAACUACAAACUCAACUAGAUUUAAUCAAUUUAUAAUAUGGUAAUCCUGGGGUGUAUAUAUUAUUUUUGUUGGUAUUUUAUGACAAUUUUAUAUUUUUAUCAUUUUUGUUUGGAUAUAUUUCGUUCUCAUUGUAAUAUCCCACAUUAAUAGCGAGUAAGUUUCUAAACUAAUUUAUAAGUCAUGAGCUUUCUUAAUUAAGUAGGCGUAUUUUGGGGUAAGUAUUAAUGGUUUAAAGAUGUUUCGGUUUCCCAUUAAAAUCAGAAUUGAUAAUGUUAUGGAUGAGUUUCUAAACUAAUUUAUAAGUCAUGAGCUUUCUUAAUUAAGUAGGCGUAUUUUGGGGUAAGUAUUAAUGGUUUAAAGAUGUUUCAGUUUCCCAUUAAAAUCAGAAUUGAUAAUGUUAUGGAUGAGGAUAUUGUCUUGAUAACUAUAUAGUCAAAUAAAAUUACUUGAAAAUCAUUCUGUCAAGUUUUUGGAAGUAAAUUCAACAAUAUUUGUACAUACAUCCUGACUUAUUCUCAGAAGCUCUCUUAUUAUCUGAAUCUUUCCCAAAUUGUUUCGAUAUAUAUUUAGCAAAACUCAUGGUAUGAAAUUUCCAAUCUUGAUCUUCGAAACUAACUUUCUCGAAGGACUGCUUCUGGUUCCGCACCAACAUUUUUUCUUUUUUCCCAACAAUAAAAUGACUGGAUAGGUCCCCAUGUCUAUCUGUUUUGCCAAAAGGAAAUACAAAUUCUUUUAACAGAAUAUGCAUUUUCAAGAACUUAUGCAUCCUAUUUAAUGUUCUUUAUAAACAUGAGAUUCAAUCAUAUUUGUUUAGUUGGAGAAAGAACUCUGUUGGAGCAGCAAGAGAAAAUUUUCUUGUAAGAACCAGAAAUGAUAAUGAAAGGAAAAGGAUUUAAUUAUACAUUCUGUUUUUGUCAAUAACAACACUAACACAAGUCAGUAGAGGGCAAGCGUACAUAUAGUCAUUCCUAGAAGCAGUCUGUCAGCAUUGGAUUCUCCAUCAAGGUUUGGUACUUAGUAGUGAGGACAAAACCAAACUCAAGUGCUACACACUUGUAUUAUAUUAAUGAACAACACUUUUCGUUUUCCAAAAGGUAGGGGGUGAGUAAAAUUCAGAUAAAUUCUUUAAUUCCACUCGGAUGGUCAGUCGAAUAAAGCUGUUUGGAAACUACUCAACUAAGCUCAUGGGGACACUUAACAACAAUUUCUAUAUAUGCAUUUUUAGAAAUGCAUCCUCCUGCAACUGUAAUUCUCACGCUGCAACUGAAUUAUUUAUAAAUAACACUCACAGUAACCACUAUGUCCUAGCUUUAUUACAGACAGACAAAGGGCCAAAAAACCAGAAGUAAUAUAUCAAUUUAAUGUAUACAGGCCGCAAGAAACAAGGUUUGAUCCAUGUAAUAUGCUGCUUUUGUUACAAACUAGGAAGAAAAGAAAGUGACCCACAGUAAGAAUAAUAAUGCUCGAGGAAAACAAUAGACUCUUUAUUUCCUGUCUAUAUUGUGCUGUUGGUUAUUAAAGAUCAAGAAACUGAAUGGUAGUGGUGAAGUACUCAAAACUAGGAGCAGAAGCAAUACCACUAGUACUGGAGAGUAGUAAUAGGGCAAGGAGCAGGGGAUGGAGAUCAGUAGCGAAGAAGGUGACUAGUGGUGGUGGAUGCAUGAGAAGGAGGAAGUUGGUGGGUGCCAUUAUUUCCAGGACAAGGAGGGUGGUUUUAUGGGGUUGGGGAUCUCUUCAGCUUGAGAAGAUGGUUUGUGGGAUCUCAUCAAUUUCAUCAUCAGAUAUUGCUAAAAGGAAUCUCAACUUCAACUACGAUAUUUUGGGCUACACUAAAAACUUCGAUGAUGGAAAGUUGCAGCAGGAGGAAGCUGAUUUCUAAAGUUGUUGAUCUUUCUCUUAUAGAUUUGUUCAAGUUGAACUGCAAGGCGAUUUGAAAGAUCUGUAAUUCUUUUCUGGCUUUGUAUUGUAUUAUGAUGAUGGAUAAAGCUUUGGGGGCCAUUUGGAUCUGCACGUUCAUAUCUGGGGAAAAAAAAUUAGUGAUAAAAAGAACUAUAAACCCAACUAGAUUUAAUCAAUUUAUAAUAUUGUAAUCCCAAGGUGUAUAUAUUGUUUUUGUCGGUAUUUCAUCACAAUUUUAUAUUUUUAUCAUUUUUAUUUAGAUAUAUUUCGUUCUCAUUAUAAUAUCCCACAUUACUAGUGAGUGAGUUUCUAGACGAAUUUAUAAGUCAUGAGCUCUUUUAAUUAAGUUGACAUGUUUUGAGAUAAGUAUUAAUGGUUUAAAGAUGUUUCAAUUUCCCAUUAAAAUCAGGAUUGAUAACGUUAUGGAUGAGGAUAUUGUCUUGAUAACUAUACUAUAUAACUAUAUAGCUUAAGAGCGAGGGCUUGAAUGAUUGAGAUUUGGUGUUUUGGGAUUGAGAUAGGUGAAUUGAGUUUAUGAUUUUAUUACCAUGACAUAUUUUUAGAGGAGUUAUUGAAUAGGACUAAGCUAUAUGCAUAUUAUGCCCUUUUUUUAGCUUCACUAGUUAAGGAAAGGAUGACUUUUAUAUGAGGAGCUAAUGCCUAAACGUCAAGCAUUACUGUUGAUUCUGCUACGACAAGAAACAACAAUAUACAUACUAACAAUUUAACCUUUCACCAGGCUUAUAAGUAAAAGACGACUUUCACUUGUUUUUUUACCUCCUGUGUCUUCGUCUUGCUCUUAUAACAUUCUUCUGCUGGUCUUCUUCAACUAACCUCACAAACCAUUGUGGUUUUCCAGUUGAGAAUACCAUGUGUUGAUGCUGAAAUCUGCUCGCCUUUUACCCGACCAGAUUUCUCCACCAACGCUUAUAUGUUUAAUGGAACGAUGUCACUCUCUCUUUGCCUUAACGGUCGCUUACGUCAUUGGGUUGAAGUCACCCCUUUUUAUCUUGCUAAGCCUGCGUUCACAAAGAAAUGGAUCAGAGACGCCGGUGGUUUUACCGGCGUAAACCCUCCGAUGCCUAAGUUAGCACAAUGUGUUUAUGGGAAAACGGUUCAAUUUAGAAUGGCUUACGAUUGACUCUCAAUUUAGACAGAAAAACAGUCUAGUUUUAAUUUGGCAGAGUUUUCCCUUCUCUCUCAGUUUUUUCAUCCCCUUCUUCAUUGGUUUCUUCCUCUUUUAUAGUCGUUGUCCCACGUUUUCGUUCACCUUUCAUUCCCCCUUUCUCGGGUAAUGACAGCCCCUCAUGGGACUCCAACUGCCACAUUGUGGGCAAACGUGGGACAUUGUGUCUCCCUCAAUGGUUCUGGGAAAAGCGUAACUUUCGUGAUUUCGUGAGAUCGUGUUCCCGCUCUUUGGGGAAUGGGCAUCUGCUCGGUAUACGUUUCUGAUCGGUAUAUUUCUCUGGCUGGUAAUCAUCUCUGGUCGGCCCAUGUUUGUGAAUGGCUCAUUAUCAGUGUUCUGCUCGUAUCAUUCGGCUGAGGUGAUCCACCCCGGGGUGGGGAUGAUGGCAUAGCUGAGCCGGUGCUCUUAUUUACUUAACACUAGUCCCUCAGUUUCUGGUCUUGCGAGUGCAAUGAGUUGAGAGUAGAAACUGAUAAUCGAAUCUUACCGAUUCUGGGAACUACCCAUCUGGUCCUCACGUUAUUGUGGUGGCUCUGAGGUUCCAUCUCUCGUCUGAGGAGAUUUUUGACCCGAGUAUGGGCCUUUAUGAAUAUAUCUCAUAUAUAUUUGGGCUUAUGUCUCGUCAGACCUUUUAUAACGGUUAAUGACGUGGCGCUUCCCGACUCUUCGUAUUUGAAAUUUGAAACGACGGGCUAUCCAUCCUCGAUAUAUAGUGAGUGAGCUGGCAUCCCCAUCAAUUAAACACUUCCAUUUCCCCCUUUUUGUUUCAAAUCCCUAGACCGAAAUCAUCAUCGUUUUGUUAUUCGUCUCUCCGCCGUAAGCCAACUCCUUCUUUGAACUUUGCUCACACUUUCCGUGUCCGGAACCUCCACUUGCUGGGUUCUUUCUCUAUCACGACAGCACUGUCCGUGCCAGCCUAUUCCAGGUAUAGCCUUUAACCUCUUUUCUGGUUGUUGUUAAUUGGGUUUUGUAUUGUGGGUUCUGUGUUUGUCCCUUUUCUGUACCCAUACUCUUAGAUAUUUUGUGAUUUUCCUUCUAAAACCUCGGUAUGUCCCACCGAAAGGGAAAAAGAAUUGUAGUUGAGAGCGAUGAAGAGAUAGAGGAUUCCUAUCCCCAUUUGUUUAGACCUAGUGAUAUCAUACAUUCCUCUCGUAGUGUAGGUCCCUCCUAUCAUAAGGAUACCCUUGAAUACCCUCGUCCCAUGGCCAUUUCACCUUUCCCUGAAUUAGAGCUUGUAGGAAACAGAGGUGGACCCGCGUCGGGCUAUGGUGAGAAUCACAACUCUGGUGGGGUUGGGGUCCCUGAAGACGUAGGUAAUAGUGAGGGGAGUAGUUCCGAGCCGAGCAGACCCCCUAAGAAGAGAAACCUUGGUCAUAGGGUGGAGGCAGAUUCCUACCCUAUUGAUUAUAUAGCCUGUGCCACCACCCCAACUAACCUGUUCAAGCUUAGAAAUCUCUACGACAUUCCUGCAGAUGUUCUCCUAGUAAUUCCUGGGAAAGAUGAUGUUCCUAGUCGGCCUCCGAGGGGAUAUGUGACGAUGCACCUGGAGAGCUUCAAACUAGGAGCUCGGUUGCCCCUUCAGCAUUACUUUGCCAAGAUACUGGGUGGUAUGCACCUAGUUCCAAGUCAGCUACAUCCAAAUGGAUGGAGGGUUCUUUCAGCUAUGUAUGUGUUAUGGGAGAGGUGUGGAUCAGAGGAACCUUCCCUUGCUGAAGUAAAGCAUUUAUACCAGCUGAGGAGUAGCCCGAAGGAAGCAGGCUGGUACUACUUUAUGUCGAGCUCUGCGAAGAGGAAGCCGAUCACCGGAUUUCCUUCCUCAUGUAAAAAUUAGAAGAACAAAUUCUUUUUUGCUGGAGGAAAUUGGUGACCAGGAUCAAGUGGAGGCUCCUUUAGAUGGGGGUGCAGGAGGGGAAAGCCGGGGAUCGUGCUUUUGAAGUAGGUCAAGGGCCAGUGCCUACUCCCCCUGAUGUUGCUGAUCCUCCUCUUCUUGAGACUGCUGAUCCUUCGACUACUGAGGCGGUUGAACCUCAUAACCCUUAAGUUUAUUUUUGUAUAAAUUCUAGACUUUCAUCUGUUUUGUAAACAUUUGAGUAUAAAUUUUGAAUGCUUUCUGUGGGCCUUUUAUUGUGGUUUUGCUUAUGGAUCGUUUUUGUAAAUUGCGUUAUCAUAUUUAGUUGGCUUUGCCUGCUGGUCCUUUAAUCGACUGAGCAGGAAUGGGCACUUGUUUGCCAUAACCAAUUUUGUAAGUUUGCCUACUGGUCUUUUUAGGUGACUGAGCAGGAUUAGACACUUGCUUGCCUUAAUAAAAUUUCGUGAAAAUGCUUGCUGGUCCUUAGGCGACCGAGCAGGAAUAGGCACUUGCUUACCUUAGUAAAUUUCGUGAAAAUGCCUGCUGGUCCUUAGGCGACCGAGCAGGAAUAAGCGCUUACUUGCCUUAGUAAAAUUUCGUGAAAAUGCAUGCUGGUCCUUAGGCGACUGAGCAGGAAUAGGCGCUUGCUUGCCUUAGUAAAAUUUCGUGAAAAUGCCUGCUCGUACCUGGCCGAAUAAUUCUGCACUAGGGGACUUCUCAAGUUGUACCACAGUCGGCCUAUCCUCACACCCUCUUUUAAUCCUCUCAAUGCCUGCGGGUGAUUGAAAGCUCCCAGAUCAAGUACGGCUCGGUGGUAUCGUUUUACAAAUUCCCGAAGAGAUUUAUGUUCCUCCUGCUUUAUCCCUAUCAGUUCCAUCAUAUCGUCCUCUGGGGCUACUGCUCCUCGAAACUGCUCGGCCAACUGUUGGCACAUCUGCUCGUAUCCUUUUAUACUUCCUCGUGGCAGCUUGCGGUACCACUCUCGGGCUCGUCCCUCUAAUGUCAAUGGGAACACCCUGCACCUCUGAGCAGGUGUUAGACCUUGCACACCCGUCAUGUCGUUGAAGCGUUCAAUAUGCACCAGUGGGUCAUUCCGCCCGGAGUAUUUGAGGUCGGAGAAGCGAAAAUCUCUUGGGAUUACAAUACCCAUGAUCUCAGCUGAUAACGGGGACUCUUCAUCUAGCAUUAUCCUCCAAGUCGGGGGCUUUCUCUUGCCCUGAAUCUGCUCCAUCACCUGCGUCAAUCUGCGCACCUCACCCUCCAAUUCUACAGCACGGUCAGGAUCGUGUGCAGCUAUCUGAUCUCGCUCCUGCUCGGCAUUCUGCAGCCAUUGUCUGAGCUCUCCUUCAUCAACAUUGGCUCCUCGGCCAUCAAUUUCCAGUACUCGUCCAGAGCGAGGUUUCUAUGAGCAUGCACCCCGUAGGAUUGGUCUACCAUCUACCAUUUAAGGAGUCUUGACCUUCAUCUAGCAUUAUCCUCCAAGCGAAAAUCUCCCUUCAUCCAUGCGCUCCCCUAGGACCCGACCAGCAUUUCUAUGAGCAUGCACCCUGUAGGAUUGGUCUACCAGUGGAGGGAUUUCCUCAACCCUACGCCUCCGGAGGCUGAGUUCUGCCUCAACUUCAUCUCUCCCCACGAGAGUUUCAUAGUCCCUUCUCCGCUCAUCCCUCAGCUCAUGCAAUAUGGCCACGAGAGUUUCUAUUUGUUUCUCCAUCCGUUCCAUCCGAUCUUGCAUCAUCCUCUCUCUAGCCUCAUUUGCUAUCUCUCGGAGAGUGAUUGUUUCACCAGUUUCAUUGUCGCCACCUAAGGCAUCCUUCCUUGAUAUAUCCAUAACCGAUUGUUCGCUGCUUCUCCGAUGACUACUAAUUUGGUGGUAGCUUUUUAUCUAGCUCCCCACAGACGGCGUCGAAAUAUUGAUGCUGAAAUCUGCUCGCCCUUUACCCGACCAGAUUUCUCCACCAACGCUUAUAUGUUUAAUGGAACGAUGUCACUCUCUCUUUGCUUUAACGGUCGCUUACGUCACUAGGUUGAAGUCACCCCUUUUUAUCUUGCUAAGCUUACGUUCACAAAGAAAUAGAUCAGAGACGCCGGUGGUUUUACUAGCGUAAACCCUCCGAUGCCUAAGUUAGCACAAGGUGUUUACGGAAAAACGGUUCAAUUUAGAUUUCGGAAUGGCUUACGAUUCACUCUCAAUUUAGACAGAAAAACAGUCUAGUUUCAAUUUGACAGAGUUUUCCCUUCUCUCUCAGUUUUUUCAUCCCCUUCUUCAUUGGUUUCUUCCUCUUUUAUAGCCGCUAUCCCACGUUUCCGUUCACCAUUCAUUCCCCCUUUCUCGGGUAAUGGCAGCCCCUUAUGGGACUCCAACUGCCACAUAUUGGGCAAACGUGGGACAUUGUGUCUCCCUCAAUGGUUCUGGGAAAAGCUUAACUGUCGUGAUUUCAUGAGAUCGUGUUCCCGCUCUUUGAGGAAUGGGCAUCUGCUCGGUAUAUGUUUUUGAUCGGUAUAUUCCUCUGGCUGGUAAUCAUCUCUGGUCGGCCCAUGUUUGUAAAGGGCUCAUUAUCAGUGUUCUGCUCGUAUCAUUCAACUGAGGUGAUCCACCCCGGGGUGGGGAUGAUGGCAUAGCUGAGCUGGUGCUCUUAUUUACUUAACACCAUGUAUCCAAUGGACAAUCCAAUCACUAGUCCAGGCACAUACCUCAGUUUUGCCAUUUUCCAAUCAAACCGGCUUGCAGUUUCGUCGUGAUCAAAAUAAGCCAAACGAGGUGCUUUUGGCAGGCCGUCAUUGCUACAUCUCACAGUCAAGGGCUCUCCACACAAACGAAUGUUCCCAAUAUAGGAAUCAUUUUCAAAUGUGUUAAAUUGAUUGCCUCGAGGAAUGUGUCCCCAAAGUCGGUUAUAUGAAAGAUUUAACAAUGAAAGGGCUGUAAUGCUUAACAAUUGCUCUGGGAUUCUUCCAUCAAGCUUGUUGAAAGAGAGGUCCAAUGAUUUAAGGGCUGUCAUAUUCUCAAAGGACACCGGAAUAUUACCUGUCAGGCUAUUAUGUGAAAGGUUGAGCACUUUGAGUGAUUUAAAGUUUCCUAGUACUUCAGAAAUCUCUCUGUGGAAUCGAUUGCUUGAAAGAUCCAUUGCUCUAAACAUGACAAAGAUCUUUUGGAAUUGAAAAUCGUGUCCUUUCAUUGCCACCGUUAUGGACUCAUCACAAAAGGCUCUACCCAUAUAUUCAAGUCUUCCAUGUUCGUCCACAUUCUUCAUUGCUUCCAUACUAGGAAAAAUCCUUCUUGGCAGAAAACCAGUGAAUUCAGUAUGAGAGAGAUCAAUGAUUCGAAGGGCUUGAAAGGGAAAUGUAAUAUUGGAGUUGCAUGGUGGACCAUCGAAUUGAUUAGACCUCAAGACAAGAAUUUUUAGCUCCGAAAGUGAUCCCAUCCAACAUGGAAAUGAGUCACUUAUCAUGUUGUUCUCCACAUUGACAACUUCCAGCUUAAUAUAUUUAGCCAGAGAUCUUGGUAAUGGCCCUUCUAACUUGUUGCUAUAAAGGUCAAGACUCCUUAAAUGACUUGCAUUUGCGAAAGUAUUAUGGAUGUGACCCUCAAGGCUGUUGUUCUCCAAGUGCAGAGUAAUCAGCUCAGUGCUAAAGUUUCCACUUUCCAAGACAUGGAGGAAUUGUUCCGCUCAAAUUGUUGUCCGAUAAGGAAAGAUGUUGAAGGAAACUCAAGCUGUAAAUAGAUGGAGGGAUCUGUCCGGACAAUUUAUUAUUUGAAACUAAGAAGAUUUCGGUUGAAGGUGGUGGAACCAGAAUUGAUCCUUGGAUUCUAUUGUUUCACAGAUCAAGGAUGGUGAUAUUCAUCCAUGGAUGUAGCUCUAUAUGUGUCAAAAAAUUGUUGGAAAGAACAAGGACAGUCAAACUCUUCCAUCCUUGAAAACCAUAUUUCGAAAUCCGACCAUGAAUUCUGUUGUUAGAGAGCUCUAAGACACUUAAAUUUUCUGAGUUUCUCAAGAAACUUGGGAACUCACUGACAUUGCAAUUAGAGAAACGCAAAAUCUUAAGGCUAGGUAAGGAAUAUUCAAUAAAGAUAUUGGCAGAAGAGGUAAAUGAGAGUAGGCUGUUAUUUGAAAGAUCAAGAAAUUGAAGCUUUUGUAACUUUGAGAACUGGUCAAAUCUGAUUGCGCUACCAAAUCAUUUGAUGAAAGAUCGAGAAUAGUGAGGUUCACUAAUUGAAAGAUGGAAUUAGGAAUUGUACCACGGAUCUCAUUUUCUUCCAAACGAACAUCCUGUAGUGAAUUAGGCCACUGGAAUGGAUCAAUAGGACCAUUGAGCUUGUUCCAUGCAAGGUUUAUAGAAAUCAAAGAAGGCAGAGUGAACCACCAAGAUGGUACUCUGCCUUCGAAAUAGUUUCUAGAAAGGUCUAAAGUGGUUAAAUAAGACUAUCCACUUACAUGAUAAGGCAGUUGGCCUGUAAAAUGAUUUGAUGCGAACACAAUUUCAGUAGCUCUGGUAAGGUUUCCGAUUGAUGUUGGAAUUGACCCAGUGAAAUUGCAGAAUCCAAUAUGUAAAACCUUCAAGAAAAAUAGAUUUCCAAUUAAAUAUGGUAUUUCGCCUAAAAAAUUACUAAGAGAAAGAUCCAACUUCCUAAGAGAACUAAUCCAAUUAGACUUCGGGAGAUAACCUGUGAGUUGACUGUUUAGUUUUAAAUUGAGUAUUUGAAGAUUUGGAAAACGAAAAAUGUCGUCUGGGAAAUUUCCUUCCAUCGCAGUAUCACCCAUAUCGAGAUCCGUCAUUGUUGAAGACAAGUUUAAUAGAGAAAAAGGUUUGAUCAAAGACAUGUUUGUCUUUCUGAGAUGUAGAAGGCUUAAUUUUGUAAGGUUACUUGCAAGCAAAUCAAAAGUUUUUUGUUCGAUUGUCAAGACGCAGAAGGAAAUGACAAGAUGAGUUAGUUUGGACAAGUGGGACAUUUCAUAAGGGACUAGACCACCGAAAUUGGAAGCCGAGAGGUUAAGAUAUGUCAAUUCCUUCAGCCAUCCAAACUCCGGAGAGAGUUGAGAACCGAGGAAAUUGCUAUAAGCAAGGUUGAGGGAUUGGAGAUGUGAAAGAUGAAAGAGGGUGCUAUUGUCAUCGAUGGUACCUACAAGCCAACUGCAGCUGCUAUAAAGGUCGAGGCCAACCACGUUUCCAGUCACAUUAUCACACGUUACUCCAUUCCAUGAGCAACAAUCGGUACCCUCCGUCCAAGAGUUCGUCUUAGGAGAAGAAUUUUCAUUAUUGCAAAAAGAGUAAUUCGCUGAUCUGACGGAAGUGUUAUUUUUAAAUUGAAACAAAGCCAAACUUUGUUCGGGAGGGCAGGAAUGAGUUGUUUUAAAAGAAAAGUGAUGGAAAGGUGAUGAACAAUCAACUUGAAAACUAUAACCUGUUGGUGGUAAAUUUUGUGGGGAAUGACAAAUGUAGAGAAAUACAACAAUAAUGGUGGAACUUUAUUAUGUAAAAUAAUGUGUUUACAACUAACUCUAUAUGUAGGAAGAAACUGCAGAAAUUUUGUGUGCUUCAAGGCACGUUACAAAUGUCGCUUUCCUUAAGACGUUAUUUGCCCCCACCAAUUGAGUGAUGCACAUGGGUUAAGCAAAUACGCCUCCGGGAUACAAUGAAGCACUUGUUUGUUUGCUUGCAUUGUGCAUCGACGAAAGCAAACCAGAACACUCUUGAAUGUUGCAAUCCUACGAAGAAACAAUAUAUUGUUCCUGCAGAAAACAAUAUAUUGGAAUGUGAAUGCACAAAAGAAAUGGGUGUUUUGUGUUGAAAUUCGUACUAGAAAGGAAUGCUAAGAAAAGAGUGGUGUAGGAUCAUUCAUUUCAUGUCUAAAUGGCUUAAACAUGACCCAUAUUUAUAGAUAUACUUGUGCCCCCUCAUUUGGGUUAUCAUCUUUCAUGAUACCCCUUCAUUCAUGGUCAUUGGAUCUAGAUUUGAUUUUAAUCAAUGGUCCAAAUUGAACCAUCACCAUUUCAAAUGAAAUGUCAUCAUGAAAUGAUGCAUGUCUAAGUGAAAUGUUGCCAUGAAAAGUUAUAUCAUUUAGUAAAAGGAUACAUUUUAUACAAGACACAAUUAAAUGGACAUGUCCUUACAACAAGACAUCAUUUAAUUAGAUAAGUCUUUAGUGAAAGGUACAUUUUCUAUAAGGCACAAUUAAUAGGACAUGUCUUUACCAUAAGACACAAUUAUUUUGAAAAUUUCCAACAAUCCCCCACCAUUUUCAAAAUAAAUGAAUUUGGAAAAAUGAUCUUGCACAUGCUUGGAAAACUUAGGCAUAGAUGAAGGUGUCUUUUGGACUUGAACAUUCACUUAGUGACAAUACAUCAAAGUUAAUCAAGGUGGCAUGGUAGGCAAGCUUUAAACCAACGACCUUAAUCGACUAACCGGAUAUAUCUCACACAUAAGUUUUCAAAUUCUCAAGUAUUCCUUAGCCGACACGUGGAUUGGCCUUGUGUCUAUAUCCUGUUUUCAUGAGCGCUUUAGUAACCAGCCAAGUUACAUAGGAAGCGGCACCACCUCCUACACUCACAUAGGUGGACUUAUCUAGAAUGUCCCUGUAACUAAAACAUUUAUAAGUCCAUUAAAAGCUAAGUAGCUUAACCUUUCCCAUAUGUUACAGGUAUCAAGCACUAACCUUUGGGACGCAUCUAAAAAUAUUAUAGUGCUUGCUAUCACAACAUAUGAUGUACUUUUGCUCAUUGAACCCAAGAUCUUGAUAUUUCAAGUGUUGGGUUGAGUUUCCAUCAUUGGUGAUAAGAUGAUGUUGGCUUCAGUCCCAUCCCCUUAGAAGUUUUAAAUACAAUAUCCCUUGCAAGGCCUUUAGUUAAGGGGUCUGCCAAAUUUUGGCAUGAUUUCACAAAGUCAAUUGUGAUUACUCCAUCUGUAAGUAAUUGUCUUACAUAACUAUGUCUUAGACCAAUGUGCCUAGACUUUCCAUUAUAGAUUUGACUAUAUGCUCUUGAUAAAGUUGCCUCACUAUCACAGUGAAUAGAUACAGGAGGCAUUGGUUUAGGCCAAAUAGGAAUUUCUAUAAACAAAUUCCUUAACCAUUCAGCUUCCUUGCAACAUGAAGCCAAAGCUACAAUUCUGCAGCCAUGGUGGAGUCUGCUAUACAAGUUUGCUUCUUUGAGCCCUAUGAAAUAGCUCCUCCACCAAGAUUAAAAAUCCAACCACUUGUGGAUGUAUGAUCAUCUCGAUCAGUAAUCCAACUAGCAUCCAAAAAUCCUUCCAAAAUUGAAGGAUAUCCAGUGUAGUAUUUACCAUAAUCCAUUGUAUGUUUUAAAUAUUUUAGAAUUCUGUAUACUGCUUGCCAGUGUGCUUGGCUUGGAUUACUAGUAUAUCUACUGAGCUUUCUAAUAGCGAAAGCAAUAUCAGGCCUAGUACAAGUCAUUGCAUACAUAAGACAUCCAAUAAUACGUGCAUAUUCUAAUUGGNNNNNNNNNNNNNNNNNNNNNNNNNNNNNNNNNNNNNNNNNNNNNNNNNNNNNNNNNNNNNNNNNNNNNNNNNNNNNNNNNNNNNNNNNNNNNNNNNNNNNNNNNNNNNNNNNNNNNNNNNNNNNNNNNNNNNNNNNNNNNNNNNNNNNNNNNNNNNNNNNNNNNNNNNNNNNNNNNNNNNNNNNNNNNNNNNNNNNNNNNNNNNNNNNNNNNNNNNNNNNNNNNNNNNNNNNNNNNCUAUCAGUACCAAAAAUUAACAUGUCAUCUACAUAUAAACAAAUAAUCACACCUUUAUUUCCAUUGAAUCUGCUAUAGACACAUUUAUCAUAUUCAUGAAUAUUAAAUCCAUUUGAGACAAUCACUUUGUCAAACUUUUCGUGCCACUGCUUUGGAGCUUGUUUAAGACCAUAUAAAGACUUGACUAGUUUACAAACUUUAUGUUCUUGUCCUGGCAUAACAAACCCUUCUGGUUGUUUCAUGUAAAUUUCCUCAUCUAAUUCUCCAUUUAAGAAAGCUGUUUUUACAUCCAUUUGAUGGAUUUCAAAUUGAUAAAUUGAAGCCAAAGCAAUCAAGACUCUAAUAGUAGCAAUUCUUGCAACAGGUGCAUAAGUAUCAAAAUAAUCAAGGCCUUCUUUUUGUGUAAAGCCUUUUGUUACUAGUCUUGCUUUAAAUCUUUCAAUUGUUCCAUCAACUUUCUUCUUCUUUUUGAAAAUCCAUUUACAACCUAUAGGAUUAGAGCCAGGUGGUAAAUCAACUAAUUUCCAAGUCUUAUUACCCACAAUAGAGUCCAUUUCAUCAUUAAUGGCCUCUUUCCAAAAAGCAGCAUCUUGAGACUUCAUUGCCUCUUCAUAGGUGAGGGGAUCAGACUCUAUAGUAGAUGUGAUCAUGGUCUGUUUUGAUUGUGAGUCUCUUGUCCCUUCAACUAAAUAAACUAUAAAAUCUGGUCCAAAAGAUUUUAGAGUCCUUAUUCUUUUACUUCUUCUCAAAUGAUUUUGCUCAUUAUUAGCAUCACGCUUUUGACUAAUUUCUAUUUGUUUAUCAUUCUCUUGAGAAUCAAUACUUUUGGUAUAGUGGAAAAUCUAUUUUCAUAGAAUAUUGCAUCUCUAGAUUCCACUAUAGUAUUGAUCUCAACAAAGUUAUUAGGUUCUGUUACAAGAAACCUAUAAGCUUUACUAUGCUCUGCAUAUCCCAAGAAUAUGCAUUCAAUGCCCCUUUCUCCUAAUUUCUUUAUCUUAGGUUCUGGUAGUCUUACAAUUGCUCGACAACCCCAAACUCUUAGAUAAGAAAGAUUAGGCUUUCUCUUUUUCCAUAAUUCAUAUGGAGUCACCUUUGUUUUCUUAUUAGGCACUCUAUUUAAGAUAUGACAUGCAGUUAAAAUAGCUUCACCCCAAAAACCUUUACCAAGCCUAGCAUUAAAAAGCAUAGCAUUAACCAUUUCUAUUAAUGUCCUAUUUUUCCUUUCAGCUACGCCAUUUUGUUGUGGAGUAUAUGCAGUGCUAGUUUCAUGUACAAUGCCAACAGAUUCACAAAAGUCAGAAAAAGCAUAUUCACCUCCUUUAUCACUUAUAAGGCAUUUAAUUUUAGUGUCACAAAAAUUCUCAACUUCAUUUUUAUAAGUUUUAAAUUUUUCUAACACUUGAUCUUUAGAAUGUAAUAAAUACACAUAGCAAUAUUUUGAAAAAUCAUCAAUAAAUGUUACAAAAUAUUUUUUACCACCUUUAGAAGGAUUACUAUGCAUAUCACACACAUCGCUAUGAAUUAAAUGCAAUAAAGAAGAUGUUUUUUUCAAUUUUUUGGAAAAUGAGAUCUUGUGAUUUUAGUUUGUGCACAUACUUUACAUUUUUCAUGCAUAUCAUUUUCAUGCUUAGGAAUUAAUUCUAAAUUAGCCAUAUCAUGCAAUCUUCUAAUAUUCACAUGUCCUAAACGAUUAUGCCACAAAGAUAAUGAAUCAACCAUAUAAGCAGAAGAAAUAUUCAUAUUAUUGAUAUUGAGUUUAAACAUUCCUUCAUACAUGUAUCCUUUCCCAACAAAGGUACCACCCUUAGAUAAUAUAAACUUGUUUGACUCAGAAACAAGUUUGAAGCCAAACUUAUUAAGAAGGCUACCAGAUACAAGGUUUUUCCUAACUUCAGGAACAUGAUAAACAUUUGUAAGAGUUAAAGUUUUUCCGGAAGUGAACUCUAGUUGCACAUUGCCUUUUCCUUUAACUAUUGCAGUGGAGGAAUUUCCCAUGUAAAGAACACUUCCAUCAUCCAUUGCUUUAUAAGAUUUGAAAAGGCUAUAAUCCUUGCAUACAUGCUUGGUUGCACCAGAAUCUAUCCACCAUGCAUUAUCAUCUUCAAGAACAUUAAUCUCAGAUAUCAUGGCCACAAGAUUUGUGUUCGAAACUUCCUUUUGUUUCUUCAGAAGUCGACAAUCUCUUUUGAAAUGGCCAGGUUUUCCGCAGUGGUGGCAUGUACCCUUCUUUUUCUUCUUAUUGUUUUGAUUCUCUUUGGAAUCAAACUUUCUCUUUUGGUUAUUCUUAGGGUGAUUAGAAUGCUUAAACUCCUUCCCUUCCUCUACGACAUUAAUUUUAGAGGAUAUAGUAGUCUGAUUCUCAAGACUAUUAAGCUUGAGUUCCUCUUCAAUACGAAGACUUUGGCCUAAGCCAUCCAGACUAAUUUCCUCUUUGUUAUGUUUAAGACUUUUCUUAUAGUCUUUCCAAGAGGGAGGAAGUUUAUCAAUAAUUGAAGAAACAAUAAUAGACUCAUCCAUUUUCAUGUUAUGUUAGUUGAAUUGAUCAAGAAUAUGCAAAAUCUCAUUAUAUUGUUCAACCACAAGUCUAUUAUCAACCAUUCUAUAAUUAAAAAAUUUAGAAGCCAAGAAUUUCUUACUUGUGGCAUCUUCCAUCAUGUACUUAGCCUCUAAUGAGUCCCAUAUCUCUUUUGAUGUAGGUUUGUUGUGAUAUUGAUCAAACAAAGUAUCAGACAUGGCAUUGCAAAUGUGUCCCUUACACACGUAGUCAUCUUGCUCCCACUUAUGUUGCACUCUGGUUUCCGCUAAUGUCUCAUUCUCACGUUCUUGAGGCUUUGGUGUUGUGAGAACAUAGACCACAUUGAGGCUUGUCAACAAGAAAUGCAACUUUUUCUGCCAACGAAUAAAGUUGCCACCAUCGAACCGCUCCAAUUUGACAAAAUCUACUGCGAAUUGUCGAAGAGAUGAACUUGGUGCCAUUGUUGUAGAAAUAACGUCUUAAGACUGUUGGUGGUAAAUUUUGUGGGGAAUGACAAAUGUAGAGAAAUACAACAAUAAUGGUGGAACUUUAUUAUGUAAACUAAUGUGUUUACAACUAACUCUGUAUGUAGGAAGAAACUGCAGAAAUUUUGUGUGCUUCAAGGCACUUUACCAAUGUCACUUUUCUUAAAACGUUAUUUGCCCCCACCAAUUGAGUGAUGCACAUGGGUUAAGCAAAUAUGCCUCCAGGAUACAAUGAAGCACUUGUUUGUUUGCUUGCGUUGUGCAUCGACGAAAGCAAACCAGAAUACUCUUGAAUGUUGCAAGCCUACCAAGAAACAAUAUAUUAUUCCUGCAGAAAACAAUAUAUUGGAAUGUGAAUGCACAAAAGAAAUGGGUGUUUUGUGUUGAAAUUCGUACUAGAAAGGAAUGCUAAGAAAAGAGUGGUGUAGGAUCAUUACUUGUGCCCCCUCAUUUGGGUUAUCAUCUUUCAUGAUACCCCUUCAUUCAUGGCCAUUGGAUCUAGAUUUGAUUUUAAUCAAUGGUCCAAAUUGAACAAUCACCAUUUCAAAUGAAAUGUCACCAUGAAAUGAUGCAUCUCUAAGUGAAAUGUUGCCAUGAAAAGUUAUAUCAUUUAGUAAAAGGAUACCUUUUCUACAAGACGCAAUUAAAUGGACAUGACCUUACAACAAGGCAUCAUUUAAUUAGACAAGUUUUUAGUGAAAGGUAUAUUUUCUAUAAGGCACAAUUAAUAGGACAUGUCUUUACCAUAAGACACAAUUAUUUUGAAAAUUUCCAACAUAACCAAGCAAAAGGAAGUAGAAGAAUAAGAGAGUGCAGGAGACUUUGUUAUAAUGCCAUAUGAACCUCUCCAUGGUUUCUAAGAAUUAAUGCAAAGAAACGUGACAAUUACUUAUCAUAUGUCUAAUUGUUGAGAGGCAGGUGGAUGAGUGUUUAUAUGAAUUCCAAGGACUGUAUCUUUAGCUUUUAUGUUUCAUUUCCGGGCCGGGCGUGUUACGAGUUGGUCAAAGAUUGAUUCAAAUGAUACAUUUAACAUUUUCUGAAAUGCAUGAAAUGGAAUGCAAUGGACAAAAAUAAAAAAAAUUCCAUGAAAUGCAUUAUCCUCCAAAUGGCGUGAAAGAAAGCAUACGAUGGAAUAAAUACAAGAGACGGCCGCGGCUGAGUUUCACGAAUUAUCUUUCAGCCGGCCAAUAUCAUUUGUUGACUGAAAUCCAACGGAUGCAAGGAUUAUGGGAAAAAUAGAAAAAAGUAGUGGAUAACCGAAUGAACGGGUUAAUUUUUCACAGUAUGGACUUAAAAGAGCAAUCUCGAUUCAAGAAAAUCCAAAGAGUAGGAUAUUUUUAUAUUUGACAUUACAUAUCAUAUGCACUAAGUAUGUAAUGGUGCGUUUACUUUAAAAUUGGGAAAAUUGAAAUUAAGAAUCAAAAUAAUUGAGAGUAUUUACUAAAUAAAAGAGAAGGGGAAUGAAAAUCAAGUAUGUGGAACCCACAAAUUUUGCAAUUUGAGAAUAGGAACUUGAUUCUCAAGGGGAUUGAGAAUGAAAUUCUCGUUCCCAGAACAACCAUUUUACUCCCAUUAAAUUUUCAUAAUAUCCAAAUAACCUCAACCAAGUACUAUUUCUUUUACAUUUUGAUCCUUACAGAAUUUAUGAAAAUGCUUAGAAAAUUUGUAAUAUUUACAAAUAUAUCCCUCAAUAUUUAUUAUUAUUAAUAUUAUUAAGGUUUUGUUAAGUUACAAUUAAUAUAACUUACAGCCCAACUAAAAUAAUGCAAAAAUCAGGUGGGUUCUGCUACCAUUUUACUCAUUUAUGCAUAUUUUAGGUGGAUUGUAAGUUUUAUUAAUUAUCAUCAUCAUCAUUGUAUUUAUUACUGUUAACAAUAUUAUUAUUAUUCAUUUUUUUAUUCUUGUUAUUGUUAUUAUUAUAAUAGAUGCAAAUAAUACUAAGUGCAACAAUUAACAAAGAAUAUAUUAGUAACUUAUAACAGUUUAUUUUAAUUUCAAAAUAAAAUAAACACAUGAAUGAGAGUACAGUUCGUUCCAAUUUCGAUUCCUAUAUCUUAAGUAAAUAACUUAUUUUGAUUACUUAUUUAAUUUCAACCAAUUCCGAUUAUCAAUUAAUGAAUGCACCAUGAAAAUAUAUCCUCUAUUUAUAAAUAAAGAACCUCAGUUAUGGUGGGAGAUUAGAUCUAAAGCAAUCCCAAUCCUUUGUUAGCACGUGAUUUUGUUAGAGAUUUGGUUUAAUCUUCGUUGUGAACCGUUUUUGAUAUUUGCACUUAUCCAACGGUCGAAGGCCUUGUUUCCGUUACGAAUCAAAGUGUUAUCAGGACACUUUUAUUAUUUCCGUCUGAUAUCAAAUUAACGAUACAUGACGCAUUUUAGGUGGUUUGAUGUUAUUGCUGGUAUUAAGGUCAGUAGGCAGUCGUCAAAUGUAACCUAUGCACUCUUUCUUUUAAUCUUUUAUUUUCAUGGGCCAAAGGCUUUUGGCUAAUAAAAACGAAGCGCAUUUCUUUUAUGUGUAUUAGGCAUUUAAAAAAAAAAAGAUAUUCACCUCAACUUUGUCUUCUUAUCAAAAAUAUUAUUAAAAUUUUACCCCAAAUUUAUAAUUUGUAUCAUCUGUCAACCAAAACAUCAAAACAUUUACAUUGUUAUGUUGUUUAACAAAUUCUAAGUAAAAAGUACAUCUUACCCUUGAAUUUUGAGAAAUUAUCAAUCAUUCACCAAAACGUUAACUGCCGUUUAUAAUUGAUGACGUCACACGAGUAAUUUAGACAUUUAACAUGUUAAAUAAAUUAGUUUAAAAUAAAAAUAAAAUCCAUUUUAUAUAACCAAUAUUCAACUAAAUACACUUAACACUCUAAUUUCUUCAUUAAUUGAAAAAAAUCUAAUUUAUCUUCUCAAUUAUCUUUACAAAUUUGAAAUUCAAACUUAAUCUAGAAAUUACCCUAAACCCUAAUUCAUAAACACCUAAUCAAUCCAACACUUAAAUUCGAUUUCAUAAACACCCAAUCAAACCUAAUUUAUAUUGUCAUAGACACCAUUCCCGUUGAUCGUUGCUGCUACUACCUCUUCUCUCAACCUCGUGGAUAGCUGCAACCACCACAAGACUCCUCAUUAGCCGGUCUUCAUAGCCCAAUGCAUACUUUUGUCCAUUAUAGUAGUUAGCUGAAGGAUCUAGUGAUGGAGGAUGUAGGUGAUGAAAGAUUUGAACAAUUUCUGCGUUGCUUUUAUAAACUCUAAAAAUUUAGACAAAGAGAAGAUAAGGAAGAAGAUAGUGAGAUGUAUUUUAUUUUACGUCAUUGACGAAGGGUUUGAUACAAAUUCUAGUUAGGGAUCAAAAUUGUCAGUGGAUUUUGUUUGAAACAAAGAUUUUCCAAGGUUUGAUGGGUUUUGAUUUUUUUUUUAAAUUUAUUAUUUAUGGUGCAAAGCCACAAAUGCCCUUGAAUUCAAGGUAAAAUGGUCAUUUUACUUAGAUUCUAUUAAAUUCAAGCUAUAGUGUGGAAAAAUAAACAAAUUCAAACGUUUAUAGUAUUUUUAAUAAUAGAGUAAACUUAAGGCGAAUGACUAAUAAAUACACAAAUUCAAACUUUUAUGGUAUUUUUAAUAACAAAGUAAAAUUAAGGUAGAUGACCGACAUUUUUCUUUUAAUUUUUAUUUAUUGUGUUAGAUGUCUAAAUUACCCUUUUGACAUCAUCAAUUAUAAAUAGCAAUUAACUGUUUAAUGGAUGGUUGAUACAAUACAAAUUUUAGGUUGGAAAAUUGGACAAAUUCAAAUUUUUAUAAUAUUUUUGAUAAGAGGGUAAAUUUAAACUGGAUAACUUAUUUAAAAAAGAAGAAGAAGAAGCAUUUUUCAUUGUUUUGGAAAAAGAAGCUAUUGGUGAAGAAGAAUUGAAAUGGGGAAAAUUCGAAGGUUAGAGUUUAUGAAAAAUUAAAGUUUGGGUCUUUUAAAACUUGAUUUGAUGCGUUAUUUUGGAGUGUUUUCAACGUUAAUUUCAUUUAGGAAGACCGUUGAAGGUGGAAGUGUAGAGAGAGAAUGUGUUUUUGGAGUGAAAGAAGUCUAUAAAUUAAACAUACAUGUUCGAUUUCUCACCAAAGGGAGUAAGAUUUCCAUCUUUGUAUCCAUAUUUAUGUUGAAUUUCAUGGAACAAAGAUAAUUUAUGGAUUUGUGUACUGUUGAGUUUGAACACAAACAGAAGCCAAAAGAAACUCCACGAAUGAAGCAAAGAUCCAAGAACUCACUUACAAGAUCAGAAACCUGAUCUUGAACACCAACACCAGACACAACAAUUCAAAGGGAAAAACUAGCACUCUUUUAUUACUCAAAAUGAUUACAAAUCUGUCAAGUUUCGUAGAAGAAAUUACAAGCUUUACAAGGACACCAGAAUCACUCAAAUUGGAUGAAAAAUGAAAGAGAAAUGUGAACCAUAUCAGAUGCCACAAGUCAGCUCUGUUUAUAAAGCAUUUUUCUGAGAAUUCCCAGAGACUGCUAACAAACAUAACGAACUUUAAACACGUCAGCAACGAGUUUGCACAUUGGUCCUCAAACUUAAGUCAAUCUGCACGAAAGCCACAGAAGUCUUAACUCUUAGCAUUUAACCCCCUAAAACAGAAACUGAUUCUUCACAAUCUCCACCUUGCAGACUUGAUUCAGUUUGACUCUUAACCAUAAAAGUUGCUUCAAAAAACCUCUUUAAGCACACAGCCUUUAAGCACACAGCUUAUCUCUUGAUUACACAAAGUAAUCACUGUAAAUUAGCCAUGAUUCCCAUCAAGUUUACACAAAACUUGAACUUAGCAGUGGGAACUACUUUUGUAAGAGCAUCAGCAGGAUUUAUAUCAGUGUGUAUUUUGUUCACUGACACAGCACCUUUAGAUACUUCAUCUCUAAUGAAAUGGAGUCUCACAUCAAUGUGCUUAGUCCUUUCGUGAUAGAUUUGAUUUUUAAUAAGGUGGAUGGCACUUUGAUUGUCACAGAAAAUGGUGAAAGUUUUCUGCUUUAACCAAAGCUCAUUCAAAAUCCCACCAAGCCACUUUCCCUCUUUUACUGCCUCUGUUGCAGCAACAAACUCAGCCUCUGUAGAAGACAAGGUGACCACAUAUUGAAGAGUUGCUUUCCAGCUGAUCAGACAGCCAUUCACCAUGAACAAGUAGCCUGAGAUUGAUUUCCUCCCAUCCAAAUCCCCUGCAAAAUCUGAGUCUACAUAUCCCACUAUACUUUUCUCAUCCUGCUUUGACCUUCCAUAUAGCAGACCAUGAUCUGGAGUACCUCUAAGGUAUCUCAUAAUCCACUUAACAGCAUCCCAGUGCUCUUUUCCAGGAUCACUCAUGAAUCUGCUAACAAGACUAACAGCAUAAGCAAUAUCAGCCCUAGUACACACCAUUGCAUACAUGAGGCUCCCAACUGCCUGAGCAUAUGGAACUUCACUCAUCAAAGACUUAUCUUGAUCUGUAACAGGAGCUUGCAUUUUUGAAAGUUUGAACUGAGAUCCAAGUGGUGUCUGAACAGACUUUGCAUCCAACAUAUCAAAUCUGUCAAGAACCUUUAGGAUGUACCUCUCUUGACUGACAAAUAUAGUUCCAGCAGCUCUAUUCCUUAUAAUAUCCAUCCCAAGGAUCCUCUUAGCACAUCCAAGAUCCUUCAUUUCAAAUUCUGCAUUCAACAGGUCUUUGAGCUUCUUGAUCUCACUUCUAUCUUUGCUAGCAAGUAGCAUAUCAUCCACAUACAGCAAAAGAUAAACAGCUCCACCUGAAUUUGAGCUUCCAGAGUACACACAGCUAUCAUAUUUGCUUCUGAGAUAGCCCUUGGAGAUCAUGAACUCAUCAAAUCUCUUGUACCAUUGUCUUGGAGACUGCUUUAGUCCAUAGAGAGAUUUGUUUAAAUGACAAACAUGAUAUUCUUUUCCUUUGAUUUCAAAGCCCUCUGGUUGUGUCAUCAAAAUUUCUUCCUCAAGCUUCCCAUGUAGAAAAGUUGUCUUCACAUCCAUCUGAUCAAGCUCCAUAUCAGUUAGAGCUACCAUUGACAGUAGCAUCCUUAUGGAGCUAUGUUUAACCACAGGAGAAAAAACCUCAGUGAAAUCCACACCUUCCUUUUGUGUGAAACCUCUAGCAACUAAUCUAGCCUUGAAUCUUGAAGCUUCAGCUCCUGGAAUUCCCUCUUUUCUUUUAAAAAUCCAUUUACAGCUUACCAACCUUCUGUUGCCUGGAUCUUGAACAAGAGUCCAAGUCUUGUUUUUGUUUAAGGAAUCCAUUUCUUCUUCCAUAGCUUUGAUCCAGUUGCUACUGUCACUACCUUUCACAGCUUCUCUGUAGCUUGCUGGUUCUUCAAUAGCUAUUUCUUCUGCACUGUUAAGUGCAUAAGCUAUCAUCCCAGCAUAUGCAUAUCUGGAAGGUGGUUUUGUCUCCCUUCUAGCUCUGUCCCUUGCUAGCUGAUAGUCUUGUAGCUCAGUCACUGGAGUUCUUAAAUCAUCCACUUCAGACAUUUCUUGAAGAUCUUCUGGAGCACCCAUAUCUUGACCCUCUCUGUCACUGCUACUGGAUGACUCCACCUCAAUUCUGGAAUCCUUCCUUAUUGCAGCUUCUUUCAUUGAUUCAUCAGUAUAAGGGCUGAAGUCAAAGACAACAGAGUCAUUGUCUUCCAGCAUAGAUUCCUCAUUAAAUGUAACAUCUCCGCUGAUGAUGCAUUUAUGAGUGGCACCACACCAUACCUUAUACCCUUUCACCCCCUCAGGAUAUCCCACAAACACCCCCUUCAGAGCCCUUGAAUCCAGCUUUCCUUGCUUUACAUGCACAUAGGCUGUACAUCCAAAAAUUCUCAGAUGUUUGUAGUCUGCAGAUACACCAGUCCAAAUUUCUUCAGGAGUUUUGAACUUGAGAGCUGCAGAGGGACUCCUAUUAACCAAGUAACAAGCUGUAGUUAUAGCUUCAGCCCAGAAGCUUCUUGGUAACUUGGAGUUUAUGAGGAGGCAUCUAGUCUUAUCAAUGAGGAUUCUGUUCAUCCUCUCAGCUAAUCCAUUUUGCUGAGGGGUGAACCUAACAGUCUUGUGUCUGGUGAUUCCAUGCUUCUGACAAUACUCAUCAAACUCUUUAUUACAAAAUUCCAGUCCAUUGUCAGUCCUUAGUGCUUUCAGCUUCACCCCUGACUGAUUUUCAAGCAGAGCUCUCCAUAUCUUGAAUUUCUCAAAAGCUUGAUCUUUAGUCUUGAGAAUGUAUAACCAGACCUUUCUUGAGAAGUCAUCUAUGAAUGUUACAAAGUAUCUACCACCACUCAGAGAUGGCACUUGAGCAGGCCCCCAAAGAUCAGAGUGUGCAUAAUCCAAUACAGCUUUGGAUUUAUGCAAUCCCCUUUCAAACUUCAUUCUGUGGGCCUUCCCAAAAAUGCAAUUCUCACAGAACUUCAGCUCUUCAACUUUAUCUCCACACAACAGCCCCCUUUUGCUUAGUUCUUGUAAGCUUUUGGCACUCAUAUGUCCAAGCCUUAGAUGCCACAUCUUGGCUUUAUCUACAUCAGAACUAGCAUGCAAUGCAGACAGCACAGGUACUGAUGACCCUUCCAACACAUACAGUCCAUUAUUCUUGACUCCCUUCAUUACUAUACUGGAGUUUUUCAUUACCUUUAAGCCCCCAUGGUCAGACUUAAAGACAUAGCCUGAGCUAUCUAACAUGCCUAAGGAUAUCAGAUUCUUCUUUAAUCCUGGUACAUGCCUAACAUGUUCUAAGGUUCUUGUCAUUCCAUCAUACAUUCUGAUUUUGACAGAACCUAUACCCACAAUUUUACAAGCAUUGUGGUUUCCCAUUAAGACUCUACCUCCAUCUAUAGUUUCAUACUCAUGAAAGAGGGUUUUAUCAGGACUCAUAUGGAAAGAACAACCAGAGUCUAGAACCCACUGACCUUCAAUCUUUCCAUUUGAUGCCACCAGUAAGUCUGCACUUUGAUAACCUCCAUCAGAUGAUUCAUUAAAUGCUACAGCAACAUCUCCUGAUUUUUCUUUGCUGUCUCUCUUCUUCUCAGCACAGUCUCUGAUGUAAUGGCCUGUCUUUUUACAGUAGAAACAUUUUCUUCUUUUCAUUUUUUCUUUCUCAGACUCAUCUUCUUUCUUAAACUGAUUCUUGUUCUUCUUUUUCUUCUUAUCUUUCUUCUUCUCAGCUUUUGCCAUCAACCCUUCACCAGGGUUUUGAUCCAAAUCUCCAGAGUGCCUUUGUAUUUCUUUUGAACACAAGGAGGCCUUCACAUCUUCUAGUGUGAGAGUUGUCCUCCCAUAUAGCAUGGUAUCUACAAAACCCUCAUAGGAUUUUGGCAGUGAACUCAGCAAGAAGAAGGCUUUGUCUUCAUCACUUAUCUUGAUGCUUUCUACUCCUUCAAGAUCAAGAAUGAUCUUGUUAAACACAUCAAUAUGCUCCUGUAUUGACACACCUUCCUUCAUAAAGAAUGUAUACAGCCUUUUCUUUAAGAAGAGCCUGUGAGCAAGUGAUUUCUUCAUGCAUAGAGCCUCCACUUUGUUCCAGAUACCCAGAGCUGUUUUCUCCUCUGAGAUUUCUCUCAAGAUUGAGUCACUUAGACUCAAGAUCAGGGUACUGUGGGCUCUAUUGUGGAUCUGCUUCAUCUUUUCAUCAGAUCUUGAACUUCCAGCUGUUUCUGGAUCUUCUUCUUCCAAAGCUGGCUCCAGUCCUUGAUGAACAAGAAGUGCUCUCAUUUUCAUCUUCCAAAGUGAGAAAUCACCACCAAUGGUGAAUUUCUCAAUCUCGGGUUUUGGAAGUGACAUUGUUGUGAUCCCCCUAGGGCUCUGAUACCACCUGUUGAGUUUGAACACAAACAGAAGCCAAAAGAAACUCCACGAAUGAAGCAAAGAUCCAAGAACUCACUCACAAGAUCAGAAACCUGAUCUUGAACACCAACACCAGACACAACAAUUCAAAGGGAAAAACUAGCACUCUUUUAUUACUCAAAAUGAUUACAAAUCUGUCAAGUUUCGUAGAAGAAAUUACAAGCUUUACAAGGACACCAGAAUCACUCAAAUUGGAUGAAAAAUGAAAGAGAAAUGUGAACCAUAUCAGAUGCCACAAGUCAGCUCUGUUUAUAAAGCAUUUUUCUGAGAAUUCCCAGAGACUGCUAACAAACAUAACGAACUUUAAACACGUCAGCAACGAGUUUGCACAUUGGUCCUCAAACUUAAGUCAAUCUGCACGAAAGCCACAGAAGUCUUAACUCUUAGCAUUUAACCCCCUAAAACAGAAACUGAUUCUUCACAUGUACUUUAUUUGUAAUUAGGGUUUCCACAGACUGGUCUUUGCUUGUAACGAGCAGAAAAAUAAGAAAGGGAAAGGAUACAAGUACCAGAGCAAUCUCAUGUUGAUAAUAUAUUUUAACUGUGGACAAAAUGGGCAGGAAGUAUUUGAUAAUUGAUGUAAAUAAUAAAGAUUAGAGUAAGUAUGAGACGCUAAAUGAUAUAAGCUAGAAAAUAUUAUCACUAAUCUGGGAUUGAAAGUGAGUACAAGUGAAGCUAACCCAUGAAUUAUAAUGAUGGGUUGGGUAGCCAAUUAAAUGUUGCCACCAUUUAAGUCACACAUGUAUGGCUGUUCUUUCAUGUAGAUCUUAUCCAAAUUACUUGCUCCACUUGACUAACUAAUGAAGCGGUUUCACCAAGCCUGGUAGUAAGAUAAGCACGGAGCAUGUGAUUUAAACCGCAAGCAUCACAAGAAAUGGUUUGGUUUCAGUAGAUAGCCAUACCGUUAUUUACACAACCGAAAGAAGGAUUUUUAAUUAAAAAGCUAAUACAUAAUUUCACAUACAAUCGUCAUACAUGACCAAUGAUUCUGCUACUAAAAAAAAAAAAAAACAACUAUUACUGAACAGUAAAAACACCCAGAACUUAAUCUUAGCCUAUAGCUUAAUUUCAGUUAUUUGUAUUUUCUUCUACAUUCUAUCUCUUGGCCUUCGUCUUCUUACCUUCUUCUGCUGAUCUCUUUCAACCAUCUUCACUAACCAUCGUGGUCUCCCUAUUGACAAUAAUAUGUAUCCAAUUGACAAUCCAAUCACCACUCCAGAUGCAAACCCCAGCUUCGCCACUUUCCAGUCAAACCAGCUUGCAAUUUCAUCUUCCUCAUGAUCAGUAGAAGCCGAAGGAGGUGCUUUUGGCACCCCGUCAUUGCUACAUGUUACUGUCAACGGCUCCCCACACAAAUGAAUAUUCCCAAUGUAGGAAUCAUUAUCAAAUGUAUUAAAUUGAUUGCCUCGAGGAAUGCGUCCCCGAAGCCGGUUAUAUGAAAGAUUUAAUGAUGCAAGGGCUGUAACACCUAAUAACUGUUCUGGAAUUCUUCCAUGAAGCUUGUUGAAAGAGAGGUCCAAUGAUUCAAGUGCUGUCAUAAUCCCCAAGGACACCGGAAUAUUACCUGUCAGGCCAUUGUGUGAAAGGUUGAGCACUUUGAGUGAUUUAAAGUUUCCAAGUACUUCAGGAAUCUCUCCAUUGAACCGAUUGCUUGAAAAAUCCAUACCUCUAAAUAUGAGCAAGAUCUUGCUCAGGUUAACUUCCAGUCCUUUCAUUGCAACAGUUACAGUAUCUUUAUAGUAGAAACCACCAAUAUAUUGAAGUCCAAAUUCCGUUUCGUCGACAUUCUUCAUUGCUUCCAUACUUACAAAGAUCGCUCUUGGCAGAAAACCAGUGAAUUCAUUACGAGAGAGAUCAAUGAUUCGAAGGGCUUGAAAGGGCAACGUAAUAUUGGACUUGCAUAGUGGACCAUAGAAUCGAUUAGAUCUCAAGACCAGAAUUUUUAGCUUCGGAAGACAUCCCAACCAACACGGAAAUGUGUCACUUAUCAUGUUGUUCCCCACAUUGACAACUUCCAGCAUGUUACAAUUCGCCAAAGAUCUUGGUAAUGGCCCUUCCAACUUGUUGCUAUUAAGGUCAAGACUCCUUAAAGAACUUGCAUUUGCAAAUGUAUCAUGGAUGUAACCCUCAAGGCUGUUGUUCUUCAAGUCCAGAAUAAUCAGCUCGGUGCUAAAGUUUCCAAGACAUGAAGGAAUCGUUCCGCUCAAAUUGUUGUGAGAUAAGGAAAGAUAUUGAAGGGAACUCAAACUGCAAAUCGACAGAGGGAUCUGUCCGGACAAUUUGUUGUUCGAAACUAAGAAGACUUGUGUUGAAGGUGGUGGAACCAGAAUUGAUCCUUGGAUUUUGUUGUUUUGCAGAUCAAGAAUUUUAAUUUCCUGCCAUGGAUGUAGCUCUACAUGUGUCAGAAAGUUGUUCGAAAGAUGAAGAUCAAUCAAAUUCUUCCAUCCUUCAGAAUCAUGUUUUGAAAUUCGACCAUGAAUUCUACCAUUGGAGAGGUCUAAGCUUGUUAACUUUCCUGAGUUUCUCAAGAAACGUGGGAACUGGUUGACAUUGCAAUUAGAUAAAUUCAAUUCCUGUAGACUAGGUAAGGAAUAUUUGAUAUCCAUAUUGCUAGAGGGAAGUAAAUGAGAGUAGGCUGUUGUUUGAAAGAUAAAGAUAUUGCAGGCUUUGCAACUUUGAGAACAUGUCGAACUUGACAGUGCCACUCAAGUUGUUUGAUGUAAGAUCGAGAUAAGUGAGGUUCACUAGUUGAAAGAUGGAACUAGGAAUUGUGCCAUGUAUCUCAUUUUUUUGCAAUCGAACUUCUUGUAGUGAAUUAGGUGACUGGAAUGGAUUAAUAGGACCAUUGAGCAUGUUAUUUGAAAGAUCUAGAGAAACCAAAGAAGGCAGAGUGAACAACCAGGAUGUUACCCUGCCUUGUAGAGAGUUUCCAGAAAGGUCUAAAGUGGUUAAAUAUGACAGUCCACUUACAUGAUGGGGCAGGUGGCCAGUAAGAUGAUUUGAUGCGAACACAAUUUCAGUAGCUCUAGUGAGGUUUCCAAUUGAUGUUGGAAUUGACCCGGUAAAACUGCAUUCUUCGAUAUGUACAAUCUCCAAGAACAAUAGAUUUCCAAUUGAAUCGGGUAUUUUACCUGCGAAGUUAGUGGAAGAAAGAUACAACUUCCUAAGAGGACUACUCCAGUUAGAAUUUGGGAGAUAACCAGUGAGUUUACUGUUUCCAUAUAAAUAGAGUGCUUGAAGGUUUGGAAGACGAAAAAUUUCAUCAGGGAAAUUUCCUUGUAAACUAGCUCCACUGAGAUCGAGAGCCGUCAUUGCUGAAGACAAGUUUAGAAGAGAAAAAGAUUUGAUCAAAGACACGUUUGUUGUUCCGAGAUUGAGAAGGCUUAAAUUUGUUAGGUUACUCACAACCAAAUCAAAAGUUUUUUGUUCGAUUGUCAGGAAGUAAUUUAGGGAAAUUUCAAGAUGAGUUAUGUUGAUGCGAGAUUCUGGUUCUCCUCGUUCUACGACCAGGGUCUCUGCUCGAUCAACUUCACCACGACCAGGAUCUCUCCUCGUAAAGCUUCUUCUUCAGAGGUUCCUGCGCACACAGACAGGUCAGAGUACGCCGGUUGUUUUCCCAGCACAAACCCUCCGACGCUCAAGUCAGAUAUGAAGGUUCGGGGAACGCUUGCCACAAAUCUUAUGGCUGCAGGGUUGUUUUCUCUCUUUUAGAAUCAAAAUUGCUAACCCUUUUACCUUCGUUGGCUUCCUUUUUAUAGGCUUCCUCUGAGUCCCAGUCUUCCGCAGUUUACGCCCGUUGUUCUCCCUACGCUCGGAUGUGGAUGUCCCAUUAUCUUCAUGAUGGGCGAAUGGAGAUGGACCUCGUGCCUUGAUUCUCGGAUAGGAAGGCACGUCUCACCAACUGCCGUUGAUCGGGUCUCCUCGCCUCGAACCCUAGCGGGAGUGACCCUAUGCCUCUAGCAAGGGUUCCGCCUCACGAAUGGCAUAUUCGUGGACGAGCAGAAUAUUCCUGCUCCUGUUCCCUUGCUACCUGGCUCUUACAGGAGACACCUGCUCGCAGAAUUCUACCACCAAACAUCUGCUCAUCACGUCUGGUCUCACCGAAGUAUUUCCCUCAAACAAGUUAGUUUGGACAAGUGAGAGAUUUCAUAUGGGACUAGACCACCGAAAUAAGAAAAAGAGAGGUUAAGAUAUGUCAAUUCCUUUAGCCGUCCAAUCUCGGGAGAGAUUUGAGAACCACCGAAAUCGUUGAAAGCAGGUUGAGAGAUUGGAGAUGGGAAAGAUGGAAGAGGCUGCUAUUGUCAUCGAUGCUGCGUUCAAGCCUACUGGAACUUCUGUCGAGGCCAAUCACGUUUCCUGUCACAUUAUCACAUGUUACCCCAUCCCAAGAGCAGCAGUCGGUACCCUCUGUCCAAGAAUACGUCUUAGGAUAAAAAACUUGUUCAUUACAUGUAGCGUAAUACCCAGAACUGAAAAAAAAAAGUUUUAUUUUUAAAUUGAAGCAAAGCUAAACUUUGGUCGGGAGGGCAGAAAUGAGUUGUUUUAGGAGAUGAGUAAUGGAAAGAUGAUGAACAAUCCACUUGAAAAUAACCAAACAAACACAAGAAGAAGUAGAAGAAGAAGAGGGCACAGGAGACUUGAUUAUAAUGCCAUACGAACCUCUCCGUCAUAAUUUCUAAGAAUCAAUACUCAGAAACUUGACAAUUAAUGUCAAAUUGUUAAGAGGCAGAUGAUAAAUGUUAAUACAGAGGAGUUCUUAUAUAUAGGCAUUUCGUGGACGAUAUCUUUUGACUUUUGUAUUUCAUUUCCAGGCAUGUUCCAAUUUGGUCAAUGAUUAAUAUAUCUGAAAUGCAUCAAAUUAUGAAAUGCAAUUAAUGGACCAAAAAAAAAAAUUCCAUGAAAUGUACGAUCGUCCAAAUGGUGUGAAUUAAGCGAGCAUGCAAUGGACAAAAAAGAAAAAAGAAAUCAAUAAACGGUACCCAUCAAUUAAUGAUGAAGUAAAUAGAUGUUUUUAAAUACGAGAAUGUGGAAUUUUUAGCUAAUAAAUUUAAUUUUGAAAUAGUAUAAUCAGUGAGUAUAUACGAGCAUCCUUUCAACCGGCUAAUUUUCUGCAUCCUUUCAGCCGGCCAGUAUCAUUUUUUAGGAUUUGUAAGUUACUGUAAUAAAUAUCAGGAUUGAUAUAUAUAUAUAUAUAUAUAUAUAUAUAUAUAUAUAUAUGUAUGUAUGUAUGUAUGUAUGUAUGUAUGUAUGUAUGUAUGUAUGCAUGUAUGUGUAUAAAUAUCAGUAUAAAUAAAGUUUAUCAAUAAACUCCCACGAAAAGGAAAGAUAAAACUCUCACAAAUGUUCUUGUAAGAAUCGAAAUAUAAUAAAAGAAAAAGGAUUUAAUUAUCUAUCCUUUUUUUCACAAUGAAAACACCAAAACAAAUCAAUAGAGAACAACGUACGUAUUGUCAUUAUUAGAAGUAGCCUAUCAGACUUGGAAUCUUCAUCAAGGGUUAGUGUGUAGAAGUAAGGUCAAAAGCAAACUCAAGUGCUACACACAUAUGUAUUACCAUACUUCUUUUAAUUAAAGCAUCUCAUUUUCUGCUUUAUUGGCCUAGAGUCUUACUCGUGGAUAAUCUAUGAAAACCCACCUCAGGGUCGAUAUCUAGUAUGUCUUUAUACGACCAAGCAAAUACAUUAGAUUAUUAGAAUAUCUUUGCAAGAAUUCCAUCAACCUUAUCCUUAAGUCAUCCCCAAACUUAAACCCUAUUUAAAUAAUUUUUUCAAGUCAUCUAACUUUACCUUUGCUAUUUAGAGGGUUUUAAUAGGUUCUUAUUUGUUCUUUUUAGAAUCUCCUCGAGCAUUAAGGGAUAUUAUCUGUAUUGUUUCUUUAGCUACCAUCAUAGAGUAGCUCCUCACAAUUCUCUAGCUGCCUUUUACAACUUUUACCAUUCCAUUUAUUUAGUAUUUAAUUGUUAGAUAAUAGAUGGAAAAAACAAAUUUAUUGAUCCUGAAAAGAGGUUAUCCAAAUAUUAUCUUGGACUAUUCUCCUCUACUAUAAUAAAAUCUAACAUCAUGGUUAUUUUGAACGAUUUUAAAUCAAUAAUUACAAGUAGUUCUACAACCCCUAGUAGCAUUAACAACGAAUCCAUUCAAUGAAUUACUUAUGGCUUUAUUUUUAGGUCCAUCUUGUCUAAAGUGGCUUUAAAAAUGAUGUCAAAUGAGCUGCCAGAGUCUAUCAAAAUCCUUUUAUAUUCUUUGCUUACAGCAUUGGCUUUUAUAAACACCACAUCUUUGUAUUGGUACAUAACUCCCUCCUUAUAAUUGCAAAUAAUUUGGUCUUUGCACCUUUUUCCAAUGGUAUUAGGGGUGGGCAUCGGAUCGGAUUUGGAUAGAUCCGAUCCGAUCCGAUCUAAUCCGAACAAAUUCGGAUUGGAUUCGGAUUCUGCUUCAAAUCCGAUCGGAUGUAAUUUGUGCAAUCCGAUCGGAUUUGAUUCGGAUCGGAUCGGAUCAGAUUAAUCCGAAUAAUCCGAUCGGAUUGCACUGCUCCUUAAAAAAAAAAAGAAACAAAAAUUAAAUGAAAAAUUGAAAACUUAAACAGCUAAACCUAAUUCCCAAAUCACAAAACCACCCACGCAACCCAGCCACGCGACCUGACGCACCACGCAACCCAGCCAAACCAACCCACGACCACAAACCACACACACAGGCCACAACCUGACGCACACGACGACUCACGCCAUCGACAACACAAACGGAACGAACCCAGCCGGAUCUUGAUCAACGUCCAGUUGCCAUUCACGACGAGCAGCUGACGGCGAAAGCAACCUCGCGAUAGUCGACUUGUUCAUUGUGUAAGGUUCCUGUCUUUAUUGCAUGAUUGUCUAAGGAAUUAAAUGUGCAGUCUGUGAUGAGCAAAUCAAGAAGACGAAGUGAAAGGCUGCUGCAGAGAGAUGAGCUCUCGACUUACCUAUAUUUGGAUGUGUAAUUAUCAUAUAACACCCUGAGCUUUUGAUAAUGAAGCUAAUGAAAGAAUUGUGUAAGGACUUGUGUUUCAUUAAUUCUAGAUUUCAUUAAUUUUUGGUAAAAAUUGUCAAAAAGGUCCCAAAUCCGAAUACAAUCUGAACCGAUCCGAAUCCGAACUUAUCCGAAAUAUUCAUCCGAUCCGAAUCCGAUCCAAACUAUUUCGGAUCGGAUUGGAUCGGAUUUGAAGUUCGGAUUAAAAUCGGAUGGAUUUUUUUCCAAUUCGAAUUAUCCGAAAUCCGAUCGGAUUCAUCCGAAUCCGAAAUUGCCCAGCCCUAAAUGGUAUAUUGAAAAGAACGUCAUGACUGCUCAUACUAUAUCUUUCAUAAUUUUUUUAGCACUAUUUGAGUCCUAUACUAAUGUUGGCCUUUUACAAUAACUCUAGCAUUGACUCUUCCCGUGUUACAUCUUCAUUACUCACCUUUUCAAGCAACUUUUGCUCAUCUUCCAAUGGAAAUAAUAUAUUUACAUACUCAUUUAAAUAACAAUUUCUUACUAGAUCUUUGACCUUAUUUUUUAAAUCACGACAAUGCACCAUGAUCUGGCCAUAGUUGUCAUGAAAUUCGCAGAAUUUACUCUUGUCAUGUUUGUUAGUUGCUCUUUGAGAGAUGUUAGAGGGUACAACAGCACUCGAUCUUUAAUGGAGUGGUACAACUUUUCUAAUGAGACCUUUAAAGGUGUAUAUUACUUGUCUAUAAAGUAUAGUCUACUCAUGUGUGGUUCUAUCUCUUGAGAAGCUUUAUGUCUAGCUAGAAAGAAUUAGUGGUGAUAGAAGGUUUACACCUGAUUUGUUUGACCUUUUGUCUUAGUUAGUUUUUCUGUUGAUCACUUGGUUGUCCUAAUUGGGCACAAAUAUUUUGUUGAGUAAGACUUUUUAAUUGCUUUUUAUUAAAGGGAUCCUGAGUUGGCUUUAUUUGUGUAUGUUGGAUUAGGUCAAGAUAAGAAAUAAUGCCACGAGUAGGGUGCUCUCACUACUAGAAAAAUGGUCUUUACUGACUUUAGAAUAGUGUCAGAAAUUACUUUUACUGACACUUAUUAAUUGUGUCAGUAAUCUGGGAGUCAGAAAAAUAGUGACACUUGUAAAUGGUGUCAGUGAUUACUAUUACUAUAGUAUCACUAAAAUAAUAACACCAUGGUAUCAAAAUAUUACAAUACUAUAUUAGUAUUUGUGAUUACUGUUACUAUAGUAUCACUACUUUAUUUAUUAUUUAAAAAAAUAAUUAUAUAAAAUGACAUGUUGCCCAUUGAUUUGUUGAUAGAAUUAAAAGGCUGUGAGAAAUAAGAACAAAAAUCAAUUUAUAUAUCAAAACCUUUCGUAACAUUUAAAUAUUAUCAAUAUAUAUUACACAAUCCAAAUACUUCAAUAUACAAAGACGUCUGAUUACAAGACAAGUUAUUCUUAUAAUUGAAUAAUCUUAACUACUAUUAUCCAAUCAAUUUGAUAAUGAUACUUCUCUAGAAAAUAUCUUCAUAGUAUAUGACUAAUUACCGAAUUUUGUCCACGGGAUAAGGCAUCUUGAGCAAUGAGCCAUAUCAAAUGAAUUUGCGGGGAAAGGUAGGCGCUGUGUGGAAAUGAUGCCAAGAAUUGCGGGAAUUCCACGUUCCAAUGCAAAUUGAACUUGAGCUUCAUGAUUAUCUCUUGGUGCAAGAGAAACCGUUAAAAUUCCACGAUCUAAUAAAUCACCUCCCCAGCUGGCAACCUAUAAAAAAAAAUGUAAGUGAGUUAAAUUUAUCCUAAGAUGACCGAGAGGCACCAUAAGAAUAAACCAUCAAUGCAACAUAGAUUAGCCCAGUAUAUGAUUAGACGAAAAAGUGGGCAAAUGGAAAACAAAACUCACCGCACAUCCAGUGUCAAUAGCAGUUCGAACUGUCCCAUCUUUCAUUUCUGGAAUCAGAUCUCGCAUCAAAUCAACAUAUGCACCAACUCAUUUGGGAAACAUUGUACCUCCACCAGGAAAGAGGAACUUCUCUCCUUGUUUUCUCAGCCAAUUCUGAUUUGACUUCUGCUUGUUAAUCCAAUCAUAAGGCACAUUCCUGAAACUAGAUCCAAAUAAUAGAACAAAAUUGACUUACGGCCAACAUCAGUGGACAAAAAAACCAGUUCAUUAAUAGAUCAUAAUACCUGUACCAACAUUCAUCCCUGCUUUUUGGCCACUUGAUAGGUGGCUUAUACCCAUUAGGAGGGGGUAUUAAGCAUUCCUUCCUCUCAAAAACUGGAGGGCAGUGGCGUUCCAUGAAAGUCAGCCGAUGAGCACCGUACUUUUUCCACCUCUGUAGCAAUGAAUGUUUGCCAUCAAUAUGGCCACUUGAUAUCAUAUAGCUUUGUAACAUUGCCUAGAAGCUGUUACUAUUAUCAAAUAAGCAUUUAAGGUAUACCUUUGGAUAUGUGCAUGGAGUGUAGUCUUGAUAGUUGCUGCUGCAAUCAGGGAAGUUAACAGAUUUGAUCUGAAGCGGAGCAACCGCUGGAUCCUUGGGAGACGGGACUGCUUUCUGGACAUCCCUAAUCUCGACUCUAUUUUUCUCAGAACAAAAGAUUCCACCAAGGUAAAACGAAAACCCACGUAGUGCAACAAACAAUAUUGUCAAAGGAACAAUCCUGGGACUUUUAUCACCAUUUGGAGAAAUCGGUUUCCUAUCUUUAUGCUUCAUUUUGUCAGAAACAAUUAAUUACCUGCAUUGAUAAUAGUAAAAAAAAAUGUAGUCACAGCUAAGUGAGAUUAAAUUUUUAGCUCAAUGACCAAACACGUAAAGAAACAUCUCCAAGAUCCCAACUAUGGAAAUAAAUACAUUCCAUGCUCCAGUUUCGAUUCCUCCAUUGUCUAAGAUAUUAAACUAAGCAUCAUAAAGCAGAAUGAAGCGGACAGUACAAUAUUUGAGUCACAACUCAAUUUCACAACCCAGUCACUUAUAAUUAUCCUGAGACUAUUAAUAGGAUCCAAUUAACCAACUAAGACGGUUGAGAAUUAAUGUGUGAACUUAAAUGAAUGAGUAAAUAUCAAUUUGACCAACCAAAAAAAAAAAUCAAAUGGGAGUUAAAGAACACCAAUUUGCCAGACGAAUGAGCGUAAUAAUAAAGCAAAAGACGAAUUUGCCAGACGAUGAAGUUAUUUCUGGUUCAUCACUAAAUUCUCUAAUAAAAUAAAACCUCUAAGAUCACCAAUACAAUUCAAACAAACUCAAUUCGUAACCCAAUUACAAAAUGAAGAAUGAACCAACUGAUAACAAAAAUAUUACAACAAGGUCAUCCCAGGUUUCAAAAUCACCAAUAAUUAAUUUUUUUAAAAAAAAUUCUUGCCUGUCUAAUUCGAAACAGAACCUCUUCUCCCUUUGCCGCUUCUUCUUUGCUUUCAUAAAACCCAGCUCCAACCAAAAACUUCAACCCUAAAGGAAAUUGAAAUCAGAGUUUUCUAUACAGAAAGAAAAAAGUAAUUAUAAAUAAAGAUAAAACACAACCUUUUCUCAUGGGUUCUUUGCAUAUCACCCUCCAUCGAUCCUGCAAUUGAUAUUGGCUUCGUCACUCCAUACUGCUUAGGCGGUAACGGCGACAAAAUCAUUCUCUUCGAACUUAACAUUAAAAACAAUGAAAUACCCCCUACAAAAAAGCCCUAAUUUUUGGAUUCGAACUUUCAAAAAAACCGUAGCUUUGCUCAAAUUCUUCACUACACUUUCUAGUUCAAGGGUAUUUUAGGUCAAAGAUGGCGAUUUGAAGGUUGACGGUGACGGCUGAGGUAGAUCAUUGUUAUAGAGAGAGAGAGAGAGAGAGAGAGAGAGAGAGAGAGAGAAGGAAGGAAGAGAGCUUCAGUUCAUAGUAAGAAGCGGCCGUGGGGAGUGUUUUUUCACUUCUUAAAAAUUUUAGAUUUUAGGUUUUCAUGUACACCUUCCAUUAAAACGACAUAGUAUCUAGGUAAUUUAAUUUAAUUUUUAAUAUUAUUUACUUAUUAAGCCAAAAAUCAAAAUCCAACUCAUGGCCCAGUGGUUAAUGUUUAAAAGUAAAAAGUUAAAGUUUAGAGGUCUUUAGUUCGAUUCCUAAUGGACACAAAAUUAAAAUUUUAUUUUUCUAAUUACUAACACCUUAUUGUCACAGAUCUCUGAUAUUUAAUUUACAGACACUAUAGUAUCACAAAUUUGUGAUAUUUAUUUGUUAAACACGGAAAAUGUUCGAAAUGCAUGUAAUUACUGAUACUUUUUAAUAAAGUAUCACAAGACAAGUGUCAGUAAAGGUUAUUUUUCUAGUAGUGUCUCUUCACACCAUUCAAUUGUUUUUACGACAACUUGUCCUAGUAUAUAUAUAUAACGGGUCCACUUCCCCUUUGUGCCCUCCUCUCUUUUCUCCUCGAUUCCUCUAGUUGCUUACAUCCUACUUUCUCCUUUUCAAUCUCUAUAUCCAUCAUCAAUUGGACAUGAACUGUCAAAUAUGAGUUAAUUGCUGGUGCCUUCAUAUUGUACCAUAGUUGGCCUAUCUUCACCCUCUCUUUCAGUCCCCUUAAAACUUGAGGAUGAUUGAAAGUUUCAAGCUCAAGAAUUGCUCUAUGAUAUCUUUUAAUAAAGUCUUUAAGGUUUUCUUUCUCUCCUUGUUUAAGGUCACGAGUCUUAAUAUCAUCUUCUGGGUUCAUCGUCCCUUUAGAUUACUCAAAAUCUCCAUAUAAUUGAUCAAAAGUUCUAAUGCUUUCUCAAGAUAAUUUUCUAUGCCAAUCGUGCACUCACCCGUUUAACAUCAAUAGAAUGUUCUACUCCUAUGUAAUGGUGUUAAGCCCUUAAGUUGAGUCAUCUCAUUAAUUAUUUUAUGUGGAUUAGCAAAUCACUUUUUUCUUGAAUACUGAAGGUUUGAAAGCAAAAAUCCCUAAGAAUUGUUAUAUUCACGAUCUCUGGUAAAAGUAAGGAUCCAUUGUCCAGCAAAAUCCUCUGAGCAUGGGUUUUUCCUUUGCUGUACAUCUCUUUAAUGAUUUGUGCCAACCUACGCACUCAUUUUUUAAUUCCCUUGCAUGACUUGGAUUUUGCUUUACCAUCUGCUUGUGUUCACGUGCUACAUUUUAAUAGGCAUUGCCUUAGCUAUCUCUCUUUAAUAUUCUCUCCUUUCCUUAUAUUUAUUGUUGUGUUUGGGUCAUUAUGAGGUGGUGAUGAGUGUAGGAGUGUUUACAUUUAUAAAGGGUAAAAUUGUUGUUUUGCAUUCUAAGUCUCACUAACAUCUCUAUCUUUAUGUAUUUAAGCCCUUUAAACUUUGAUUUUAUGCAUGUUACUAUAAUUUGAGUAUUUUAUGUAUUUUAAGAUAUUUUAGUUAUUUUAUGAUUAAUGAGAUUCAAACGGCAAAAUAGACGAUAUUUUUGAGCUCAAAAUGGCUAACAAACUUGAUAAAGAAUAUAAAGUCAAAAUCAUAAUUUAACUCAUGUUUGGAGUCCUAUAUGGCAUCAUUGACGUUAUAAUUGGAAUCAUCCAUGGAAACCUAAUGAACGGUAGAAAUUUAGAUUAAAACAAACUUUGAUUGUAUAAAACAAGAUUUACAGAGGUCCAAAUCUAGUGUGCUAAGAUGUAUGCUAAUUUUGGGGAGCCCAACUGACUUUUCAUUGACUGAUGAUGUGUCAACAUCUUAAUUGACUGUCCUAUGUGCUUACUAUAGAGUGAUGCACACUGAAACAAUGCUUAUUGACUUUGUGUUCAUUAACGAUGCGAUAGUAUAUUAACGGACCGAAGAACGCAUGUACGAUACAAGCACAUACAUAAAGUGGCAGGCCUGUACACGUGUUCCCACUGAUCUAAGCACGCCACAUGGCACAAUCCUAUCCAUCUAAAUUAUUUCCAUCCAAUGACCAUGAUUUACCCAUGGUAUCUAUAAAUAGCGUGCUCUCCUCUCUGAUUUGACAACUGUGAAUUCUAAUUUCAUCUCCAUUUUGUGUAAUUCUCAUUCAAUCUUAUAUUUCUACAUAUUUUAAUAUAAAUUAUCAUUUUGCCCUUAGUAAAGCAUGUGUGGCUAAUUUAAUUUUAAUCUUGAGUUGAAAGUAUAGCCUCAAAAUGAUCCUUCAGCUUAAUUGGGUAAGCUUAUUUGUCCUCUCUCUGACUUAUGUGGGUCUUUUUCACUUUUCAUUAACAAAUAGUGUAUUUUGUCUAGCUUUUGCACUGUAUAUCAGCUCCCUAGUGAAAGAUUAUUAUUGUUUGGCAUGAUAAAUAUUUUACACCAUAUUUAUUAAAACAAAGACUCCCCUCUACUAUUUGUGAGUCAUCUUGACUCAUUUUUGACAAAGAGUGCGUAUAAGUUAUUUAGUGGACAACCUUACCAUGUUCUUGAUAGAAAGAUUAUUAUUGUAUGGUACAAUGUGUACUUGAUACCACAUUUAGCACAUAAUGUAGCGGAAGAUCAUUACCUUCAGGGACAAUGAGUGCUUAAUGAGGUUCUUUUUAAUUGGGAUUAAAAAGAAAUGUCAAUCCCAUGGUGAAGUGUUCAAUGUAAAUCUAGAGACUCAAAUGCUUUGUUAAAAUCAUUUCAUCCUUAAUUUAUUCCCAUCAUUUUUUUUAGUUUAAAUCUUAGUACUACUGAGAAAUCACCUCCGAUCAAUUCAUAUAUUAAAUAGAAAAAUUAACCCCCUGCUCAUGGGAUCAAUACUCGUAACCAUUAAUAUAUACUACAAUCGAUUCAUGUGCUUGCAAUUUCAUAAAUUUUGCACAAUAGGUGGAUCCUCUACUCUUCGCGGUAUUGGAACAAUAUUCUCUGGCCUUUUCGGUGUCCAUCUUCUGUUAUUAAUUUAGGUAUGUCAACAUUUCCCCCAGAAUUCAUUUUGUUAAUUCACCUUUGCCCUUUUUUAGUUUCUAUAACAAUAUUGUUAGGCUCUCUAUCUAUUUCUCCAUUCACUCCAUUCUUUUAUUAACCACGUAGUCUCUUGCAUCAUGGUUUAUAUAUCAUAAAAUGGUUGUUUCAUUUACCCCUGGUCAAACCCUCUUUGCUUCAUCAUCUUCAGUACUUAUUGUUAACUCACUUCUCCUGCAAUUGCCCUUUUCCCUAAUUUUCACAAAAAUGCAGCUACUAGGGUAGAAUGGCUUUUUGUACUGAUACUAUAAAUGGCACCAAAAUGUUGAUGCCAAAUCUGAUUGAGUUGUUAUGUUGGCCAGCAACUAAAAGUCAACGCCGACAUUUAAAUUUAUAUGUGGAAAAAGGGUUUGCUAAUGUCUUUAACCCUCAAUAGAAAACCAGAACUAUAAGUAGAUUUUUCGUGAAACAUUUGAGAUCACAGAAACCAAUGAAGGGAUGCUGAAAGUUCUUUUGGCAUUNNNNNNNNNNNNNNNNNNNNNNNNNNNNNNNNNNNNNNNNNNNNNNNNNNNNNNNNNNNNNNNNNNNNNNNNNNNNNNNNNNNNNNNNNNNNNNNNNNNNAUUAUUAUUAUUAUUAUUAUUGUUGUUGUUGUUGUUGUUGUUGUUGUUGUUGUUGUUGUUCUUGUCAUUGUCAUUAUUGUUAUAUUAUCAUUAUUAUUAAUAUUAAUUUAAUAAUAAUAAUAAUAAUAAUUAUUAUUAUUAUUAUUAUUAUUAUUAUUAUUAUUAUUAUUAUUAUUAUUAUUAUUAUUAUUUACAACAAUGAUAAGAAUAGAAAUAACAAUAAUAUAUUAAUAAUUUAGUUUAGGAUAAAAGUGAAAUAAUGAAAUUUGGUUGGAGUAAAAUAGUGAGUUAAAGUAAUGGGAACUUAAAUCCAACCCCUCAUAGGAAUUAAGUUUUCGUUCCUUAAUCCCAAAACUAUAGUGGCCUCAUAUGUUUUAUUCUCAUUCCCCUUUAAUUUCUAUUUUAACAAAUAAACAAUAUCAAUUAUUCUUAUUUUGAAUUCAAAUUUUCCAAUCACACAAGUAAAUACACCAUAAACCCAACUAGAUUUAUAUACUUAAUUUACAACUGUAAUCCUAGUCGGGUGUACACAUAAUUGUUUCUUUAUCAUUUUUUAUAUUGAUAUAUUUGGUCCUCAUAAUGAGUAAUGUCUGAUUUAUUAUAAAGAGUUGGUCUAUAGAUAUGCGCUCCAUAAUCUCUUCAAAUCCAAUUUCUCCGUUUACCCCAUUUAAAUAUUGGAUUUUUCUAUGAUGAUGUAUGACUUUUUACACUAUUAAUAAUGGGAUUUUUCUAGCCUAUUGGAUUUGAAUAUUUUAAUCUCUACCAUUACUUUAAUUAAAUGGAUAAAUAAUUAGUUAAUUAAUAAGCAAUAGGUAGCUUUCAAAAUUAAGUUGAUGAAUUCAAAUUAAGAGAUAAGAAUUUAUAAGUUUUAUUUAUACAAAUAUUUUACACUGUUCAUGAAAAUCUCAAGGUGUACAUUUAUUAUAUUAUUGAUGUCGUAGAAAAAAUAACAGUAUUAUAGAGAGACCUACUUAACACCUCUUAAUAAUAGUGCAAAGUUGCUUUAAUUAGCUUAUUAUAAUUAAAGAGUAUAAUAGUAAUAAUAAUAAUAAUAAUAAUAAUAAUAAUAAUAAUAAUAAUAAAAGAUAUGUGCAUUCAUUUAUGAAACUGAUGGUGAAACUAAUGUGAAACACAAGAUAUGAACUUCUGAAAAAAAGUCUCGCAGCGCUUUAUGUGAAAAAUAAUUGUAUUGAUUAUUUUCUUUCUGACGGAACAUUUUUUUUUUCUUGUCCUGAAGUACCACAUUUUAGCGCAUUUUGUGCAUAUGUGUGCCUUAUAAGUUGCCCAUGAAAUGAUAUUGCAUUCUUACGAAUUGAAAUAUUACUUUUCAUAAAUUUGAAAACAUGCAUGAUAAUAGAGCUUCGUCAAGAAGAUAUAUGUCAGAGCAAAAUAUAACUAGAGAUUUAUGCUAAUACCUCGUCAAAUCAAUCCAACCAAGUUGAGUUGUAACCUAAAUUUAAUUUUAUAUUCAUUUAUGGUACAACAAAAUAAAAGAUUAUUUUUUAGAAGAGAUCACCAAUUGCAAAGUUCAAAAAAAUUAUUCUAAGUAAUAUAAAUAAGCUUUAUAUAAAUGAAUAAAUGAUGUCAAUUUAGUUACUGUUUGGUAUUGAGGUGGUGUAAAUUUUAAACUACAGUUGUUGUGAAAAAAAAAAUUAUGACCAUACAAUAAAAGUUAAUAGUAUAUAGUAAAUAUAAUUUUUAAAUAAUAAUUUUAAUAAAAUUAGUAAAAAUAUAAUAAAUUUUUCAUCAUACAAGUAUAAAAUCAAAUUAAUUUAACUUUUAAGCUAAAGUACAAAUCGCUUUAAUGUUAUAACUUUUAAGGCACAACUACGGAAUCUCAAUCUCAAAUAGAGCCUUAAUAUAUUGUAUAACCAAAGCACAACAACUACAACAAUUAACAAGUUUUAAAGUAUUAUUAAUUAUUGAAGCAUUUAUGUUACUAUGAGGAGCAGAGGUGUGAUUGAAUAUAAGCAAGCUAUAUGCCUAUUAUGCAUUUUUUUUUUUUUGAUUAGAUGGGGCUCAAACUAGCGAGCUAAAUAGGAAUAAGACUGGGUUGAGUAACCCCAAACAAGUCUUGUACAAUAAUUGAAUAAAUACCCAUAGGCGGGUUAGAAAAUAAGUGCAAUCCAAGGGGGUAUGAGUGAGCCAUGUUGGCCAUAAAAUCCGCCGCCGAAUUUGCUUCCCAAUAAAUAUGGGUGAUGGAAACUUGCCAGUUUCUACUAAUAAGCUCCCGGAUAGCAACGACCAAAGCAUAGAAUUCGUUAGGUACAACCACUUGCUUCGAGACCAAUUGAGUAACACAAAGGCUAUCCACUUCAACCAAAAGACGUUUUAUUCCAGCCUCCCAAGCUAGAUGUAAUCCUUGGUACAGACCCCAAAGUUCCGCCAUUAGCACCGAACUCUCUCCAAUAUUCAUACAAAAUCCAGUUAUCCAGUGUCCGACCGAGUCUCGAAUAAUACCACCAGCACCUGCGCCCUCAUCUUUUCUACAAGAUCCAUCCGUAUUCAAUUUGCACCAAGGCCAUGGAGGUGGCAGCCAUCCAAUAAAAAUCUCCUUCCUCCGCGGUUGUUGACUUAUGUGAGAAUUGUUUAGUCUAUGGAUCUCGUUAGCUCUGGCCAUAAUAUCUACACAGACUGUUGAGCUAUCCACCAGCUUCCCCUCCACCAUAAAAUGAUUCCUCCAAUACCAUAAUCUCCACACCGCUACGCCGAAUAUACACUCCCAAGCUAAUGGAGAGGGAAUGUUCCACUUGUUUUGUAAAUUCGCAAUUAUCCAAUCUCGUAAAGACGACUGAAAGAAAGAGGAUUGAUGCCGAGCUGGAACAAGCCGAAACCAAACCCGCUUGAUGCAAUGACAAUCUCUCAAGACGUGAAUAAUAUCCUCAAGAGGAGCCCCACAACGAUCACAACCUGGAGACACCGGAAUAUGCCGCCUAGAUAGUUCACUCUUGGUUUUUAAUUUCACAUGUAAAGCCUGCCAAAGGAAAAUGCGAGUUGCUUGCAGCCCCUUCCAAGACCAUGCAUGAUUCUAUGCAUUAUCAGUAGCAGUGAGUUCCAGCUGACCGAGGGACUCAUAUGCCGAGCGAACCGUAAAGUUGCCACUUGGCUUAUAACGCCAAUAAAUUUUGUCAACACCAAGAAGAGAGCUAGGAGGCAUUAUCGAAGCAAUUUGCAUCAGGAUAGAAUUGGGUAGCAAAUGUUCAAAAGUUGACCAGUUCCAACCCCCAUGCACGUUUAGAAAAUCACUCACCGUAGCGUUAACCAAUUCAUGAGGCACUGGAUGAACAGCGAGAUUGAUCAAAGGGCCUUGUUUUGUUGCCCAGCAGUCCAGCCAAAAGCGAGUUCGAGAACCAUCACAAACAGCCCAGCGAGCUCCCUGCAUAGUGGCUGACCACGUGCGCUUUAUGGCUUUCCAGAUUCCAGAACCUUGUUUCUCAGGGAGGGACAACGGCAAGUGUCUAGGAUCCAAUCCGUACUUUGAGCAGAUAACCUUAACCCACAACUUGUCUGAAUUCGAAACUAUUUGCCAGCUCAGCUUCAUCAAUAACGCUUGAUUCAUCACACCCAACUUCUUAAACCCCAGGCCACCUUUGGUUUUCGGCAUGCAAAUUUUAUUCCAGCCCACCAUACUCAUCUUAUGGCUCUUCGACUUCCCAUCCCAAAUAAAACGACGGCAAGACUUCUCAAGCUUCCCACGCACCGGAGCUGGUAAUAAACUUGUCUGCAUUGCGUAAAUUGGCAUUGCUUGGAGCACCGAAUGAGCUAAAGUAAUUCGGCCAGCAAAUGAUAAGUGAGCUGCAUUCCAACCCGUGAGCCGCUUUUCCACCUUAUCAAGGAUCGAUUAGUAGGUAGCUCUAUUUAUUCUCGAAUGGAUGAGAGGCAUGCCAAGAUAGCACCCCAAGUCAUUUGUAGCCGAAUACCCCAACACAUUACUGAGGAGCUUAGCGUCUCUUGAACCUACAUUCUUAGAGAAAUAAAUUUUAGUUUUCGACUUGUUGACCUUCGCUUCAGAGCUCCGGCAGUAAUUGUCUAAAACUGCAUCUAUAGUGUACGCCUGAUCAAUUGACACCUCUGCAAAAAGGAGCAAAUCAUCUGCAAAAAAUAAAUGCGUUAGAGGAGUUCCAAGCUUGGCCAACCGAAUAGGCUUCCAGCUGCCAUCCCUCACGGCUUGUGAUAUUCCAUGGCUCAACCGUUCAAUGCACAGGACAAAAAUAUAAGGAGACAACGGAUCCCCCUGACGGAUUCCUCUCCCCGAGACAAAUUCUGCUGUAGCCUCACCAUUCCAUAAAAUACUCAUCCGAGCCGAAGUUACACAUUCCAUGACUAAUUGAGAUAACUGAAUCGGGAUACCAGUUUGCUGUAGAGUAUCGAAAAUAAAUGACCAAUUAAUUCGAUCGUACGCUUUUUCUAAAUCCACUUUAAUGGCCAUAAACCCUUUUUUCCCUGUUUUCUUUCGCAUAGAGUGAACCACUUCUUGAGCAACAACAAUAUUAUCAAUAAUAUGGCAUCCGGGCACAAAGCUAGUCUGGUGGGGGCCUAUGAGAUCUGGCAACAAGGCUUGCAAACGGUUAGCAAUUAUUUUAGUCACUGUUUUAUAAGCGACUGUGCACAAACUAAUAGGCCUAAACAUACUUAGGCUAGUAGGGUGCGCCACUUUGGGAAUCAAAACCAACAGGGUAGUAUUGAUUUCUUUGGGGAUCUUGCCCGAACUAAAAAUGUCACCCAUAAACUUGCAGAAGGAGGGCCCCACAAUUGGCCAUUGAGACUGGUAAAAGAUUGCAUGCAGACCAUCAGUACCUGGAGCUUUGAGGGAUUUCAUACUAAAAAUCACCCUUUUAAUUUCGUCGUCCAAAACUGAGACGACAGUACUCUCCAAAUCAUAAGCAUUUAAGACUGGGAAUAAAUUCGGUACCUGAUAACUUUGAGGGGUUGCAACUUCACUUUUGUAUAAGGACGAAAAAUAAUCAAUAGCAUAAUUUCGAAUCUCUCCCUCAUUAUAAAGCCAGUUCCCCGAAGUAUCUUGAAUAGCUUCAAUUCUAUUUCUCCGUCGUCUUGCAAUGGUCUUUUGAUAAAAAAACUUUGUGUUCCUAUCCCCGUACAGAAGCUCGUCUUUCCUUGACUUCUACCACCACAAGAUCUCCUCUUGACCCAUCACCGUCUCCAACUCAUUCCGAAGCCUAGCUGACACAACUUAAAAGUAAAUUUUAACUCCCAAGUAUAAGAGUGUCUUGUUGUAUUAUAACUCGGUGAGUCCGAGGUCGAUCCACAGAGAAAAGAUUUAAUUAGUUUAUUUUAUUUUAUCUAAAAAUUGAAAUUAAAACUUGAAUAUAAACAACUUAAUUUAAAUGAAACUAUGGAAUUGAACUAGUUAGGGUUAUGGAUCCACUCUUAGAAAUAAAUAAAACUUAAUAAAUUCUUUUUGCCAAUUUGUUUUAGAUUUAUUACUCAAAAGAUUAAUUAUACAAAUUAUUAUUAUUUUCCCUUUAAUUUUAUGAUGGAUUAAGUAUUUAUUGUGCCAAAAUUUAAUUUGUCUACAAUAAGUCAAAAUACCAUUUCACCAUGCCUUAUAUUAAGAUCUUAAGAAUUUAUUGUGCCAAAUUCAUUUGUUUGUCUACAAUAAAUCAAAUUUUCAAAAUAUAAAACAUGUAUAAAAUUAAAUAGAAAAUAAUUUAAUUUAUAAAAUUAAACAUAGAAUUUGAUUAAAUCAUAUUUAUUUCUUAAGAGUUUCACCUUCCCCUAACUAAUAUUAUUUAGUUAAGCAUAAUUAAAAUAAAAAGAAGUAGUAAAAUUGAAUUACUUAUAAUUAAAAGAAAUAAAAACAACUAAAAUUGGAAAUAAAACUAAUUUUAUUAAUGAAAAUAAUUAUACAAAAUGUUUGGGAGGGAUACUGUUUGGGACAAAUGCGUCGAAGGGACCAGGAACGACGAGCAGACAUCUGAUGGCGGAGUUCUGCGAACCGGUGUUUUCCGUUAAAGCCUGGCGCGUGGAAGAACAGGAGCAGAAACAUCCUGCUCGUCCACAAUGUUGUCGUCCGCGAGGCCAAUUCCUAUAAAAGGCACGAGGCCAUUUCGGCUAGAGAUCGAGAGGCGAGGAGACCCGGUCGACGGCAGUUGGCAAGACGUGCUCUCCAGCACGAGAAUCUAGGCACAACAGCCACGCUUUCCCCAGAACCGCGACGUAACAUGCAAGAUCUCACGGAGCCAGGACAGCCACACUUUCCCCAGAACCGUGGCGUAACACGCAAGGUCUCACAGAGCCGUGGCAGCCACGCUUCCCCUGAACCGUGGCGUAACACGCUAGAUCCCAUGUUUUGCCCAUAACGCAGCAGUUGGAGUCCCAUACCGUCUCGAAAAGAGCGGAAGACUGAGAUUCAGAGGAAGCCUAUAAAAAGGUAGCCAACGAAGGUAAAAGGGUUGGCAUUCUUGAGAAAAGGGGAGAAAACCACAAGAAACGCCAUAAGACCUGUGGCAAGCUUUUCCCGAACCUUCAUAUCUGACUUGAGCGUCGGAGGGUUUGCGCCGGGAAAACAACCGGCGUACUCUGACUUAUCUGUGUACGCAGGGACCUCCGGAGAAGAAGCCUGGCGAGGAGACCUCCUGGUAGUGACGAAGUUGAUCGAGCAGAGAUCCUGAUCGUAGAACGAGGAGAACCGGAAUCUCGCAUCAACAUUUUGGCGCCGUCUGUGGGGAUCCAGAGCAAAAAGCUUCUGUCGAUAGCAAGAAGAGGGGUGGAGUAAGCGAAAGUCAAUGGAGAUAGGAGGAAGUAGCGCACAAGGGGGUGACAUAAGGCUUAACGAUUCCGUGACGCUGAGGGAGGUGAUCAGCGAAGCACGGGAAAAAGUCAUGUUCGACCGGAUGGAGCGAAUGGAAAAGCAGAUGGAAACCUUGACAACUAUCCUGCAUGAGCUGCGGAACGAGCGAAGGGUAACCCAAGAGGGAAGGGUGAGAGGCGGUGGAGCGGCACCAGGUACCGAUAGUGCGGAGAGAAGUCAAACCGCUGGGAGAUUUGGCGGUGAGAGAGGCAACGUACCUCUGCGGGGAGAAUUUCAUAGAGAAAGAGAGCAGUCCCCGGUAAGACAGACUUGUGACGGGGGCGACGGGGUGGUGAACGCAGAGGAAACAGAACUGAGGCAACACUUACAUGAUGCAGAGCGAGAGCGGGAUCAAGCUGCAGCGCGCGACCCUGGUCGCGCAGGACAGCUGGAGGAGGAAGUGCGAAGGCUAGCGCAAAUAAUUGAUGACAUGCAAGGGAGGAACAGAGCCCCUGGUUGGAGGAUAAUGCUGGACGGGGAAUCACCGCUCGCAGCAGAGAUCAUGAGGGCAGUUAUUCCAAGAGAUUUCCGCCUCCCCGACCUCAGAUACUCGGGAAAAACUGACCCGCUGGUGCACAUAGAGCGCUUCAACGACAUAACGGGGGUCCAGGGAUUAUCUCCAUCCCAAAGGUGCAGGGUGUUCCCACUAUCCCUUGAGGGACGUGCACGAGAAUGGUACAGGAAACUUCCUCGGGGCAGCAUAAAAACCUUCGAGCAGAUGUGCCAGGAAUUCGCAGAGCAGUUUAGUGGGGCAAUGUCACCGGAAGAUGACAUGAUGGAGCUGAAGAGCAUGAAACAGGGGGAGCAAGAAACCCUUCGGGAAUUCAUCAAGAGGUUUCAUCGGGCUGUCCUCGACUUGGGAGCCUUCAACCACCCUCAGGCGUUAAGGGGACUGAAAGAAGGGGUGAAGAUAGGAAGGCUGUGGUACAAUUUAAGAAGCCCAGCUAUUCAAACGUAUGCAGCCGCAUACGAACAGGCUAAAAGAGACAUCGAGAUUGAGGAGGAGAAGGCUGCACGGAUCAAGACAGACCAGUUGGAAGGGUUAGGGAGGAAAGAGAAGAAAGCAUUACCAACUAAUGGACCGAACAGGAGGAGGGACCACCAGAUCUCCGGUAGUGGAGCAGGAGGUAGGGUAAUUGCUUACCAGCCUCAUCAGAGGCCGCCACAGUAUCAGCGCAGCAGGGCGCCACCUCCUCGCUCCCCAGCUAGGGAGCCUUGGAGAAGACAUGAUUCGGCAUCCGGCGAUCUUCAUCAACAUUCCCACGGUAGCAGGACGAGCAGACCAGAAGCACUCCCACCGCCCCCAACUCACAGUGGGGCAAACAGAGAAAGAGCAGUGCAUCUGGUCGACCAGAACCAGGACUAUGGGCGGUACACUCCCUUGAAGAUGCCCCUGGAUGAGGUGUACGAGGCCAUAAAGGGUCGAGGGCUGCUGCACCUCCCUACACCAAUAGCAAAGCUACCCAACAGGAGGGAUAGAGGACGUUAUUGUAAGUUCCAUGGCACCCAUGGCCAUACCACAGCAGAGUGUAGAGAUCUCAAGACCCAGGUCGAAGAUUUGGUGAGAAAUCGGUACCUGGACGAGUUUAUGGAUGGGACUUUCCCGAUGGUGGCCACCACGGAUGAAGGGGAGCAGAGUGAUGGAAUCUUGAGACGCGAGCCGCCCGCAGCGAGGGUGAUAGCUGGGGGCCCAACGUUGGCUGGAGAUUCGAACAGAUCGAGAAAAAAUUAUGCCAGAUACGCCAUGACCAGUAAAGAGAUACUCUUCAACACCCCAGCAGCCAAACGAGCAAGGGUCAGGCAAGUGCCAAUCAUGUGGACGGAUGAGGAUGAGGAAGGGAUUCUAUACCCCCACGAGGACGCUUUAGUCAUCAAGGCUACGAUCGCUAGCAAGAAGUUUGACCGGAUACUGGUUGAUACGGGGAGCUCGGUUGAUGUGCUAUUUAAAUCAACUUUGGAAGAGAUGGGAAUAGCCGACCGGAAGUUGGAAUACACCAACACCUCCUUGAAGGGGUUCGGAGGAGGGCAGCUGGUCCCUCUGGGCGUGGUCGAACUGCCUAUCACAAUCGGGAGCCCCCCGACAGAAAGAACAAUGAUACUGGACUUCGUCGUAGUGGACGAGGAAGGUCCUUACCAGAUGAUCCUAGGUCGGCCAUUUUUAAGGAUGAGCAAAGCGGUGCUGUCCAACCAUUAUCUGUCUCUGAAGUACCGGGUGAAUGGGGUAGUCGGAGUGGUACGAGGAGACCAGAGGAUCGCAAGAAGCUGCUACUCCUCGGCAGCAAGGGAGGCGAUGCAGAUAACAUCCCUCGAUACCCGAGCGGAAAACAAGACUGGCAGACAAGAACCCGUAGAGGAUCUGGAAACAGUAAGCAUGGGACCGGAGAACCCGGGAAAGACGAUCAGAAUCGGGUCGAGACUUGAGGGAGAGCAAAAGCAGGAGUUGGUGAAAUGCUUACAGGCUCAUGCCGACGUGUUUGCCUGGACACAUGAGGACAUGCCAGGGAUUGACCCAGAGGUAGCAUGUCAUAGGUUGGCAAUAAAGAAAGGUGCUCGGGCAGUAAGGCAGAAGAGGAGGUGCUUCAACCAGGAGAGGUAUGAGGCUGUAAAUGAUGAGGUGGAGAAGCUUCUGAGAGCAGGGUUCAUUCGGGAAGUCAAUUACCCAAAGUNNNNNNNNNNNNNNNNNNNNNNNNNNNNNNNNNNNNNNNNNNNNNNNNNNNNNNNNNNNNNNNNNNNNNNNNNNNNNNNNNNNNNNNNNNNNNNNNNNNNNNNNNNNNNNNNNNNNNNNNNNNNNNNNNNNNNNNNNNNNNNNNNNNNNNNNNNNNNNNNNNNNNNNNNNNNNNNNNNNNNNNNNNNNNNNNNNNNNNNNNNNNNNNNNNNNNNNNNNNNNNNNNNNNNNNNNNNNNNNNNNNNNNNNNNNNNNNNNNNNNNNNNNNNNNNNNNNNNNNNNNNNNNNNNNNNNNNNNNNNNNNNNNNNNNNNNNNNNNNNNNNNNNNNNNNNNNNNNNNNNNNNNNNNNNNNNNNNNNNNNNNNNNNNNNNNNNNNNNNNNNNNNNNNNNNNNNNNNNNNNNNNNNNNNNNNNNNNNNNNNNNNNNNNNNNNNNNNNNNNNNNNNNNNNNNNNNNNNNNNNNNNNNNNNNNNNNNNNNNNNNNNNNNNNNNNNNNNNNNNNNNNNNNNNNNNNNNNNNNNNNNNNNNNNNNNNNNNNNNNNNNNNNNNNNNNNNNNNNNNNNNNNNNNNNNNNNNNNNNNNNNNNNNNNNNNNNNNNNNNNNNNNNNNNNNNNNNNNNNNNNNNNNNNNNNNNNNNNNNNNNNNNNNNNNNNNNNNNNNNNNNNNNNNNNNNNNNNNNNNNNNNNNNNNNNNNNNNNNNNNNNNNNNNNNNNNNNNNNNNNNNNNNNNNNNNNNNNNNNNNNNNNNNNNNNNNNNNNNNNNNNNNNNNNNNNNNNNNNNNNNNNNNNNNNNNNNNNNNNNNNNNNNNNNNNNNNNNNNNNNNNNNNNNNNNNNNNNNNNNNNNNNNNNNNNNNNNNNNNNNNNNNNNNNNNNNNNNNNNNNNNNNNNNNNNNNNNNNNNNNNNNNNNNNNNNNNNNNNNNNNNNNNNNNNNNNNNNNNNNNNNNNNNNNNNNNNNNNNNNNNNNNNNNNNNNNNNNNNNNNNNNNNNNNNNNNNNNNNNNNNNNNNNNNNNNNNNNNNNNNNNNNNNNNNNNNNNNNNNNNNNNNNNNNNNNNNNNNNNNNNNNNNNNNNNNNNNNNNNNNNNNNNNNNNNNNNNNNNNNNNNNNNNNNNNNNNNNNNNNNNNNNNNNNNNNNNNNNNNNNNNNNNNNNNNNNNNNNNNNNNNNNNNNNNNNNNNNNNNNNNNNNNNNNNNNNNNNNNNNNNNNNNNNNNNNNNNNNNNNNNNNNNNNNNNNNNNNNNNNNNNNNNNNNNNNNNNNNNNNNNNNNNNNNNNNNNNNNNNNNNNNNNNNNNNNNNNNNNNNNNNNNNNNNNNNNNNNNNNNNNNNNNNNNNNNNNNNNNNNNNNNNNNNNNNNNNNNNNNNNNNNNNNNNNNNNNNNNNNNNNNNNNNNNNNNNNNNNNNNNNNNNNNNNNNNNNNNNNNNNNNNNNNNNNNNNNNNNNNNNNNNNNNNNNNNNNNNNNNNNNNNNNNNNNNNNNNNNNNNNNNNNNNNNNNNNNNNNNNNNNNNNNNNNNNNNNNNNNNNNNNNNNNNNNNNNNNNNNNNNNNNNNNNNNNNNNNNNNNNNNNNNNNNNNNNNNNNNNNNNNNNNNNNNNNNNNNNNNNNNNNNNNNNNNNNNNNNNNNNNNNNNNNNNNNNNNNNNNNNNNNNNNNNNNNNNNNNNNNNNNNNNNNNNNNNNNNNNNNNNNNNNNNNNNNNNNNNNNNNNNNNNNNNNNNNNNNNNNNNNNNNNNNNNNNNNNNNNNNNNNNNNNNNNNNNNNNNNNNNNNNNNNNNNNNNNNNNNNNNNNNNNNNNNNNNNNNNNNNNNNNNNNNNNNNNNNNNNNNNNNNNNNNNNNNNNNNNNNNNNNNNNNNNNNNNNNNNNNNNNNNNNNNNNNNNNNNNNNNNNNNNNNNNNNNNNNNNNNNNNNNNNNNNNNNNNNNNNNNNNNNNNNNNNNNNNNNNNNNNNNNNNNNNNNNNNNNNNNNNNNNNNNNNNNNNNNNNNNNNNNNNNNNNNNNNNNNNNNNNNNNNNNNNNNNNNNNNNNNNNNNNNNNNNNNNNNNNNNNNNNNNNNNNNNNNNNNNNNNNNNNNNNNNNNNNNNNNNNNNNNNNNNNNNNNNNNNNNNNNNNNNNNNNNNNNNNNNNNNNNNNNNNNNNNNNNNNNNNNNNNNNNNNNNNNNNNNNNNNNNNNNNNNNNNNNNNNNNNNNNNNNNNNNNNNNNNNNNNNNNNNNNNNNNNNNNNNNNNNNNNNNNNNNNNNNNNNNNNNNNNNNNNNNNNNNNNNNNNNNNNNNNNNNNNNNNNNNNNNNNNNNNNNNNNNNNNNNNNNNNNNNNNNNNNNNNNNNNNNNNNNNNNNNNNNNNNNNNNNNNNNNNNNNNNNNNNNNNNNNNNNNNNNNNNNNNNNNNNNNNNNNNNNNNNNNNNNNNNNNNNNNNNNNNNNNNNNNNNNNNNNNNNNNNNNNNNNNNNNNNNNNNNNNNNNNNNNNNNNNNNNNNNNNNNNNNNNNNNNNNNNNNNNNNNNNNNNNNNNNNNNNNNNNNNNNNNNNNNNNNNNNNNNNNNNNNNNNNNNNNNNNNNNNNNNNNNNNNNNNNNNNNNNNNNNNNNNNNNNNNNNNNNNNNNNNNNNNNNNNNNNNNNNNNNNNNNNNNNNNNNNNNNNNNNNNNNNNNNNNNNNNNNNNNNNNNNNNNNNNNNNNNNNNNNNNNNNNNNNNNNNNNNNNNNNNNNNNNNNNNNNNNNNNNNNNNNNNNNNNNNNNNNNNNNNNNNNNNNNNNNNNNNNNNNNNNNNNNNNNNNNNNNNNNNNNNNNNNNNNNNNNNNNNNNNNNNNNNNNNNNNNNNNNNNNNNNNNNNNNNNNNNNNNNNNNNNNNNNNNNNNNNNNNNNNNNNNNNNNNNNNNNNNNNNNNNNNNNNNNNNNNNNNNNNNNNNNNNNNNNNNNNNNNNNNNNNNNNNNNNNNNNNNNNNNNNNNNNNNNNNNNNNNNNNNNNNNNNNNNNNNNNNNNNNNNNNNNNNNNNNNNNNNNNNNNNNNNNNNNNNNNNNNNNNNNNNNNNNNNNNNNNNNNNNNNNNNNNNNNNNNNNNNNNNNNNNNNNNNNNNNNNNNNNNNNNNNNNNNNNNNNNNNNNNNNNNNNNNNNNNNNNNNNNNNNNNNNNNNNNNNNNNNNNNNNNNNNNNNNNNNNNNNNNNNNNNNNNNNNNNNNNNNNNNNNNNNNNNNNNNNNNNNNNNNNNNNNNNNNNNNNNNNNNNNNNNNNNNNNNNNNNNNNNNNNNNNNNNNNNNNNNNNNNNNNNNNNNNNNNNNNNNNNNNNNNNNNNNNNNNNNNNNNNNNNNNNNNNNNNNNNNNNNNNNNNNNNNNNNNNNNNNNNNNNNNNNNAGUGUGAAUUAAAUCCCUGAUUACCAAACGGCACUUUUAUUAGAGAAGCUCACCUCCAUGGCCUCCCCUUGGCCAUUCGCUCAAUGGGGAAUUGAUCUGAUCGGCCCAUUGCCAAAGGGACGAGGAGCAGCAACACAUGCAAUAGUCGCUAUAGAUUACUUCACGAAGUGGAUAGAGGUAGAAGCCCUUAGCAGGAUCACAGAGAAGAAAACAACAGACUUCGUGUGGAGAAACCUGGUCUGUCGAUACGGGAUCCCAUAUGCCUUGGUAACGGAUAAUGGCAGGCAGUUCGAUAAUCACAGCUUCAGGGAUUUCUGCCAGAACCUCGGGAUAGAGCUGAAGUAUUGCUCGCCUGCUCACCCCCAAUCGAAUGGACAAGUAGAAGCAGCCAACAAGACAGUCAAGAGGCUUCUGAAAACCAGGCUCGGAGCAAAAAAGGGUGCGUGGGUUGACGAGCUGUCAGGUGUGCUAUGGGCAUACAGAACAACCCACAAAACCGCAACGGGGGAGACACCGUUCGCUUUGGCUUUCGGACAUGAAGCGGUCGUGCCGGCUGAGGUAGGAACGACCACACACCGGACAGAUCAUUUCAAUGAGCAGGAGAACGACGAGCAGAUAUGUUUGAAUCUUGAUCUGCUAAUGGAGAGGAGGGAACAAGCAGCCGAGCGAUCAGUCACUUACCAACAGAGGGUUGCUCGGUAUUAUAACCAGAAGGUGAACAUACGGCAAUUCAGGGUCGGAGACUGGGUACUGAGAAGAGUGAAUCAGAGCACCAAAGAUUCGACUCAAGGAGUGCUGGGACCGAAUUGGGAAGGGCCGUAUAGAGUCAAGCAGAUAGCGGAGCCCGGAGCUUACAAGCUGGUUCGCGCGGACGGCCACGAAGUGAAACGCCCAUGGAACGCAGCACACCUCCGAAAAUACUUCCAGUAAGACUUGCUCACAUUUUAAAGCAAUUUCUGCUCAUGCUGUCUAUCUUUUAUUUUUAUGUUUUAUGUCCGAACAAUUUCAUGUAAGUCAAAUCCUGCCAUUAAUGUAACGUCGACGAAUUUUAUUCGCUUGAAACCGAAAAAAAAUCCUAAGGCAUGCAAAGGCUCGCCAAGUCUCAGAGCCUGUCUUAUGGCGAGACAGAAGCCAAGCAUGCCAGGAUCUGCUCGGCCACGAGAAGGCAGCAGAAUCCAAAUCGUUUGAAGAAAAUCCUAAGGCAUGCAAAGGCUCGCCAAGUCUCAGAGCCUGUCUUAUGGCGAGACAGAAGCCAAGCAUGCCAGGAUCUGCUCGGCCACGAGAAGGCAGCAGAAUCCAAAUCGUUUGAAGAAAAUCCUAAGGCAUGCAAAGGCUCGCCAAGUCUCAGAGCCUGUCUUAUGGCGAGACAGAAGCCAAGCAUGCCAGGAUCUGCUCGGCCACGAGAAGGCAGCAGAAUCCAAAUCGUUUGAAGAAAAUCCUAAGGCAUGCAAAGGCUCGCCAAGUCUCAGAGCCUGUCUUAUGGCGAGACAGAAGCCAAGCAUGCCAGGAUCUGCUCGGCCACGAGAAGGCAGCAGAAUCCAAAUCGUUUGAAGAAGAUUCCCAAGGCAUGCGAAGGCUCGCCAAGUCUCAGAGCCUGUCUUAUGGCGAGACAGAAGCCAAGCAUGCCAGGAUCUGCUCGGCCACGAGAAGGCAGCAGAAUCCAAAUCGUUUGAAGAAAAUCCUGAGGCAUGCAAAGGCUCGCCAAGUCUCAGAGCCUAUCUUAUGGCGAGACAGAAGCCAAGCACGCCAUGAUCUGCUCGGCCACGAGAAGGCAGCAGAAUCCAAAUCGUUUGAAGAAAACCCUAAGGCAUGCAAAGGCUCGCCAAGUCUCAGAGCCUGUCUUAUGGCGAGACAGAAGCCAAGCAUGCCAGGAUCUGCUCGGCCACGAGAAGGCAGCAGAAUCCAAAUAGUUUGAAGAAAAUCCUGAGGCAUGCAAAGGCUCGCCAAGUCUCAAAGCCUGUCUUAUGGCGAGACAGAAGCCAAGCAUGCCAGGAUCUGCUCGGCCACGAGAAGGCAGCAGAAUCCAAAUCGUUUGAAGAAGAUUCCCAAGGCAUGCGAAGGCUCGACAAAGUCUCAAAGUCUGUCUUAGGGCCAGACAAAAGCCCAGCAUGCCAGGAUCUGCUCGUUCGCGAGAAGGCGAGCAGACUCCGAAGCAUUCGGAAAGUUUUCUACGGCACGCAAAGGCCUCACCAAGUCUCAAAGCCUGUCUUACGGCGAGACAGAAUCGAUCAGCGUUUCAGACGAAAAUUAAUUCAUGAGUACGACACGAGAUAGUAAUCAACAACAUUUUUAUUAAUGGCUAACAGAGGGGAUAAAUUUCAUAAACGUUGUUCAUUACAAUACAAGAAGAAAUAUAUCAAAAAGAUGGUGGAUCAGUGAGCCGAGCAGCAUCGGUUGGCUGGACCUCCUCGGGUGCGGGAGGGGUAUCACCAGUUGCGUCCGGGGGGGUGCUCGCCUCGCCAACAUCAGCAGGGACUGCACGAGGAGGAGAGUUACCCUCCUCAAUCACGAUCGGCUCUAACCCCUCGGCAUCUUCCUUGGCCGCCUCCUCGUCCAUAUGUUGAGCAACACCAGCUGCAAGGUCAUCCAUCUUCAGAUCAGGGUGUUGCUUCCCGAGGACGGCCAUGAUACAACGAUACGAAUGCCGAAGUCCCUGGUCGUACUGGUUGUCGGCCUCCCUCUCCAAGUUCUCUACAUGAGCUCGGUGGGAAUCGCGGAGAGAUUCGAGCUGAGCCUCAUACAUAGCCCUCUGCCCUUGGAGAUCCUCCUUAACCUUGGUCAGCUCCUCCUCGAGGGUAAUGGCUUUUGCUUGAGCAAGGGACUCUUGCUCUAUCAGCUUGAGGUUCUCAACGUUUAGCUCCCCCGCCUUUUUCUCGGCAACGUCAGCUCUGGUCGUCGCCGAUUGAAUGUCCUCCUUCAUCUUCCUGUCGUAACGGCCAACCUUGGCCUUAUAGUAGGUGGCCAUGCAGCUGAGAUGGAAAGCACUGUACUGCAUGGCUCCCACCAGCUCGCCCAGGGUACAACCGUCAAAGCCCUCCAGGUCCUUCUUGUUCACGAGUUUAGACAACUCAUUGAGAUAGGGAACCAAGUGUUCUGGUCGGCUGUCGGGUAAGCGAGACCGAGGCACAACAGGUGGAGAAGAGGAAGCAGGAUCAGUGGCUGCUCUACUGGAUUCCCCGACUUUGGCAGAGGCAGGAGGGAGAGCCUGCAAGGGAGGAACCUGCUGCACGAUGUUCUUUCGCUUCGCAGCGGGAGCAUCUUUGUCCUGGUCCCUAUCGGUUGUUGGAGGCCGAGAGCGUUUCCUGGUCAGAGCUCCAAUCACUGCGUCCUCCAUCUUAUGGCCAGGAAGUAUCAACCGAGACUCGAGGAAGUUGUAUGUAGAUAGCAGUUCUCGGCUCGAGCAGGAAUUGGCCAAUACAGCCUCGACCCGUUUAAGCAGACCAGGUCGGAGCGGGAAGUGAACACCCCAGGAAACUACAGCACAAACAGACACUUGGUUAGAGACAAACCAAUACAGCAGGAACAAUUAUGGAUACAAGACAUCUAAAGCGAGCAGGCAACCUGGGACCGUGAAACGGGGUGGGACGCGACAAUCCUUCCCGUCUAUUUGUGCAACUUGACCCCAGGGACCCCCAGCAAAAAAGAAUUUCCUCUUCCAAGUCCCACCACCACCAGUUGGAAGAUCAGUUAUGGGUUUCCUGCUCUUGGUACCAGAUUGGAAGUAGUACCAGCCGGCAUCUUUAGGGCUGCUCUUCAGCUGGUACAGGUGCUUCACCUCAUCAACCGUGGGCUCGCUUUGGCAACAUCUAUCCCACAAUAUGAACAGACCAGAGAGCACUCUCCACCCGUUGGGGUUCAGCUGACCAGGAGCCAGAUUUAGCCCGUUAAGUAUCCGGGCAAAGUAAGGCUGCAAGGGACACCUCAGCCCAUACUUAAAGCUCUCCAGAUACAGGGUAACGUAUCCCCUGGGAGGCCGGCUAGGUGUAUCCUUCUUUCCUGGGAUCCUAAGAGGUAUCUCACCAGGAAUACUAUACCUAAGUCGGAGGUCAUUGAGCUCGUCGAACGUGGUCGUACACGACAUGUAAUCAAUGGCAUAAUCACGCGACAAGGCUCUACCCCCUACUGUACCCCGUUCUUUUGGUCGUGAUGCUCCUGAUGGGGACGCCUCACUAGAAUCAUCCCCUUGACCCUCACUCAAGGUGUUCUCCGAUCCAGAAGAUCCUUCUUCAUCGCUACUGUCGCUUGAGGAGGUUGUUUGGGGAGACAUCCUCCUAGCGCUAGUACCAACACUAGACCUAAUGGGCUCUAAGGGGAUCCCGGGAUCAAAAGCAAAAUCAGCGGGCAGACUAGGCAAAAAACCUAGUUCGUCGUCACCAACCUCAACGACCUUCUCCUUACCCUUCGACAUAUCCUAAGUUCUAACCAAAACACCACCGCCAACUACAACCUCAAGCAAAGCAGAGAGAAAGGAAAUUACCUACAACUAACCAAUACCGAAAAAAUAUAGAAGAAAUACCUGAAGCAGGGACUCGGUCAGAGAGAGACAGGGAUGACAGCUUUGGCGCCGAGGUUCAUUCGCCGGAGAGACAAGAAUGGAGAAAAUGACGAGUUCGUGUUUGAAGAUUUUGGGUUUCCUUACUGAGAAGCAAACUCUUGGGCUGCCAGCAUUUAAUGACGCAUAUUCCGAGAAUCCCGUAACCGUCGGUUUGAAAUUCAAAUGGAGGGGGGGAUUUCUGCCACGUCACCUCGUCCGCAAUUAAAUGCGACAUGACUCCUGGCAGCCUUUUCCAAACCCACGCGAGCGAGUACUAUCGAGUUUCUACUGCUGGUCCACUACAUUACCCAACACCAGAAACUGGGGGACCGGUGUUUGGGAGGGAUACUGUUUGGGACAAAUGCGUCGAAGGGACCAGGAACGACGAGCAGACAUCUGAUGGCGGAGUUCUGCGAACCGGUGUUUUCCGUUAAAGCCUGGCGCGUGGAAGAACAGGAGCAGAAACAUCCUGCUCGUCCACGAUGUUGUCGUCCGCGAGGCCAAUUCCUAUAAAAGGCACGAGGCCAUUCCGGCUAGAGAUCGAGAGGCGAGGAGACCCGGUCGACGGCAGUUGGCAAGACGUGCUCUCCAGCACGAGAAUCUAGGCACAACAGCCACGCUUUCCCCAGAACCGCGACGUAACACGCAAGAUCUCACGGAGCCAGGACAGCCACACUUUCCCCAGAACCGUGGCGUAACACGCAAGGUCUCACAGAGCCGUGGCAGCCACGCUUCCCCUGAACCGUGGCGUAACACGCUAGAUCCCAUGUUUUGCCCAUAACGCAGCAGUUGGAGUCCCAUACCGUCUCGAAAAGAGCGGAAGACUGAGAUUCAGAGGAAGCCUAUAAAAAGGUAGCCAACGAAGGUAAAAGGGUUGGCAUUCUUGAGAAAAGGGGAGAAAACCACAAGAAACGCCAUAAGACCUGUGGCAAGCUUUUCCCGAACCUUCAUAUCUGACUUGAGCGUCGGAGGGUUUGCGCCGGGAAAACAACCGGCGUACUCUGACUUAUCUGUGUACGCAGGGACCUCCGGAGAAGAAGCCUGGCGAGGAGACCUCCUGGUAGUGACGAAGUUGAUCGAGCAGAGAUCCUGAUCGUAGAACGAGGAGAACCGGAAUCUCGCAUCAACAAUUAUAUUAUGAUUAGGAUUUAAAGAUGGGAUAGUUCAUAAUUUGCGGGUGUAAAACUUUUAAUUUAAUUAAUUUAAUAAUUAUCGUUUAAUGUAAUUUCCACUAAUAAUAGAAUUAUAAUAAAAAUAAAUGGAGUUUAAUAAUAGGCUUCAUGCAUGUGCUCCUCACAACCCUUAGAUCAAGAUCCAAUGGCUGGUCAAACUUCAAAAGUCAACAUCACACAUGGCAUCAUUUGACUCGUCCGAUUUACCCAAAGAACGGUUGAGAUUUGGCGGGUUAAUGGGUGGAUCGGGUCGACCCGAAUACAAAGAUUCGGAUCCUCCAACUUGCUUCACCAACCAUUGCCACGUGGCACAAUCAUGGCCAUUGAAUCAUGAACGGUUGAGAUUUAGUCAAGAUUGCCAGUUAUCCCAUGCACUCAUAUCUAUUGUAAGCUCAUUUCAUCAUCCAAUCAGUGCUCGGUCAACAGGAAAAGUCAACUUUUUUUACACAAGCCCAAUUUUAAGCCGAUCUUGACUGAUCUUAAGGUUUUCGGACCUCCGGAAUCCAAAUUUGACCUCCGUUUAUCUGUUUGGAGCCUCGAAGUACGUGAAAUUAAUAAUUUUCCUAAUAAACACAUAAAAAUACACAAAAUUAAAUAUAUUUAAAACAUAAUUAAUAAUUCAUAAUAUAUUACAUAAACACAAAUAUAAAUUAUAACAUAAGCAUAAAAUAACAUAUUAUCGCUUGAUAAUUAAACAAUUUUUAAUACUAAUCACACCCCCCAACCAGCUUAUUGCUAGCCCUCUAGCAAUUAAAGCGUUAUAUUAAGAUUUAUAAAAUUCACAUGCAAGUUAAUAGUUGUUCAUCUAUCCUCUAAAUUACCAAAUAAAUGAACUCUCCCAAAUUCCUUUACCACAUUGAUGUUCACUCAUUAUCCAGAAUAUCAUCAAACCUUCUUUUGUGCUCAAGUAAUUAACACAAUACUUAUGGGGCUUCAUUAAAAGAAAAACAACAUUUUCGUUCUAAAAUUCAUUAGAAAUUAUAUCUUUAGGCAAUAGAUUAUUCACACAUUUUUUUUUUAUAUUACAUUUCUAACCCGUGUAGCGAGCUUUAGGUCAAUGACUCCCAGACCAGUUGGCCUUAGGGCACUAGGUGUUGAAGCACCCCUACGGACUUAAUUACUCGGGUUUCUAAUAAACAAACAAUAUAUCUAUUACCCAUGUAGCGAGCUUUAUGCCAGUGACUCCCAGACCAGUUGACCUUAGGGCACUAGGUGUUGAAACACCCCUACGGACUUAAUUACUCGGGUUUCUAGAUAUAACAAAAUUAAAAACAUUUUUUCUUCUUCUUUUUUUUUGAUUUUUUUUUUUUUUUGGUUUUUUUGUUUUUGGAAAUAUACACUUUCUACUACCUUAGAUACUAUUCCUAAUAAAUCAAAAGAACUAAAUGCUGUAAAACUUUAACUUACAACCCACUAGUAUGUGUCAUAGUGUGUGUGUGAAGAAUGAUUCAAUAAUACCUGUUAAAUGAGUAAACAAUUAAAUAACUUAAUAACCAAGUGGAGAGUUCACAAAUUUGAGUAAUUCAAAGAAAAGGGAACAAAAACAACUUACUAUGAAUCUCAAAAUCAAAAUAUAAUACAACAAGACUAUUAGGAUGCGUCUCAAAAGUCGUGACUCUUUACACGGCCAUCCUAGACAAAAAGCAAAAUUUUUUUUUUUUGGUUUUUUUUUUUUUUUUAACAAAGAAAAGAAAAGAGAAAAGAGAAAAACAACACACAUAUUUAAAACAUACGUCAAUUAUCCCCACCCCACAACCUAAUCUAAACAUUAUCUUAACAUUUUAUAAUUUUACAGAUAUGCAAAAAAAAUAAAAAUAAAAGAGAAUAAUAAAAGAAGAAGAAGAAGAGAUCUCACCUGAACUUGAUGCAGAAGCUUAAAAGCAAAUAACAAAGAUGAAGAAAGAGUCAAUUUUUUUUUUAACAACACCCUUAAGAUUAAGAAGAUGCGUUUCUAGAGAGACUACAUUCUCUAUAUCCUGCCAUCUUCAACUCAAAUUUGUCCUAAGUUAGUCUUUACAGAAAAAAAAAUUUUUUUUUUGUUUUUUGUUUUUUUUUUUUUUUUGUAAACACAUAACCAGGACUAAGACAUUCCACAAUUAUCAACUAUUCCCUCCCCCCAACCUGAAAAAGACAUUGUCCUCAAUGUUUUAAAAAGAAAGAGAAAGAGUGUAGAAGACAUCACAUGAACACUACAACAGAAAAUAUUUACAAACGGAGAGUUAAAUCUAAAUCGCACUUCUUAUUACUGUUACUGUUACCGUUACCGUCAUUAGUCGACCAAUUCAGUGCAACAGUCUGUGGAUCUGGCUCUGGUGUAUAAGCUUGCAAAAGAUCAAGUAACUCAUUAGCAGUAGAAGCAGAGAUAAAGAGUUUUUUUACAGAAUGUGGAACAAAAUGAUUCUUUAUUGCAUGGUUAAUAAAAGUUAGCAAGCCGUCAUAAAAAUUAUUAACAUUUAACAAACCGAUGGGUUUUUGAUGAAUGUUCAAGUGGGCCCAAGAUGCAAAUGUAAUUAGUGCCUCAAAAGUUGCAAGAUCUCCUGGCAAGAAAAUAAAAGCAUCAGCAUGAUUCAUCAUUUCAGAUAUUCUCUCUUGCAUACUUGAUACCACUAAUUCUUCUCCAAUUGGUGGGCCAGACAUGCACACUAGCGGUUUCAUGGGUUUUGGGAUAAUGCCGAGUACUUGGCUUCCUCUGGUAAAAACAGCUUCUGAGACAAGUCUUGAUAACCCUCGUUCACCUCCUCCAUAUACAAGAUGCAGUUUCCUCUCUGCUAUGACACGACCAAGAUCUACAGCUGCCUGAACGAACUCUUUGUACUUUCCAUAGUGAAACCCAGAAAGCACACAAAUAUUUUUGAAUUGUUUACUCGAAGAUGAUGCCAUUGGACUAAUUUUUCAAAAACAAGUUGUGAGUGUUUGAAAAAUGAGCUCAUAUUUAAAGAUCUUGGUAACAUAAAUAAUGAGAAACAGCUGUAAAUGGGUUGGCAAUAUUUGUCAAAUAACGAGUAAAGCUCGUGGCUCAAUAAUUCAAAAACAAACAGUAAAAAGAAAGUAAUGAUUAGAAAAAGCAAACAGUAAAAGAAAACCAAAUAUUUAUUAAAUACAAAAUCACAUCGCUAAAUGCAAUAAUGCAAAUGAUAAAAUAACAGUAAAGUAAAAUAACAGUGAAGUGAAAGGAUAUUUACUGGUAGUUGUGAUUGUGGCUCACAUCUUCCUCUGGUUUUACGUCCAGUAACGGCUUGAACGCCCUCUAUGGGUCGAGGAUCGGCUUCCCAUCCAGUUUUCUUAUAAACUGGCAAACAGGGUCUUUUUGAGUCAGAUUCCCAAGACUUAACUGUGCACUUUGUUUUUGGAAUAGUAUCCACAAAUUGUAAAUCUCACGUUGCACAAUUCCGCUUCGAUGCGUCUCAAGAGAUCGUAAGAUAUCAUCCAACGAUUCUUUACUCAUGCCAUCUUUAACGAAUUUAAUUUUAUCUUCACGAGUAUCAGAAACCAUUCCUAAAGAUUUACAAUCUGGUCGUUUGCAACCAAGUCUCACACAGUUAUGACAUUUUGAGCCAAGUCGUUUAGCUCUCCUUUUCUUAACAAACGUACUUUUACCAAAACCAGGCAUGUAAGAAACAAAUUGACCAGAAAACUCACCUGCUAAUCGGACCUUUGCUUCAAUUAACCAACGAAUGUCAGAAGGAAUGCCAUUGAUCAUUAACAAACGCAGUCGUUCACAACGAGCUUUGUAAAUUUUCCUGAGGGCAUUCUGAGGGAGAGAGGGAAAAUGCUUAUGGAGUUUAUGUUGUAUUUCUUCCAUGUAUGAUUUUGGGGUUUCAGUUAUUGUGGGAAACUGAAGAUACCGACUUAAGAAGUCACGGAGUACCGUUAUCCGCCAUUUAUACGGGAAAAUAAAUCAAAACACACCAAAAUCAAAUCUGCAAAAUCAAAUCAAGCGUGAAAGCGAGCAAAAAGAAGCACACAAUAUAAAAGGAAAAUGAACUUACAUUCGUCCUCUCAUUGAGUUAACCUCAAGCUCCAUUUGAAAUUCAUAUAUGCCACUCUCUACUGUUCUGAGUUGUCCCUCUAGAUCCUCAACAUAGGACACGAAUUCUGGUGGUUGCAGAUCCCAAAGUGGAUGUGAUUUACAGCUUUGUAUCAGGCCUCUUAAGUGAAAUUUUAUACGCCGAAAUCUUUUAAGAUGUGCGAACAGGUAUUUUCUCAUUGAGGUGCUCAUGAUGUAAAAUGAAAAUUAAUGAGAGAAUGUACAACUGUCAAACAAACACGCUUACACAAGAAAAACAAUGUUAAAAAAAAAACUAUGUACAGUGCAUCAAUCUAAGGAAAAAAAAAAAAAAAAAAGUCAAACAAUGAAACGGUAAAAUAAAAAAAAAUCAUUAAAAACUUAAUCAAGAAUUGGUGGGUCAUCCAAAUUAAUUUCGGUGUCCUCGUCACGUGGGUGAUGUUCCAGAUAUGGUUUUAAUCUUUGACCAUUAACUUUAAAUGUGACACCAUUAUUUGGAUUCUCAAUUUCUAUGGCCCCAUAUGAAUAUACAUUUUUUACAACAAAUGGGCCACUCCAUUUUGACUUUAACUUUCCUGGAAAUAAAUGAAGACGAGAAUUAUAAAGCAACACUUUUUGACCAAUCUCAAAUGUUUUUCGAAAAAUUCUUUUAUCAUGAAAUGCUUUUGUUCUUGCCUUAAUAAUUCUUGAAUUUUCAUAUGCAUCAUUCCUUAAUUCCUCAAGUUCAUUCAAUUGCAAUUUUCGCACAUUACCAACAUCAACCAAAUUUGAAUUAAAAGCUUUAAUAGCCCAAAGUGAUUUAUGUUCAAGUUCAACAGGUAAAUGACAAGGUUUACCAUAAAUUAACCGAUAGGGUGACAUUCCUAAUGAUGUUUUAAAUGUAGUGCGGUAAGCCCAAAGUGCAUCAUUAAGUCUAAGAGACCAAUCUUUUCGGUUUGGGUUAACCGUUUUUUCCAAAAUUUGUUUUAUCUCCCUAUUUGCUAAUUCAACUUGACCAUUUGUUUGAGGAUGAUAAGGGGUAGCAAUUUUAUGUGUAAUUCCAUAUUUCUUCAUUAAAGACUCAAAUGACUUAUUACAAAAAUGCUUACCUCCAUCACUGAUAAUGGCUCGAGGGAUUCCAAAUCGACUUAAAAUGUUUUCUCUUAAAAAUUUAAUCACAGUUUUACUGUCAUUAUUUCGACAAGAAAUUGCUUCAAUCCAUUUUGAGACAUAAUCAACUGCAACUAAUAUAUACACAAAUCCAAAAGAUGAUGGAAAUGGACCCAUGAAAUCAAUUCCCCAACAGUCAAAUAUUUCAAUUUCAAGUAUGGGAUUUAAGGGCAUCAUGUUUCUUUUUGUAAUUGAUCCCAAUUUUUGACAUUUUUCACAACUUUUGCAAAAUUCAUAUGUGUCUUUAAACAUGGUAGGCCAAUAAAAUCCACACUGCAAAAUUUUAGCAGUAGUUUUUCUUGAAGAAAAGUGACCACCACAUGCUUCAGAAUGACAAAAAUUAAUGACACUACUUACCUCAUUAUCAGGAAUACAUCGCCGAAAAAUUUGAUCUGGGCAAUAUUUGAACAAAUAAGGAUCAUCCCAAUAAAAUUUCUUUACUUCAACAAAAAAUUUCUUCUUCUCUUGAGCAUUCCAUUGCAAAGGCAUUUUACCUGUAACAAGAAAAUUAACAAUAUUAGCAUACCAUGGCAUUGAAGUAACAGAAAAUAAAAAUUCAUCAGGGAAAGAAUCAUUUAUGGGUGUUAUAUCAUUGCAGAAUUCGGAUGUGAGUCUUGAUAGAUGAUCAGCAACAACAUUUUCAGCACCCUUUUUAUCUUUGAUGGUAAGGUCAAAUUCUUGUAGUAACAAAAUCCAACGAAUUAGUCUCGGUUUGGCAUCCUGUUUACUCAUCAAAUAUCUCACAGCAGCAUGGUCAGUAAACACAACAGAUUUAGAGCCAAGCAAAUAUGAACGGAAUUUGUUUAAUGCAAAUACCACAGCAAGUAAUUCUUUUUCAGUUGUAGAAUAAUUCAUUUGAGCACUAUCCAAAGUCUUGCUCGCAUAAUAAAUCACAAAAGGCUUACCAUCCCUUCUUUGUCCUAAAACAGCACCAACAGCAAAAUCACUUGCAUCACACAUUAAUUCAAAUGGCAAAGACCAAUCAGGAGAUUGCAUAAUAGGUGCAGAUGUUAAAAGACAAAUUAUUUUUUCAAAAGAUUUUUGGCAAUCAUCAUUCCAUUCAAACGGUGCAUCUUUUAAUAAGAGGUUACAAAGUGGUUUAGAUAUGGCACUAAAGUUUUUUAUAAACCUCCUAUAAAAUCCUGCAUGUCCUAAAAAGGAUCGCACAUCUCUAACUGUUUUUGGUUGUGGCAAUUUAGAUAUGACUUCGAUUUUUGCUUUGUCAACUUCAAUUCCUUUAAUAGAAACAACAUGACCCAAAACAAUUCCAGAAGUAACCAUGUAGUGACAUUUUUCCCAAUUCAACACGAGUUCUUUUUCAACACAUCUUUUUAAAACUUUCUCCAAAUUAUCAAGGCAAUCAUCAAAAGAAUUCCCAAACACAGUCAAAUCAUCCAUAAAGACCUCUAAACAAUGUUCAACCAUAUCACAAAAAAUGCUUAACAUACAUCUUUGAAAUGUUGCAGAAGCAUUACAAAGCCCGAAUGGCAUUCUUUUAAAUGCAAAUGUUCCAAAAGGACAUGUGAAUGUGGUCUUUUCUUGGUCCUCAAGUGCUAUAGGAAUUUGAUAAUAACCUGAAUAUCCAUCUAAAAAACAAUAGUAGGGAUGUCCUGCUACUCUUUCUAAGAUUUGGUCAAGGAAUGGUAAUGGAAAAUGAUCUUUUCUAGUGGCUUCAUUUAAUUUUCUAUAAUCAAUGCACAUGCGCCAACUAGAUGUAAUUCGUGUUGGAAUUAAUUCACCUUUUUCAUUUUUAACAACAGUGAUUCCAGAUUUUUUAGGCACUACUUGUGUAGGACUUACCCACUUACUAUCAGAAAUAGGGUAGAUAAUUCCCACAUCAAGUAAUUUAAGGACUUCUGUUUUGACUACCUCUUUCAUGUGUGGGUUUAAUCUUCUUUGAGGUUGUUGACAUAUUUUAGCAUUUUCUUCCAAAUUAAUUCUAUGUGUGCAGAUUAAGGGAUUAAUGCCUUUAAUGUCAUUUAAAGUCCAUCCUAUUGCAUUUUCAUGCUUUUUAAGAACAGUUAGUAACUUACCUUCUUGGUCGCUUGUUAAAGUAGAAGAAAUCACAACAGGAUAAGUUUGUUCUUCUUCAAGAAAAGCAUAUUUCAAUCCUUCAGGCAAAGGUUUCAAUUCCAUUUUAGGUGCUUCUUGUUGUUCUGUCUUUUCAAUACUUCCAAGCUCCUCAAAUUUUGGCUCGUCAUCAUAAUUUUGCGAAGUCUGCAUAGAAUCAAGCAACGAAUUUAUAUUAGAAAUAUCAAGUUUAAGUUGCUUAUUUGACUCAAUUGAAUUAACUAAACAAACAUUAGAAAGUUCAGAAAAAUCCCCUUUUUGAAUAUUUUCCUCGAUACAGGAUUCAAACAAUUCCUUUUGUUCAUCAGUAUCAUCUUCAUUCUCAUUUUCUUCAUUAGGUUGCCUGCACAUGUUGAAAACAUUCAAUUCCAAAGUCAUAUUCCCAAAGGAUAAAUUCAUUAAACCAUUCCUACAAUUAAUCAAAGCAUUAGCAGUUGCUAAAAAUGGUCGACCUAAAAUUACAGGAAUUGGUUUGUAAUUAUUCACAACAGGUUCAGUUUCCAAGACAAUAAAAUCCACAGGAUAAAUAAAUUUAUCAACUUGUACUAAAACAUCUUCCACUAUUCCUUUUGGUACUUUAACUGAUCUAUCGGCAAGCAAAAGUGUAGUUGAAGUUGAUUUUAACUCACCAAGAUUAAGUUGAAGAUAAACUGAAUAUGGAAGCAAAUUAACACUAGCACCAAGAUCUAGUAAAGCAUGCUCAAUUUUGUGGUUACCAAUAAUACAAGAAAUGGUAGGACAACCAGGAUCUUUAUAUUUCAACUUAUUAUUAGUAGACAGAAUUGUACUUACCUGUUCGGCUAUGAAAGCACUCUUUCUUACCUUCAAUUUCCUCUUAACAGUGCACAAGUCCUUUAAAAAUUUGGCAUAUGAAGGAACCUGCUUGAUUGCAUCUAAUAGAGGAAUGUUAACUUUCACUUGCUUAAAGAUUUCAUAAAUUUCAGAAGAGUGGUUUGAUUUCUUUGGUUUAUUCAAUGCAUGCGGAAAUGGUGGUUCAGGUGGAACACUAGUUAUUUCUUCACUAGGUGUAAGUUCAUUUAGUCCUUCCUUACCCUUUGAAUUUUCAUCAUUUUCAUAAGGUUCAGGCAUAGGUCUAUCAACAACCUUACCACUACGAAGAGUUAUAACUGACUUGACUUGGUCUGUGGGUGGAUUUUGUUGAAUUUUAGGAUUUGGUUGUGGUUGGGCUGGAAAUUUUCCUUUUUCUUGAAUGGUGAGUGCAGAAGCAAUUUUAGCAAGAGUAUCUUUCAAAUCAGAAAAAGUUUGUGCAUUUUGAUUGUUAAUAACAUCUUGCUUUCUGAUGAAUGAAUGCAUUGUGUCCUCCAGAUUUUUCCAAGGUGGUGGAACAUAUGGUGCAUAAGGCUGAGGAUUUUGAAAAUUUUGUGGAGGUGGUGCUUGUGAAGAUUGUGCAUUAUUAUUAUUCCUCCAACUGAAAUUCGGAUGAUUUUUCCAACCAGGAUUAUAAGUCUGUGAAUAUGGGUUUGGUUUAUUGAAAGUGUUAAUAACAUUAACUUGAUCAUUUAGACAUUCUUUAAGUGCAGGCAAAGUGGGACACUCUUGAGUGAAAUGAUCAUUCGAAUUACAUAUGUUACAUGCAAUUUCUUGAACAGAUUUUACUUGAUCACUCUUUUUAUGCUCCAAAGCUUCAACUUUCCUAACUAGGGAUGCAAAUUUUGCUUGUAAAUCAUGAUCUUCCCUAAGGUUAUGGAUUCCUCCACUAGAUGGAGAUGAUUGUUGCUUAUUUGUCAAUUCAAAAGUUCCAACAGUAUCCCAAUGUUGUGCAUUUUCAGCUAAUUGGUCAAGGUAAUCUAGUGCAUCUUCAGGAUUUUUAUCCCUAAAUUCACCAUUACACAUCAUUUCAACAACCUGUCUACUUUGGGGUAUUAAGCCUUCGUAGAAAUAAGUGACCAAUCGCCAAGUUUCAAAACCAUGAUGUGGGCAUAUGUUAAGCAACUCUUUAAACCUAUCCCAACAUUGGUAUAAUGUUUCUCCAUUUUUUUGAGUGAAAGAAGUGAUUUGCCUUUUAAAAGAAUUUGUUCUAUGAGGUGGAAAGAAUUUUUUCAAAAACUGUUCUUGCAUGUUAUUCCAAGUUCUCACUGAUCCAGAUCUAAGGUUUUGUAGCCAAGUUUUAGCUUUAUCUUUUAAUGAAAAAGGAAAAAGCUUUAAUCUAAUUAUGUUCAUGCUACAAUUUUGGUCCGUGUAUGUAUUACAAACUUCCUCAAAAUCUCUUAGAUGCAAGUACGGAUUCUCAGAUUCUAAACCAUGAAAUGUUGGUAAAAGUUGGAUAAUACCUGGUUUAAAAUUGAAUCGAGAUGCUUCUGGAGGAAAUACUAUACACGACGGUGCUCCGGUUCUGGUUGGAUUCAUGUAGUCUCUCAGAGUCCUUGGUUGAUUCUGAUCAUGCCCAUGUUGAGAUUGGUUGUCUCCCUGAUCAAUUUGAGGAUUAGGUUCGCCCAAAACGUUUUCGCCUUGAUUCUCAUCCAUGAUUGGUGGUGGAGAUUGAGAUCUACGAAUUAACCUGCCACUUGAAGAUCGAGACCAAUGUCUCAUGCAAGGGUUAUGUUAUAAAGAUAAUAUUUACAUAAAUUGAUAACAAAAUAAAAUAAAAUAAAUAAAUAAGCAAAUAAUAUAAGUAUACAAAAGAAAAUUAAAUAACAAAAAUGGUGGUUGAACCCACCAAUUAAAAUAAAAAAUGCAAAAUUAAAUAAAUACUGAAAAUUAAAUAACUGAAAAUAAAAGUUAAGGGUUAGUAGUUAGUUUGGUGGUUAAACCCACCAAUAAAGCAAAAAAAAAAAUAAAUACGAAAUAAAAUAAAUGCAGAAAAUUAAAUAACUGAAAUUAAAUAAAAGUUAGGAGUUAGCAGUUAGUAAGUUAAGAGUUAGUAAUUAGAGUUAGUAGUUAAAGUUAGUUUGGUCCAAAAUAAGUCCAAAUAUGUCCAAAGUAUGUCCAAAUAUGUCCAAAGUAUGUCCAAAUAUGUCCAAGUCUUGAUUAUGUUGAGGAAUUUCGUCUAGGGAUUCUAUUGCAAAUUAUUUUUAAUUUUAUGGUCAAACUAUAAUUUUUAGAAGUUUAGAAUUAGCAAUUUGGGAUGAAAGUGAAACAAUUGAAAGAUAUCGGGGUCCGAACGUAAUUACCAGAAGAUUGGGCUAGAAACGGAAACUGUUGGGGUGAAACGAGAAUUAUGAAAGAUAUGGGGACAAAAGAGAAUUUAAGAAAAGGAAAAGGGGGCAAACGAAAUUUUACAUAUAAGAGAAAAAUAAAAACGGAAAAACAAACCAAAUAAAAAACUUUUCCCCGGCAACGGCGCCAAAAACUUGACACAACUUAAAAGUAAAUUUUAACUCCCAAGUAUAAGAGUGUCUUGUUGUAUUAUAACUCGGUGAGUCCGAGGUCGAUCCACAGAGAAAAGAUUUAAUUAGUUUAUUUUAUUUUAUCUAAAAAUUGAAAUUAAAACUUGAAUAUAAACAACUUAAUUUAAAUGAAACUAUGGAAUUGAACUAGUUAGGGUUAUGGAUCCACUCUUAGAAAUAAAUAAAACUUAAUAAAUUCUUUUUGCCAAUUUGUUUUAGAUUUAUUACUCAAAAGAUUAAUUAUACAAAUUAUUAUUAUUUUCCCUUUAAUUUUAUGAUGGAUUAAGUAUUUAUUGUGCCAAAAUUUAAUUUGUCUACAAUAAGUCAAAAUACCAUUUCACCAUGCCUUAUAUUAAGAUCUUAAGAAUUUAUUGUGCCAAAUUCAUUUGUUUGUCUACAAUAAAUCAAAUUUUCAAAAUAUAAAACAUGUAUAAAAUUAAAUAGAAAAUAAUUUAAUUUAUAAAAUUAAACAUAGAAUUUGAUUAAAUCAUAUUUAUUUCUUAAGAGUUUCACCUUCCCCUAACUAAUAUUAUUUAGUUAAGCAUAAUUAAAAUAAAAAGAAGUAGUAAAAUUGAAUUACUUAUAAUUAAAAGAAAUAAAAACAACUAAAAUUGGAAAUAAAACUAAUUUUAUUAAUGAAAAUAAUUAUACAAAAUAUUAAAAACACACCUGGAAAUCAAGAUUACAAGGAGAUGGAGAGAAUUUGAGAAGAAGAGAGUUGUAGAGAGAUCAUUAAAACAUAAAAAUGAGGCUCUAUUUAUAGAAAAAUAAAUUCAUAAUCCAGUGCUUUGCGGUCCAUCAUAGGCUUCAUGCAUGUGCUCCUCACAACCCUUAGAUCAAGAUCCAAUGGCUGGUCAAACUUCAAAAGUCAACAUCACACAUGGCAUCAUUUGACUCGUCCGAUUUACCCAAAGAACGGUUGAGAUUUGGCGGGUUAAUGGGUGGAUCGGGUCGACCCGAAUACAAAGAUUCGGAUCCUCCAACUUGCUUCACCAACCAUUGCCACGUGGCACAAUCAUGGCCAUUGAAUCAUGAACGGUUGAGAUUUAGUCAAGAUUGCCAGUUAUCCCAUGCACUCAUAUCUAUUGUAAGCUCAUUUCAUCAUCCAAUCAGUGCUCGGUCAACAGGAAAAGUCAACUUUUUUUACACAAGCCCAAUUUUAAGCCGAUCUUGACUGAUCUUAAGGUUUUCGGACCUCCGGAAUCCAAAUUUGACCUCCGUUUAUCUGUUUGGAGCCUCGAAGUACGUGAAAUUAAUAAUUUUCCUAAUAAACACAUAAAAAUACACAAAAUUAAAUAUAUUUAAAACAUAAUUAAUAAUUCAUAAUAUAUUACAUAAACACAAAUAUAAAUUAUAACAUAAGCAUAAAAUAACAUAUUAUCGCUUGAUAAUUAAACAAUUUUUAAUACUAAUCACUAGCCUCUAACCGCACAAGCCCUCGGGAGUUAUACCUUUCUAAGGCUGCUUGAAUCCCAUUUAUACGAGCCAUUAACCGUCUUUUACGCUGAAAAAUAUUUCCAAACACCUCCCUAUUCCACUUUUAGACCGUCUGGACAAAAUGGGACGCCGCAUCUCUAUAAUGGGCUUGAGGAUCCCAAACUUUCUUAACAAAAGAAUUGAAGUGCUCAUGAGUCAACCAGGGUGCCAAAAACCGAAAAGGCCUAGUCCCCCGGUGUCUGUACUCAGCUCCCGCAAAACGAACCAGAACUGGCCUAUGAUCUGAAGCAACCUUCGGAAGGUGAAGAACAUAAUUGUCCGCAAAUUUUAUUAACCAAUCACUAUUACAGAGAGCUCUGUCAAGUCGUUUAAACAGAAGUCCACGAGACCAAGUAAACCGAGGGCCUUUAAAUUUUAGAUCAAAAAUUCGGUGCCCAUCAAACCACUGCCGGAAAUUACCGCAAACUCCUGAAUUCCGUGUAGCACCCCCCCUGCUUCUCAGAAGCAUACAAUAUAGAAUUAAAGUCCUCACCAAUUAGCCAAGGCCCUUGAAUUGACAUAGCAAUGCUAUCCAUAUGCUUCCACAGCUGUCUCCGCAACAUCGGGUUUGGGCUAGCAUACACCGCCGUUACCCAAGACAUAAAAGUAUUAUUCCUACAUAUUUUAAAGUGGAUAAAUUGCCUAUGGUUCAGCAUCACCUUCACCUCUAUGUAACUCUGCCAAAGAAUCCAAAUUCCACCCGCAAAGCCCAUUGCUUCCACUCGAUGGGACUGGUCGAAACCACUCUUCUUAAUGAAAUCAUCUGCUUUGACCCCACUAAUGCGAGGUUCCAUCAAAACCACCAAGGAUGGGUUGUAGUUUUUAACAAUUGUCCUGAAUGAGCGCCGAAAAUCAGCCGAGGCUGCCCCUUGGACAUUCCAAUACAUAAUGCUAAUCAUCAUGAGAUAAAUAAAAGCAAAAAAGGAAACAUAAACACCUUAUUAAUGUUGUCCAUUCCCGUCAUGCAUCAACGCCAAAGGCGUUUCCUCGAUCAUCGAGUCUUCCUCAUCGGACAUCUCCUCCCCUUCAUUCUCCCCCAUAGACACAGCCGGAUGCGCUUGAGCAUUUACGUUGUUUAUACAACCAGCAUGUUGAUCGUCUGGAGGGUCAGACACGUGCUCAUACUCCCGUCUCAGCCGACCGCCCUGAUCACUGCCCGCCUUCCUUACAUCUCCAAGAGAUAAGUUUUGGUUAUCACAGAAUAUCACCGUAUGCUUUUUUGGGUCCAAGGUUGUAACUAGAGGGGAAAUUUAUUGGUGGCUGGGGUUGAGCUGAGGGUUAAGACAUGAUUCGGUCCUAGGGUUUGCAUGGGGCAAAUAGUUUGUAUUUUCUUCUCUUAAAGUGAAAGUGGUCUGCUGAAAAGGGUUCCGGAUUGGGUUCAAAGAGAAAGCUGGUGUCUUCUUUUGGGGUUUGGCAGUAACGGCUGUGGUGUGCUGCUGACGUCUAGCCAGAGUUUUAGUUCUAUCCUCGUGAUUGGCAGUAAAUAUUUGGUAAGGGUUGGCCGUGUUUGGUUGGUGAGAAGUGGAUGGAUUGUCUAUCACAGCGGCAUGUGUGGGGUGCUCACGGUCAUCCGUGACCUGCUCAAGAAUUUGGAAUCUAGAAACACCAGCCCUUGUAUUCUCUCAGUUCUUAGUCAAGCCAUUGUUAAUGUCCUUGCCACUAUUAAAUUUUCUGCCCUUUCUCGUGGCUAUCAUCCAAGGUCCAAAGGACUCGGCAUUACUAUCAAUAUUACCGUGAUCAUCUGGUUGGACAGUGUUCCCCUGGGGCUGCGUAUUAGGUUGAGGUUGAACCCCUUCUCCAGAAUUGGUUGCUGAAUUCAAUCCCUUGCAACUACUACUACUAUGGUCGUAUCUUCCACAUGUAAAGCAAAUCACUGGUAAUCCCUCAUACUCUACCUUUUGAACCUUCCCAUCCAACACAAACUGAGAAACCAGAGGCUUGGCCAGGGAGAGACGAACUGCAAUUCGUGCAAAUCUUCCACGCGCUGAGGAUGCUGUGUUCGAAUCAAUUUUCAUCACUGUACCCACCAAUUCUCCAAGUUUCUGGAGUACUUUCCGGUUGUAUAGAUGAACAGCGAGUUCAGGAAGACGGAUCCAUACAUUAACUUGCUCAAUAUCUGUUGUCUUGGCAUCAAAAGACAGCGUCCAUGGCUGCACCAUGAGAUAAUGCCCCAUAAUAAUCCACGGACCUUUUGUUAGGGCAUUGACAACAUCAGUAGCCGAACGAAAGCGAACCAGGAAAUAAUUGUUUUCUAGGUCAAUCACCGAGUAAGUCAUUGUUGUCUUCCACAUGGCAUUCAGUCUCGUACAGAGUGUUCUAUAACCGAUCGUGCGACCCAGCAGCUUCACUAUAACUGAGUUCUGCCAUGGUUCACAUAACUUCUCAUGAACCCUAUCCGAGAAGGUUAUGGAGGGCAUAGGUCCAUCUUUAUUUUCCGUCACGUCCCCUUCCUCAAACUCCCAGUCCCCUGCGCCGCCAUCAUAGCCCAUCUCCAUUGCUCGCGACGAGUUUACAAGGGUUUCCUUAUGCGAAACAUGUACAUGGGUAUCAUCAGCAACCUCCUCAUCACGAAACCUUGCCUUCUUAGUUGUUCUACUUUCCCUGAACGGUGGAGGGAAAAUUCCUCUAGUGCUAGGGUUUUUUCCACUUCCGGAUUUUUCGGAGCUCUCCAUUACUCUUAGUUCUAAUUUCUUUCCUUUUUGCCUAUUAUGCAUUUUUUUUCCUUCACUAGGCAAAGAAAGGACGAUUUCUAUUUAAAGCGCUCAUUUAUAUAACUUCACAUACAUGGCUGUUGAUUCUGCAACAAGUACAAUAAGAAACAGCACAACUACUGAUCUAAAGCAACGAACACAAUUAUAAAUUAACCUUAGGCUGUAGGUGAUUUUCGCUUCUUUUAUCUCCUAUGUCUUCGUCUCGCUCUCCUAUCCUUCUUCUGCUGGUCUUCUCCAACCAUCAUCACUAACCAUUGUGGUUUUCCUGUUGAGAAUACCAUGUAUCCAAUAGACAAUCCAAUUACCAGUCCAGAUGCAUACCCCAUCUUCACCAUUUUCCAGUCAAACCAGCUUGUAGUUUCAUCUACCUCAUGAUCAGUAGAAGCCGAAGGAGGCGCUUUUGGCACCGCGUCAUUGAUGCAUGUUACUGUCCAUGGCUCUCCACACAAAUGAAUGUUCCCAAUAUAGGAAUCAUUUUCAAAUGUAUUAAAUUGAUUGCCGAGAGGAAUGCGUCCCCAAAGCCGGUUAUAUGAAAGAUUUAACAAUGCAAGGGCUAUUGUUGCGCAAAUUUUAAUGUACUCGCAAGCGCACGAAUCUAUUGUAGUAUAGAUCAAUGGUGACGAGUGUCGAUCCCACGAGGAGGUGGAUUUUAAUUAUAUGUAGAAUUAAUUUUGUAAAUGGGUGGUUGAAAUUGUGGUGGAAAUGAUUUAAAUUAUCCUAAAAUUGGAAUUGAGAUGGCGAUAAUAAAUUCUAAAAUUAGAAUUGCAAUGGCGAGAAUAAAUUGAAGAGAAUUCUAUUGAAAUGACGUACUUGGGUAUCUGGAUCCGUAUCAACAUGCAUCAUGGGCUAAAUAAUCCGUAUUAAUCCCAAUUAAAUCAUGAGGGGGGAAUCCACACCUCAUGAACCACGCUCUAAUCAAUAUGGUGCUAAGGGCUUAUCGUGCCAAAUAAUAAUAACCUUGUACUAGAGGGCCGGUGAAAUCAAGGCGGUACUAGACAAGAAUAUUAUUAUUUGUCGACGAGAAGUCAAAACAUCCACAAAAACUAGAGGGGAAGAGAAAAUAAAUUUACCAAAUUAAGCCCAUGACACAUGUUGAGACUUCACCUCCAACCCAAGCUUGAAAGAAAAUUAGCCACUCAUAAUUGAACUAGGGGCAAAAUGAGAAUUUAUUAAAAUACGAAGAAAAUACAAGAUGGAGAAGGAAUUACAAAAAAUGAAUCCCAAAAAUGGAUUCAAAGAUAUCAAAUUAGGGGGAGAGGCCCCCUUUUUAUAGAUACAUGGAGGAAAUCAUGGCCAUCGGAUUAAAAAUAGUUUGGACGCUCAGGAUUGCACCACGUCAUCAGUCAACAGUCCACGGUUUGACCACGCGGAUGAACAGUAACACGGUUUGACCCGAAUGUGAACAAUAACGCGGUUUGACCCGGAUGAACAGUAACGCGGUUUGGUUGAAAAUAAUCCUGUGUGAUGCAUGCACCGUACGCGAGAUUUUUCGUCCAUUGAUAUGCUGCCACGUCACCAUCAACAGUAUAUAAGAAUUUUAGUCCAACAGGAUCGUGACAUCACAUCAGUCAAUGCCACAUCAUCGGUCAAUGCUACGUCAUCGUCCGUCUAUGUGAACAGUAACGUAUACAGUACCGUACACGUGAAUAGUACCGUACAUGUGAAUAGUGCCAUUUUUCCUUUUAUGCUCCUCCUAAGGUUUUCAACCGUCCUGAGUUCAAAAGUGAUGUCCGUUUUGCCAUCUGAUCUCUCGUUUAUUGUGAAAUGACUAUGAUGCCCCUAAAAUACAUAAAAUACUUAAUUAAAAUAAAACAAACGGAAUUAAAUCAAAAGAAGGUUAAAUUCAUAAAAGUAAAGGUGUUAGUAAGACUUGAAAUGUAAAAUGACAGUUUUCUCCUUUAUAAAUAUGCAUUUUCUAACACUCAACACACCCCCCAACCAGCUUAUUGCUAGUCCCUAGCAAAUGAAGCGAAAAUAAAAUUCAAAUUCAAAUUCAAAAUGAUUUUUUUAAAAAAAAAAAUUAGAAGCACUCGUGUUUAUUCAAUCAGAUUAAUGAUAGCAAUCAAAUAAAAGUAUAAACAUUAUCUCCAGUCUAAAGCAACAUCACACUCACAUCAACCAUCCACAUGAAUUAGCCCAGUAGACUUUGUUAUAUCUACUUUCAAGAAUGACAUGUCAAACCCCAAAAUCUCACUGGAAGUAGUGACACUCUCACAAAUAAAUUAAACCCACUAAAAAUAGUCACUCCAAUGAAUGGUAAUUGAGAGAGAAAAUAAUAAAGAAGUGAUAUCACAUGCUCUCACCAAGAUGAAAUAAAUAUGCCCUCAGCUUAGAAAUAAUACGAUCUCAAGUCAAAUAAAAAUGCUAGUCAACCCACUUUAUUUAUCUUCUUUUUUUUUUAUUAUGCAUCACUACAUCUUUUUAGCCCAUAUAACUAGCUUCUACUUCAAACUAUAGUUCCCUAAAAUCAAGAAGGACUUUUAUUGGGACGUAACGUAGGCUGGGGACAUGGCUAACAAAGAAGGGAAAUAAGGAAAACAAAGUAUAUAUUUGAGAAAAAUGCAGAAUUUUUUUUUUGAAAGUUGCAAGGUGGAUUUCACCUAUUAUUUUUAUUUUUAUUCUUUUGAAACAACAACUUUUGUUUUUUUUUUUUUGGCAUAACUUCACUAAACAAAAUAAUUAUUUACAUUUUUCUCAAACAUAAAUAGGUGAUGGAACUUAUAAAACAUCGGGUAAUACUCCAAAUCGGAGUGGGUCAAGAUGAUAAGUUGACAAAGAAAAGGUUUUUUUUUUUUAAAGGCUCAAAAGGGUUAACUAUGGAUAUUUAAUAAAAGGGAUGGCUAGAAAGGCUCAAACGGAUCAAAGAUAGCCUUUCCAUCGUCUUUUAGGGCUCUAAAUAAUCAUCCAUAUCUACUAGUUAGAUGGGCCUCCCAAUGUAACAACACACAUUUUUUUCUUUUUUUCUUUUUUUAUUUUACAAUUUUUUUUAAGGGUUAACUCAAAAGCAAUUUAGAGAUCGUGUGUAAAAUAAUAAACUGCUAACCUGUAUAAAGAGUGGGCAAAAGGGUUAUUUUCCAAGAAAAAUAAUAGGCUCAAAAACUCACUUGGUACUUAUUAUGACAUGUUCAUUCCUUCAAGCAACUCACAUUUGUCUCCGACAUCAACAUGUAGAGUAGCAAACAUAACAUAACAUCACUUAAGACCAAAGAUAAUACAAAUACUAAAAUUUAAAAUUAAUCAUGUCAUCCAAUGUUAAAACAAAUCACACAAUUUUUUUUUUCAAACAACAUUCUACCCCCCAACCUAUUCUAAGCAUGAAAGGAAAAUAUGCAUGCAGAAAUGUGAAAAUGAUGCAUAAAAACUAAUUAGAAAAGUUACACGUAAAAUGAUAGAAAACGAAAAUAAUUUUUUUUUUUAAAGAAGAUGCGUUUCUAGAGGAACUACACUCUAUAUUCAGCCAUCUUCGACUCAAAAGUUGGAAAAUGUAUAUUUAUAGAGGAGAAAUUAAAAAGAAGAAAAAUAAACAUAAACACAUAAUAAAGAAAAAGAAAAUGUCUGAAUUUUUUUUUUAAGUUUUUUUUUUAAUUUUUUUUUAAACGAUGAAGAUGCAUUUCUAGAGUCACUACACUCCAUAUUCAGCCAUCUUCAACACAAAAAGUUAUCAACAGUUAGUUUCUACAACAAAAAAUUAGUAAAAACUUAACCAAAAUUCCACAAAAAAUUAGUAAAAACUUAACCAAAAUUCCACAAUUGUCGAUUAUUCCCUCCCCCCAACCAGAACGAAACAUUGUCCUCAAUGUUUGAAAUGAAAGAAGUAGAGUUUAGAAGACAUCACCUGGGUGGUGCAACACAGAAGAAAAUAUUUACAGGCGGAGAGUUAAAUCUAAUUUGUACUUCUUACUGCGGCUACUGUUACCAUCAUUAUUUGGAUGCUCCAACACAAAGGUCCAGGGGUCUGGCUCCGGUCGAUAAGCUUGUAACAUAUCAAGUAGCUCAUUAGCAGUGUGAACACAAAUAAAGAGUUUUUUCGCAUUAGAGGGAAUGAAAUAGUUUUUUAUUGCAUGGUUAAGAAAUGCGAUAAAGCCAUCAUAAAAGUUAUUGACAUUUAACAAACUGAUGGGUUUCUGGUGGAUGUGCAGAUGGGCCCAAGAUGCUAGUGUGAUAAGUGCCUCUAGUGUUGCAAGAUCUCCUGGAAGGAAAAUAAAAGCAUCAGCAUGAUUAAGCAUUUCAGUUAUUCUUUCUUGCAUACUUGAGACGACUAACUCUUCUCCAGUUGAUGAGUCAGACGAACUGCCCAAUGGUUUUAAGACUCUGGGGAUGAUGCCUAACACUUGACUUCCUCUGAUAAAAGCUGCUUCUGAGACCAUUUUUGAUAACCCUCGGUUACCUCCUCCAUACACCAAGUGUAAUUUUCUCGCUGCUAUGCUUUGACCAAGAUCUAUGGCUGCCUCAACGAACUCUUUAUGUUUGCCAUAGGUAAAUCCAGAAAGCACACAAAUGUUCUUGAAUUGUCUAUUGGGAGUAGCUGUCAUUGUGAUACUUCGCAAAAACAAUUUGUGAGUGCUUGACAAAGAAAAUCACAUUUAAGAGUCUUGGUGAUAGUGGGUCACAGUUGUAUAUGAGGUAACAUGUCAGUGUCAAAUAACGUGUAAAGCACAUGGCUCGCGAGUUAAAAAGGAAACAGUAAAAAGGAAAAAGCAGACAGUAACAAAAUUAUUAAAGACAAUAAAGUAAACAAUAAAACAACAGUAAAAUAAAAUAACAGUAAAGUAAAAGGAUAUUUACAGGUAGUUGCGACUGUGGCUCACAUCUUCCUCUGGUUUUACGUCCAGAAACGGCUUGAACACCCUCUAUGGGUCGAGGAUAGGCUUCCCAUCCAGUUUUCUUAUAAACUGGCAAACAGGGUCGUUUAUAGUCAGAUUCCUGAGACUAUAUCGUGCAUGCUCUUUUUGGAAUAAUGGCCAUAACUGGAGAAUCGCUCCUUGCACAUAUCCACUGGGAUGCGUUUCAAGAGACAAAAGGAUAUCAUCCAAUGACUCCUUAUUCAAGCCAUCCCUAAUGAAUUGAAUCUUAUCUUCCCUGUUAUCAGACACCAUUCCUAAAGAACAUGGGUUUUUAUUGCAACUCAUUCUGGCACACUUAUAACAAGCAACAGAAAUUCUUCGAGGUCGUCGUUUUCUUGCAUAAUUUCCUUUACCACAACCAGGCAUGUAUGCAAUAAAUUUUUGAGGUAACUCACCCGCCGAUCGUACUUUUGCCUCAAUUAACCAACGGAUAUCAGCACGUAUGUUAUUCCUCAUGAGUAAUCGCAUGUGUUCGGACCGAGCUUUAUAGAUCGUAAGGAGGGCAUUCUGAGGAAGUGAAGGGAAUCGCUUGUGAAGCUUCGCUAGAAUCUCGUUUCUAUCCAUACCUUCACCUCAGAAUAUCAGUUAUUAUGGGAAACUGAAGUAACCGACUUGAUUAUCACGGAGUAUCGUUAUCCGCCACUUCACCGGGGUAACAAACUAAAGCACUCAAACAGAAAAAAAAUUAAAACACACAAAGAAAAUUAAAAUCGUCCUCUUAUUGAAUUUACCUCAAACUCCAACUGGAUGUCGUAAACACUUCUCUCAAUGUCUCUGAGUUGGCUUUCUAAACCCUCAACAUAGGCUACUAACUCUGGUGGUUGUAGAGCCCAAAUGCGAUGUGUUUUACAAAAUUGAAUCUGCCGUUUGAGAUGAGUUUUGACACGUUGAAGUGGUUUAAGAAUGUUCAGGAGGAACGGUCUAAGUAAGAUACUCAUGAGUAAAAAUGAUAAAAGAAAACUUAAUAGUUAAACAAACACACUUAUGCAAAAAUAAUUUCAAUUAGCAAAAGAAUAAUAUAAAGAAAGAAAACAAAAUCAAAUCAACGAAAAGAAAAAUCAAUUCAAAUUUAGUGGGUCACUCAAAUUUAUUUCGGUGUCUUCUUCAUGUGGUUGGUACUCUAGAUAUGGCUUUAAUCUUUGACCAUUAACUUUAAACGUGACACCAUUCUUUGGGUCCUUAAUUUCAAUUGCCCCAUGUGGAAAAACAGUAUGUACAAUAAAUGGACCAGACCAACGAGAGUGUAACUUACCUGGGAAUAGGUGCAAGCGAGAAUUGAAUAAAAGCACUUUCUGACCUGGAGUGAACGAUUUUCUCAUAACGUGCUUGUCAUGGAAGACUUUCAGUCGCUGCUUGUAAAUCUUGGCAUUUUCAUAGGCAUCAUUGCGAAUUUCUUCAAGUUCUGCCAGUUGUAAUCUUCUUUCUGAGCUAGCUUGCUGCAUGUCAAAGUUGAAUUUCUUGAUGGCCCAAUACGCACGAUGCUCAAGUUCCACAGGUAGGUGGCAAGCUUUUCUAUACACUAGCCUGUAGGGUGACAUCCCAAUCGGGGUCUUGAAAGCCGUUCUAUAUGCCCAUAAGGCAUCAUCAAGUCUUAAUGACCAAUCUUUUCUGUCUGGCCUCACCGUCUUUUCUAAUAUGUGCUUUAUUUCUCGAUUUGAGAUCUCAACUUGGCCACUAGUUUGCGGAUGAUACGGAGUCGCCACUUUGUGUGUGAUUGAAUACUUUGUCAAAAGUGCUUUGAAUGCUUUGUUACAAAAGUGGGCACCACCAUCACUGAUUAUUGCUCGAGGGAAUCCAAAGCGUAAAACAAUGUUGCUUUUCAAAAAUGCUAUCACCACCUUGUGAUCAUUGGUCCUACAUGGAAUUGCUUCUACCCAUUUUGAUACAUAGUCAACAGCAACCAAUAUAUAUUGAUGACCAAAAGACGGGGGAAAGGGUCCCAUGAAAUCGAUACCCCAUACGUCAAAAAUCUCAACCACUAAAAUUGGAUUUAGUGGCAUCAUGUUCCUUCGCGUAAUGCUCCCCAUUCGUUGACACCUAUCACAUGAAGAACAGAAAGUGUAAGCAUCUCGAAAUAUAGUUGGCCAAUAGAAACUACAUUGUAAAACUUUAGUUGCUGUUUUCUUAGCGCUGAAAUGGCCUCCACAAGCUUGUUCAUGGCAGAAUGAAAGGAUAUUCUGAAUUUCACUUUCUGGGACACAUCGUCUAACAAUUUGAUCCGCACAAUACUUGAACAAAUACGGGUCAUCCCAAAAGAAAUUCUUUAUCUCUGCAAAGCAUUUAGCCUUAUCUUGCUUGGUCCAAUGCUCUGGAAGUUUACCUAUAACAAGAUAAUUAACUAUAUCAGCAUACCAAGGUAAUACUUCCACACUCAUUAAUUGUUCAUCUGGAAAUGACUCAUUCAAUGGUAAUGAUUCUGUAAUUGUGUCAAAAUGGAGACGAGAGAGGUGGUCCGCCACAACAUUCUCUGUGCCUUUCUUAUCUUUGAAUUUCAAGUCCAACUCCUGCAAAAGUAACACCCAACGAAUUAGUCUGGCUUUUGCAUCUUUCUUUGUGAGAAGAUAUUUAAGAGUAGCAUGAUCUGUGAAUAUAAUUAUUUUACAACCAAUGAGAUAAGAUCGAAAUUUCUCUAAUGCAAACACUACUGCUAGCAUUUCUUUUUCAGUAGUUGAAUAGUUCAACUGUGCAUCAUUUAAUGUCAUACUAGCAUAGUAAAUAACAUGGGGAAUUCGAUCAACUCUUUGUUCUAAAACUGCUCCUACUGCAUAAUCAGAUGCAUCACACAUUAUCUCAAAUGGUAAGCUCCAAUUUGGGGCCUGAAUGAUGGGUGAUGAUGUCAACAAUUGUUUUAGUUUUUCAAACGCCAUAAGACAUGAAUCAUCAAAGACAAAAGGUACAUCCUUAGCAAGUAAAUUGCAUAAGGGUCUAGAAACUUUGCUAAAAUCUUUAAUGAAACGUCUAUAGAAACCAGCAUGCCUAAGGAAAGAUCUUACUUCUCUAACUGUUUUAGGUGGAGGAAGAUUAGAAAUGAGAUCCACCUUGGCUUUGCCAACCUCAAUACCUUUGCUCGAAAUGAUGUGACCGAGAACAAUACCUUGUUUUACCAUAAAAUGGCACUUCUCCCAAUUCAAGACUAAGUUCUUCUCGAUACAUCUCUGCAGAACUAGUGUUAGAUGAUGUAAGCAUUGAUCAAAUGAAUUACCAAAGAUAGAAAAGUCAUCCAUAAAGACUUCAAAGAAUCGUUCAACCAUAUCAGAAAAAAUGCUUAACAUGCAUCGUUGAAAUGUAGCAGGUGCAUUACAUAAUCCAAAUGGCAUUCUCCUUAUGCAAAUGUGCCAAAAGGGCAAGUGAAAGUAGUUUUCUCUUGAUCUUUUGGUGCUAUGGGAAUCUGAUUAUAUCCUGAGUAGCCAUCUAGAAAGCAAUAAAAUUCAUGGCCUGCUAAUCUAUCAAGCAAUUGAUCAAUAAAUGGUAAAGGAAAAUGGUCUUUACGUGUGACAGAAUUCAACUUUCUGUAAUCAAUGCAUACACGCCAUCCUGUAGUCACUCUAGUGGGUAUCAAUUCAUUAUCGGCAUUGGUAACUACAGUGACUCCUGACUUUUUGGGGACAACUUGCACAAGACUGACCCAUGAACUAUCAGAAAUUGGGUAAAUGAUACCUGCAUCUAAUAGCUUAAGGACUUCUGUUCUAACAACUUCUUUCAUAUUAAGAUUUAACCGACGUUGCAUUUCCCUAGUAGAUUUAGCAUUUUCAUCAAGGUGAAUGUAAUGCAUGCAGUCUAUUGGGUUUAUACCUUUUAUGUCUGCUAUGGUCCAUCCUAAUGCUCCUUUGUGCUCUUUUAAAACAUCCAACAACUUACAUUUUUGUUCGUCAUUUAGGGAUGAUGAGAUGAUUACCGGUAGAGUACUUUCUUCUCCCAAAAAUGCAUAUUCCAAAGUGUUGGGCAAUGGUUUGAGCUCGAGUUUCGGUGGUGAUUCUGAUGAUGGGAUGAGUUUCUUUUCUGAUGAUGCUAGUUGUUCAACUCUUGACUUCCAUUUAUUAGUGUCCAUAGAUGGUGCUGAGUCAAGCAGGGCAUUGACCUCAUGACCGAUCUGUCAAUAUCAAAAUCCAAACCAAAGUGAGUUAAACAUGUUUGUAAAUUAUCAUCACUAAGGUUUGAAACAAAAGUAUCAUCAACUAAUGCUUCAAUUAAAUCCACAUCAACAAUUCCAUCAUCUGCACUGUGAGGUUGUUUGGCAAUGUUGAAAAUGUUUAGCUCCAUAGUCAUGUUGCUGAAGGACAACUGCAUAUUUCCAGUCCUGCAUUGAAUGUGGGCAUCUGCAGUUGCCAAGAAAGGUCGGCCUAGAAUAAUGGGGAUGUGCUUUCUUGAAUCCUGUAUUGGUUGAGUGUCAAUUACAAUGAAAUCAACAGGAAAAUAAAACUUGUCUACCUGGAUAAGCACGUCCUCCACAGUACCACGAGGUAUUUUCGUGGACCGAUCUGCAAGCUGUAACACCACUGGAGUUGGGUGUAAUUCUCCCAGUCCAAGUUUCACGAAUACUGAAUAAGGCAACAGAUUUACACUAGCUCCUAAGUCCAACAAAGCAUUCUCAAUUGUGUGGUUCCCUAUACUACAUGAGAUAGUGGGGGAGCCUGGGUCUUUGCAUUUUAAAGGAAUUUUAUGUUGGAGUAUAGAACUAACAUUUUCUGUUAAAAAUGCAUUCUUUUGAACAUGCAUAUUUCUCUUUUUAGUACAAAGGUCUUUAAGAAACUUGGCAUAAGAUGGAACUUGUUUAAUAGCAUCAAGUAAAGGGAUGUUAACACUUACCUGUUUGAAGAUUUCAAGAAUCUCACCUGUGGAUUUUCCCUUCUUUCCUUUAGCUAACCUCUGAGGAAAUGGAGCUUUGGGAACAUAUUCCCGUGGGUUGGUUUCUUCUCUCUCCUCCGGUGAUGAGUCCUCAACAUUCACAGGUACAAUUUGAUUUUCUUUUAUCACCGGCAUCUCCACUUUGUUGUCGACUUUUUUUCCUUUUUGCAAGGUCAUGAUGGCUUUGACCUCUCCAUGCUGUUGCGAUGAACUGGUACUUGCUUCAUGUACUCCUUUAGGAUUAGGCACUGGUUGACUUGGAAAUUUACCUUUCUCAACAGUCAUUGCCAAGGUCUGAACUGAAGAGGCAAGUUGUCCCACCAUCUUCUCGAGGCUUGAAACUGAUUGAGCUUGUGAGUUGAAGCCUGCUCUCAACUCAUUUCGUAGUCCAUCAAUGGUGCGAUUCUGUUGCUCAAUCGUGGAGUGAGUAAGAUUCUGAAGAUUCUGGAAUGAAUCCUCCCAUGGUCUGGGCUGAGAGUAGUUCUGGUUCUGAUUGUAUGGUCUGAAUGGUGGCUGAGAGGCUUGAGGAUUUUGAGGAAUUUGUUUCAUUGGUGGAGCUGGAGCUGCUGGUCCAUUCUGUUGGAAUCCUUGAGACCAUGAAAAAUUGGGGUGGUCUCUCCAUCCAGGGUUAUAUGUGUUGGAGUAUGGGUUGUAAUUAGAUAGUUUCCUCAUUACACCUAUGGCAUUGGCUUGAUCUGAGUAUGAGUCAUGGUCAUGUGGCUCUGUUGAUUUAGCAGUCGAUAACGAUGCUAUUUGUCGAGCAAGACCUUCAACCAUCUCCUUGACUUCUUUGAUUCCCGAAGUUGACUCGCCAAUUUGAACCUCAUUCACUCCUUUAAUUCUUUUAGUAUUCCUGAGUGAUCGACUCCGUUGUUGGGAAUUAUCCGCCUGUCGCUGGAAAAACUCUCAAAUUUCUGAUGCACUUUUUGACAUUAGCUCUCCUCCACUUGUUGCCAUUAGCCAUUCUUGCACAUUCGGUAGUAAUCCCUCUAAAAAGUAUUGGCAUUGGUGCCAUUUCUCAUACCCAUGAUGUGGACACUUCAAGAGUAGCCCACUGAAUCGCUCCCAUGUUUCGAAAAAUUACUCGUCCUCUCUCUGGGUAAACUCCAAGAUUUCCCUGCGAAUAGCAUUGGUUUUAUGCACUGGGAAAUAUUUAUUCAAAAGUUUAGUUACCAUUUGUUCCCAUGAUGAAAUGCUAUUAGCAGGUAAAGUAUUUAACCAUGAACGAGCUCUAUCUUUUAAAGAAAAUGGGAAUAGUCUAAGUUUAACAUCAUCGUCUGAAAAAUUCUCAUAUUUAAAUGUUUGACAAAUAGCGUGAAAAUCAUUCAGAUGAUUAUAUGGGUCCUCAUUUUCUAAGCCAUAGAAUGUAGGGAGACAAUUUAGCACACUAGGUUUUAAUUCAAAACUCCUAGCAGCUACAUUUGGGUAUCUUAUGCAUGAUGUGCUCAAAUUAGCUAAGGGACUAAAAUAGUCCUUAAAUGACCUCUCCUGUGGUUGCAAAUCCAUUUUAUUUUUAAUUUGUUUGUGUGUGCGAAGUAUUUUUUCUAAUUCAAGGUCUAUAGGUUCAAGAUUAGGAAAUAAUGACCUACGACCAUGCAUGCAAAACAAAUAAAAUAAAAAUAAAGAUGAGAACAAAACAAAUAAAAAUAAAGAAGAGUGAGAAAUUACGAUACUAACCUUAUUGCGCUAUUACAAACUUUCUAUAAAAAUACACAAAAACAAAUACGUGAAAGAAAUUAACUAAAAAGAAUUAGUAAGAUAAACAAAAAUUACAAAGAAAAAAAAAUAACUUGAAAAUUAAAUUACAUAAAUUUAAAGAAGAGAAAAAGAAAAGAAAUUACUAACCUCUAAAUGCGGAUUCACUUUUUUUUUAAUAAAAAAUACACAAAAAAAAUAAAAGAAAUUAUUCACAAAAAUUAAUUCUAUGAAUUAAAAUUACUUACCUCCCCGGCAACGGCGCCAAAAACUUGUUGUGCAAAUUUUAAUGUACUCGCAAGCGCACGAAUCUAUUGUAGUAUAGAUCAAUGGCGACGAGUGUCGAUCUCACGAGGAGGUGGAUUUUAAUUAUAUGUAGAAUUAAUUUUGUAAAUGGGUGGUUGAAAUUGUGGUGGAAAUGAUUUAAAUUAUCCUAAAAUUGGAAUUGAGAUGGCGAUAAUAAAUUCUAAAAUUGGAAUUGCAAUGGCGAGAAUAAAUUGAAGAGAAUUCUAUUGAAAUGACAUACUUGGGUAUCUGGAUUCGUAUCAACAUGCAUCAUGGGCUAAAUAAUCCGUAUUAAUGCCAAUUAAAUCAUGAGGGGAGAAUCUACACCUCAUGAACCACGCUCUAAUCAAUAUGGUGCUAAGGGCUUAUCGUGCCAAAUAAUAAUAACCUUGUACUAGAGGGCCGGUGAAACCAAGGCGGUACUAGACAAGAAUAUUAUUAUUUGUCGACGAGAAGUUAAAACAUCCACAAAAACUAGAGGGGAAGAGAAAAUAAAUUUACCAAAUUAAGCCCAUGACACAUGUUGAGACUUCACCUUCAACCCAAGCUUGAAAGAAAAUUAGCCACUCAUAAUUGAACUAGGGGCAAAAUGGGAAUUUAUUAAAAUACGAAGAAAAUACAAGAUGGAGAAGGAAUUACAGAAAAUGGAUCCCAAAAAUGGAUUCAGAGAUAUCAAAUUAGGGGGGAGAGGCCCCCUUUUUAUAGAUACAUGGAGUAAAUCAUGGCCAUCGGAUUAAAAACAGUUUGGACGCUCAGGAUUGCACCACGUCAUCAGUCAACAGUCCACGGUUUGGCCACGCGGAUGAACUGUAACACGGUUUGACCCAAAUUUGAACAGUAACGCAGUUUGACCCGGAUGAACAAUAACGCGGUUUGGUUGAAAAUAAUCCUGUGUGAUGCAUGCACCGUACGCGAGAUUUUUCGUCCACUGAUAUGCUGCCACGUCACCAUCAACAGUAUAUAAGAAUUUUAGUCCAACAGGAUCGUGACAUCUCAUCAGUCAAUGCCACAUCAUCGGUCAAUGCCACGUCAUCGUCUGUCUAUGUGAACAGUAUCGUGAACAGUAACGUAUACAGUACCGUACACGUGAAUAGUACCGUACAUGUGAACAAUGCCAUUUUUCCUUUUAUGCUCCUCCUAAGGUUUUCAACCGUCCUGAGUUCAAAAGUGAUGUCUGUUUUGCCAUCUGAUCUCUCGUUUAUUGUGAAAUGACUAUGAUGCCCCUAAAAUACAUAAAAUACUUAAUUAAAAUAAAACAAACGGAAUUAAAUCAAAAGAAGGUUAAAUUCAUAAAAGUAAAGGUGUUAGUAAGACUUGAAAUGUAAAAUGACGGUUUUCUCCUUUAUAAAUAUGCAUUUUCUAACACUCAACAGGUAUAACGCUUAACAACUGCUCUGGAAUCCUUCCGUGAAGCUUGUUAGAAGACAGGUCCAAUGAUUCAAGCGCUGUCAUAUUCGCAAAGGAAACCGAAAUAGAACCUGUUAGGCCAUUGUGAGAAAGGUUGAGCACAAUCAGUGAUUUAAAGUCUCCAAGUACUUGAGGAAUUUCUCCCUGAAACUGAUUGUUUGACAGAUCAAUGGUUGUAAAAAUGGUUAUGAUCCUUUUUAGUACCAAAUCGCGCCCUUUCACAGUCACUGUUACAGAAUCCUGAUAAUAAUCUUCCUCUCCCUACAUAUAUAGUCCGUCGGAUCCCUUUUCGUCCACGUUCUUCAUUGCUUCCAAAAUUACAAAGAUCCAUCUUGGCAGAAAACCAGUGAAUUCAUUAUGAGAGAGAUCAAUGAUUCGAAGGGCUUCAAAGGGAAGCAUAAUAUUGGGCAAGCAUAGUGGACCAUAGAAUCGAUUAGACCUCAAGACAAGAAUUUUUAGCUCCGGAAGUGAUCCCAACCAACAUGGACAUGUGUCACCUAUCAUGUUGUUGCCCACAUUGACAACCUCCAGCUCAUCACAAUCAGCCAGAUACCUUGGGAACGGCCCUUCCAACUUAUUGCUAUUAAGGUCAAGACUCUUUAAACUGCAACUUCCAUUUGCAAAAGCAUCAGGGAUGCGACCCUGAAGGUUGUUGUUGUUCAGGUGAAGAAUAGUCAACUGAGUGCUGAAGUUUCCAAGACAUGGUGGAAUUGUUCCGCUCAAAUUGUUGUGAGUUAAAGAAAGAUAUUCAAGGGAACUCAAACUGGGACUAGAUGGAGGGAUCUGUCCGAACAAUUUGUUGUUAGAAAAUAAGAAGGCUCGUGUUGAAGGUGGUGGAAUCGGAAUUGUUCCUUGGAUUGUGUUGUUUCGAAGAUUAAGCACUGUAAUAUACUUCCAUGGAUGUUGCUCUAUUUGUGUCAGAAAAUUAUUAGAAAUAUCAAGAUCAGUCAAACUCUUCCAUCCUUAGGAAUCAGAUUUCGAAAUCCGACCAUGAAUUAUGUUGUUGGAAAGGUCUAAGAAUUCCAACUUCUCUGAGUUUCUCAAGAAACCUGGGAACUCAGUGAUAUUGCAAUAAGAGAAACGCAAUUUCCAAGGACUAGGUAAGAGAUAUCUGAUGCUGACAUUGCUAGAGGAAAUAAAUGAGAGUUGGCUGUUGUUUGAAAGAUCAAGAUAUCUCAGAUUUUUCAACUCUGGUAACAGGUUGUACCUAACAGUGCCACUCAAGUCAUUUGAUGAAAGAUCGAGAUCAGUGAGGUUCACAAGUUGGAAGAGGGAACUAGGAAUUGUACCAUGCAUCUGAUUUUCUUCCAAAUGGACUUCUUCUAGUGAAUUAAGCGACUGGAAUUGAUCAAUUGGACCGGUGAACUUAUUCUGGGAAAGAUCUAUAUAAUUCAAGGAAGGAAGAGUGAACAACCAAGACGGCACCCUGCCUUGGAGAGAGUUGUCAGAAAGGUCUAAAGUGGCUAAAUACGAUAAACCACUUACCUGAUAAGGCAGUUGGCCAGUAAAUUGAUUGGAUCGAAAUACAAUUUUAGUAGCUUUAGAGAGGUUUCCAAUUGAUGCUGGAAUUUUUCCAGUGAAAUUACAGCCUCCAAUAUGUAUAAUCUCCAAGAACAAAAGAUUUCCAAUUGAAUCUGGUAUUUCACCUGUAAAAUUACUGAAAGAAAAAUCCAACUACCUGAGAGGAGAACUCCAAUUAGACUCUGGAAUAUAACCUGUGAGAUAUUCGUUAAAGGAUAGAUGGAGUUCCUGGAGGUGUGGAAGAUGAAAAAUUUCACGUAGGAAAUUUCCUCGCAUACUAGUAUCACUCAGAUCGAGAAUAGUGAUUGUUGAGGAUAAGUUUAACAGAGAAAAAGGUUCAAUCAAAGACAUGUCUGCCAAUCCGAGAUUGAGAACAUUUAAUUUUGUAAGGUUACUAGCAUGUAAAUCAAAAGAUUUUUGUUCGAUUUUCAUGUCACAGUUGGAAAGAUCAAGAAAUGUUAGUCUGGACAUGUGAGAUAUUCCUGUGGGAGUAGACCACUAAAUCUAGAACGAGAGAGGUUAAGAUAUGUCAAUUCCUUUAGCCGAAGAAACUCGGGGGAGGUUUGAGAGCGACUGAAAUAGUUGAAAGCGAGGUUGAUAUGCAUUAUAUGGACCGUAUCUUUGGUCUUUUAUGUUUCAUUUCCAGGCCGGGCAUGUUGCGAGUUGAUAAAAGAUCGAUUCAAAUAAUAUAUUUAAUAUUUUCUGAAAUGCAUGAAAUCAAAUGCAAUGGGCAAAAUGUAACAUAUGUGAAAAAAAAAAAAGUGAGGCGGUUAAAAGGUAAAUAAAAGUAAAAGAAGAAGCUGGAAAUGGGGAAACAUAUACACGUGUGAGAGAGUGAAAGUCAAAACCGACCCAAAAAUCCAACCUGUUUGACCCGAAAUCGACCCGGCCAUAUCUUACGAUACCGGCCACCCCACCGGCCAAGCUUGUACCAAUCUAAAGCAUUAAGAUGAAACAGCCAGGAAGAAAAAACACUAAUUUGACAAAAAAUCUGAUUUUUUAUUGAUAACUUUUUUCUCCCCCUUUGCAGCAGCCAACCCGCUUCUUUAAAAGUCAGAGCCAAAGAGCCCACACUGAUUAAGCCACUAUUUCCGGAAGAAAACACUCCAAACAAUUUUAAAUAACAAAAACAGUAAUUCAAAACACCUAAAAAAUAGCUAAUGGAAAUAAUCCCAAAAUAAAAUAUUGUCAAAAAAUAAAAGGUCGUUACAUUCCCUCUCUCUUAAUAAAAGCCUUGACCUCAAGGCUUGAACAAAGGAAACUUCUCCUGAAUCUUAACUGCAUCCUCCCAAGUUGCAUCUUCGGGAAAGGAGUUAGACCACUGAACCAACCACUGCACGUAUGGACGAUUGCUUCGCUGGACUACUCUCCUGUCCAAAACAGAAUCAGGUACUAACUGUAGGUGCCCGUCUUCCCGUAUUGUUGGUAACUCUGUAAUCGGAGUGACAGCCUCUCCAACCUUUUUCUUUAAACACGAAACAUGAAAGACAGGAUGAAUUUUGGACUCUAUAGGCAACUCUAACUUAUAGGCAACCUGUCCAAUCUUUUGUAUAACCUUAUAAGGCCCAUAGAAUCUCGGAGAUAACUUCCUAUUGUUGUGAAUUGACAAGCUUACUUGUUUAUAAGGCUGUAACCGUAGAAAUACCAUGUCUCCCACCUCAAAUUUCCUCUCGGAUUUCUUCUUAUCAGCAUAUAGCUUCAUUCGAGCUUGUGCAUCCACCAAAUUGGCUUUCAACAGACGUAUCAUAGCAUCCCUAUCCUUUAAGCUCAAAUCAACAGUUGCUACGGUAGAUGUACCAGGAAUAUAAGCAAUAUACGAAGGAGGUGGACUACCAUAAACAGCUUCGAACGGUGUCAUUCGAGUUGAUAAAUGAUAAGAAGUAUUAUACCACCAUUCAGCCAAAGGAAGCCAUUUCACCCAUUCUUUCGGCCUAUCACCUGUCAUGUAUCGCAAAUAUUGUUUUAAGCACUUGUUAACCACUUCAGUCUGACCGUCGGUUUGCGGGUGGUAUGCAAUGCUCAUUAACAAGUUCACAUUCAAUAAUGAAAACAGACUUUGCCAAAAAGUACUAGUGAAGACUUUAUCUCGGUCACUGACAAUAGAAUUUGGCAAGCCAUGCAACUUAUACACAUUAUCUAGAAAAUGUUGUGCAACAUCAAGAGCAGUAUAUGGAUGACUUAAGGGCAUGAAGUGUGCAUACUUACUCAGCCUAUCCACCACCACAAAAAUAAUUUGCUUACCACUAGACUUUGGCAGUCCUUCUAUGAAAUCCAUAGAGAUAUCAGUCCAAUUAUGCUCAGGAAUUAGUAAGGGCUGCAACAGACCUGGGGAUAACACAUUUUCAUGUUUAUUUCGUUGGCAAUUAUCACAAGCUGCCACAAAGGAACAAAUUUCCCUUCGCAUCCUUUUCCAAUAAAAAGACCGUUUAACUCUGUCUAAGGUUUUUCUAACCCCCGAAUGCCCACCUUCUGUUCCACCAUGAGCCUCAGACAUAAUUAGCUGCUUCAAGGCUGAAUGUUUGCCAACCCAAAGUCUCCCCUUAUACUUGAGUAAAUGGUUUUCCCAAGUAAAUUUAGAAUGUCGAGCACUGUUGGUAACUAUUUCUUGAAUCAAUUUCUGAAUUUCUAGAUCCUGUUGCCAUUCUUGUUUGAGUUGUUCCACCCACACACCUAUAGGAAGGGAGAUCGCCAUUACCAUCGCAUUCUCAGUGGAUUCCUGUAGCCGAGAUAAGGCGUCAGCCGCUUUAUUUUCUCUUCCACUUAAGAAAAUAAUUUCAAAAUCAUAACCAAUUAACUUAGUAAGCCAUUUCUGCUGCAUAGGUGUUGAUAUGCGCUGCUCCAACAUGUAUUUCAAGCUGAAAUGAUCAGUAAUAACCUUGAAAUGCUUCCCUAGUAAGAAAGGCCGCCAUUUUUGCACUGCGAACACUACUGCCAACAUUUCCUUUUCAUAAGCAGACAACCCCAAGUUUUUUUGUGACAGUGCCUUACUCAAAUAUGAUAUGGGUCUGCCUUCCUGCGAAAGCACUGCUCCUAUGCCCUCCCCUGAUGCAUCACAUUCAAGAACAAAGGUUUUUUGGAAAUCGGGCAUGGCUAAAACAAGUGCUGUGCACAUUGCUGACUUCAAGUUAUUAAAAGCUUCUUCCGCCGUAUGAUUCCAUAAAAAAUUAUCCUUUUUAAGCAAAUCUGUUAAGGGCCGACUAAUCUUCCCAUAAUCUUUUAUAAACCUCCUGUAGCACCCAGUAAGACCCAAAAACCCACGCAACGCCUUCAACGAGUUGGGAGAUGGCCAACACUUCAUGCUUUCAAUCUUUGCAGGGUUAGUAGCAACUCCUUGCUCAGAAAUCAAAUGUCUCAAAUAUUCUACUUGUUCUUUGCCAAAAUAACACUUUGAUUUUUUGACAAAAAGAUGAUUUUUGAGAAGCGUCUCCAGUACUAACUCCAAUUGCUUCAUGUGUUCAACCUAAUUUUUACUAUAUACUAAGAUAUCAUCAAAAAAUACCAGCACAAAUUUCCUCAGGAAUGGCUGAAAAAUUUCAUUCAUAAGGCUUUGGAAUGUUGAUGGAGCAUUCGUAAAACCGAAAGGCAUGACCAAGAAUUCAUAGUGCCCUUAAUGAGUUCUAAAGGCGGUUUUAAAGAUAUCAUCUGAGUGUACCCUAAUCUGGUGGUAUCCCAACCGCAAAUCCAGCUUAGAGAAAAACUUAGCUACAUGUAACUCGUCCAGCAGCUCAUCAAUAAUAGGUAUGGGAAAUUUAUCCUUAAUAGUGAUAGAAUUAAGGGCACGAUAAUCCACACACAUGCUCCAAGUGUCAUCCUUCUUUUUAACUAAGAGAAUCGAAGAAGAAAAUGGACUUACACUCCUCUGUAUACUCCCCGCCGCGAGCAACUCCUUAAUCAUUCGUUCAAUCUCUGCCUUCUGCACAUAUGGAUACCUGUAGGGUCUUAUAUUUGGAGGAACACUAUCAGGUAACAAGGGAAUUCAAUGAUCUUGAGCCCUAGGUGGUGGCAAACCUUUUGGUUCCAUAAAUACGCCAUGAUAUUUUUUUAAUAAAUGUUGCAACUCUACUGGUUCAUCUGUAAUGAUUUCUGUAGUAGUAGAGUUAAUACAUGGCUCUAAUAAAAGUGAAAAGAUAUGGGCAGCAGCAACUUGAGGAACUUGUUUAAGAUCCUUUUGCAUAUGGACUGCCGAAACUAACUUCAUGGGCCCCGCCGUAGAACCCCUUAACACCAUUCUUCUCCUUUCCCACUUGAACUCAAUCCAUAAAUUCUUGAAAUCCCACAAUAUUGGACCCAACUGAGAUAACCAUUGAAUUCCUAAUACCAUAUCGCAUGCCCCCAACGGAAUCAGUCUCAUAUCUGCUCUGAACUCUCUCCCUUGCAUACUCCAGACCAAUUGCUUGCACGUUGCAGCACUAGCAAUUUUGGAGCCAUUAGCCACUGCCACCAUUAAUGGUUUAUCUUGUUGUACUUCACACCCUGUCCGCUUGGCCACCGACACAUCCAAGAAAUUAUGAGUACUACCCGAAUCAAUUAAGAUGAUAAUUCCAUUCUUCUUUAUAUUUCCUUUAAUCCUCAUAGUUUGAUAAGAGACAACCCCAGACAUAGCAUGGAGAGACACCAAAUGAUCCUCUUCAUCAUCCCCAAUUUUGUUGCCUUCAUCACUGAGUUCUUCAUCGUCUUCUCCUUCCAACAAGUAAAUCUGCCGCUGUUUACAUUUGUGCCCUGGUUCAAACUUCUCGUCGCAGUAGUAGCACAACUUCUUAGCCCUCUUCUCUUGCAUUUCUGCAGCAGAUAUUCUUUUGAUUUGAGGAAUUUGCCCCAUAGAAUUGCGUUUCGAUUCUGCUGUAGGGAUUACAUGGGAGGACAUUGUCCUUGUUGAAGCCUUGGCUUCUUUGAUCAUUGCCUCCAAGGUACUCUCUUGUAAUAAGGCUAACCCAACUACUUGAAUCAGCGUUUUCGGCUGAAACAUGGCUACCUGAUUCUUUAUGGCAUCUCUCAAUCCGCUCACAAAGCAUUGCACAAAAAAAUCUUCCGAUAAUCCUCGAGUUCUGGCCACCAAUGCUUCAACUUGUUCUUGGUAAAGCCUUACUGUUGAAGUCUGCCUUAACUUACUAACCUGUCCAACCAGGUUAUCAUAGGUAUCCGGACCGAACCGCGCCAUUAAAUCCGUAGAAAAUUGCCUCCAACUAGGUUCUGCAACAGCCACCUCAUAUCCUUGGAACCACUCUAACGCUUUUCCUUCCAAAUGAAUGGUUGCCAAUCCCACCAUAUCAGAUUCUUCCACCCCAUUGUAUUUGAAAAACCGUUCACACUUGUAGACCCAACCACUAGGAUUUUCUCCCUCAAAUGUUGGAAAAUUCAAUUUUGAAAAUCUCAUAUGUGAGUUAUACAUACCAGAGUUCGACCCGGUUCUUAGCUUUGUGGGAAUACUACUCCCACCUUCCGAUCUUAUUCCCGAAGCCCCUGAUGUGCCCAUUAUCUGAUCAAGUUUGAGACUGAUCGCUGCCAUCAUUUGAGAAAACUCCUUCAAUUCCAUUGCCUGUUGGUUAGAAGCCUCUUGCAAUUGUUGUACCGAUUCUUCUAGACGUCGCUGAUCGUGUGCUCUAGUUCCCUUCACCAUUUUUUACGGUGCCAAUUCGCUGCUCUAAUACCAAUGAAACAGCCAGGAAGAAGAAACACUAAUUUGACAAAAAAUCUGAUUUUUUAUUGAUAACUUUUUUCUCCCCCUUUGCAGCAGCCAACCCACUUCUUUAAAAGUCAGAGCCAAAGAGCCUACACUGAUUAAGCCACUAUUUCUGGAAGAAAACACUCCAAACAAUUUUAAAUAACAAAAACAGUAAUUCAAAACACCUAAAAAAUAGCUAAUGGAAAUAAUCCCAAAAUAAAAUAUUGUCAAAAAAUAAAAGGUCAUUACAUAAGACUGACCAUGAUACCCCAGCCGUCCAAGUCACUGGAAAAUAGCCAUAACAUCGGCGACCAAAGCUUGAAAAACCCGCGACUUUUCCACCUCACUCUGCCAGGAUUUUCGCUGGUUUUUGGUGACACCACCGGCUGGAUUUUGUUCCCCACGACUCCUUCUUCAAUUCCCGACCAUCCACAGCCACCGGGAGUCACUGUUUCGCCGCGGGCCAAUUGUUGGACUUUCACGGCUGUCAAGCUAGAUUCUGGCGUCGUUGCCGCGCGUGAGAGGUCACCACCGGUACCAUUAGACCCAGAGUGGUCGAACCUUUCAGACCUGAGCUUCCCGAUCUUCGUUGCUUGAAUUCAGGACACCGUUGACCAGCGAGGGCAAUUCGGUAAUUUCACAAUUUGGGGGCAAUUUUGUAAUUUCCGACACUAUGGAGAUUUUAGUAAUUUCUAAAAUUGGGGAUUGGUUGUAAUAAUGAUUCCGAGAGUAAUUCAGUGGUUUACGAUCUCAGAAUAUUUUAAUGAUUUACGGAGUCGAGGGUAUUUUAGUAAUUUUAUCGACACGGGAGUUGUAAAUUAUGGAGAGAUGUUUGUUUUGAGUUUAUUGCAUAAAUUUAGUCUUAACUCCAAUUUAUAAAAAAUAAUUAUGUCGUUUCCAUAAUUUAGGAGGAUCCACGAGCCAGAACCAGUCCACGGGCGUAGACGAUAACAGAGCGUGAACAUUAUCACUGUGAGUGGAAUAUACAAAACAAAUUUCAUAGUUAAUUAUGAUAGUAAAACAUGUUUGCGAAAUAAAUAUUUUAAAUGUUCUGAUUUAAUUAUUUUCUUGAAAUGAAUUUUAUUCACGCAUUGAUAUUAUAUUAAAAUGUUUUGUUAAAGGUUUUUCAUAUCGACUUUGAAUAAAUAUGAUAUUAUUUUUAAAAAUAAGAAAAGUGAAUUUAGAUGUGAUGAUGAAAAGAAGAGCAUGAUUUAAAAUAUGGUUAAAAUGUAUAUGAAUAUGAGUAUAGAUAUCGUUUUUAAAAUUAUUGGACAAUACUAACCAUCGUGGCUUUCCCUUGAGAAUACCAUAUAUCCAAUUGACAAUCCAAUCACCAGUACAAAUGCAUCCCCCACUUCGCCAUUUUCCAAUCAAACCCGCUUGAAGUUUCAUCUUUUUCGUCAUCAAUAGAAACUGAAGGAUGCACUUUAAUUCGACACCUUGGUUUGAGGAAUGAGUUGUUUUAGAAGAAUAGCGAUGGAAAGACGAUGAAAAAUCAACUUGAAAAUUAUAACCAAACAAAAGGAAGUAGAAGAACAAGAGAGUACAGCAGACUUGGUUAUAAUGCCAUAUGAACUUCUCCGUGGUUACUAGGAAUUAAUACAAAGAAAUGCGACGAUUACUUACAUAUGUCUAAUUGUUGAGAGGUAGAUAGAUGGGUGUUAUAUUCAUUACAUGGACCGUAUCUUUGGUCUUUUAUGUUUCAUUUCCAGGCUGGGCAUGUUGCGAGUUGGUGAAAGAUUGAUUCAAAUAAUAUAUUUAAUAUUUUCUAAGAUGCAUGAAACAGAAUGCAAUGGACAAAAUGUAACAUAUGGGAAAAAAAAAGUGAGGUGGUUAAAAAGUAAAUAAAAGUAAAAGAAGAAGCUGGAAAUGGGGAAACAUGUACACGUGUGGGAGAGAGAAGCUGUUAAAACCGACCCAAAAACCCAACCCGUUUGACCCAAAAUCAACCUGGCCAUAUCUUGUGGUUCCGGUCACCCCACCAGCCAAGUUUGGUACUAAUCUGAAGCUUGAAGACCGGCCAUCAUCCCCUAGCCGUCCAUGUCGUCGGAAAAUAGCCAGAACAUCGGCGACCAAAGCUUGAAAAACCCGCGACUUUUCCACCUUGCUCUGUCGGGAUUUUCGCCGAUUUUGGGUGACACCACCAGCUGGAUUUUGUUCUCCACGACUCCCUCUUCAAUUCUCGACCAUCCACAGCCACUGGGAGUCACUAUUUUGCCGACGGCCAAUUGUUGGAGUUUCGCAGCUGCCGAGCUAGCUUCUGGCGCCAUUGUCGCUCGUGGGAGGUCAUUGCCGGCACCAUUAGACCCAGAGUGGCAGAAACUUUCAGACCUCAGCUUCCCGGCCUCUAUUGCUUGAAUUCAAGUCACAUUGACCGGCGAGGGUAAUUCGGUAAUUUCACAAUUUGAGGGUAAUUUUUCAAUUUCUGACCCUAUAGAGAUUUUAGUAAUUUUUGAAAUUGAGGAUUGGUUGUAAUUAUGAUUCCGAGAGUAAUCAAGUGGUUUACGAUCUUGGAAUAUUUUAAUGAUUUACGGAGUUGAGGUAUUUUAGUAAUUUUAUCGACACAGAGUUGUAAAUUAUAGAUAGAUGUUUGUUUCGAGUUUAUUGCAUAAACUUACUCCUAAUUCUAAUUUAUGAAAAAUAAUUAUGUUGUUUCCUUAAUUUAGGAGGAUUUGCGAGCGACAAUCAGUCCGCGGGCGUGGACGAUAACCGAGCGUGAACAUUGUCACUGUAAGUGGAAUAUACAAAACCUAUUUUCAUAGUUAAUUAUGAUAGUUAAACAUGUUUGCGAAAUAAGUAUUUUAAAUGUUUUGAUUUAAUGAUUUUCUCGAAAUGAAUUUUAUUCCCACAUUGAUAUUAUAUUAAAAUGUUUGGUUAAUGGUUUUCCGUAUCGACUUUAAAUAAAAUAUGAUAGUAUUUUUAAAGAUAAGAAAAGUGGAUUUAGAUGUGAUUAAUAAAAGAAGAGCAUGAUUUAAAGUAUGGUUAAAAUGUAUAUGAAUAUGAGUAUAAAGAUUGUUUUUAAAAUUAUUGGACAGUGCCUAACCCUCUAGAUACAGUGAUACAUAUGAUAUGAGAGGUCUUUGGGGUCUGUCUGAACACACAUUGAGGCUUUGGGCUGUGUGUUUGGGCGCUUCUGCCUUUUAGGGGCAUAUGCAUGUGAUAUAAUGAUAACAGUGAUAUAGAUACAAAUGAUAUAGAUGAGAUACAGAUCUUUGGGGCCCAUCUAAGUACACACAGAGGCUUUAGGGGCUAGAUAGAUAUAAUGAGAUAUGAGAUAGUAUUUCUCAAUCUAUACGUGUGGCUCCGAGGCGUGACGGUACCUAUAUAGUACGUCAUUGCCUGUCCGUUGAGGUCCAGAUACAACGAGAUUAUUCUCCUGAGUACUUGUUUAGUGAUAAUUUUUAGAUUUAUGUAUAUUAUAUGAUAUUGUGAUAUGAUUUCCAUGGUUAUUACGUACGAUAUUAUAUAUGCUCUUCAAGAUUAGUAAUCUGAUUUAAAUGUUAAAUGAUUUAUUAAUGGUUUCUCGCAUGUGGUUUGAUAAAAUCAUAUUUGGAAAUGAUAUGAUUAUUAUUUAUUUUUUAAAAUUACUAUCCACUCACUGAGCUCACUGAAUUUUAUAUUGAUUCCAUUUUUAUUAUAUUUCCCCCUCCAACAAGAGGUUGCAGGUAUAUUAGACCGACCAGUGACUGUAAAUAUAUUUUGAGUAUUGGCUACGUGAUGGUGUUAGAGGAUAUAGAUGAAUUUUAUUUUUUGUUAGAACAUCCUGAUCAUUUUGUUCUGUUGAGAUUAGAUUAUAUAAUUUUGUUAUAUUAUUCUUUUGGGAUUAAGAAUAAACUGAUGUAUAUUAAUAUUAGUUAUAAUAUAAUCUUUUGAUACUUUGGAGGUAUUUUGAGUAAAAUUCAGUAUUUUUGUUGAGAAUGUUGAUCAUUGGAGCUGGUUUUAGAUUGAAUUACUUUGGGGAGUAUUAUAUUCAUAUUUGUAGAUUGAGAGUGUUAUAUUUAUAAAGGAAGUUCUGCUAAAUUUUCUGCAGAAUUAUCACUAAUUAGAUUAUUAUGAAGUGUGUUUUGAUAGGACUAGAUUGUCUCGCUCGAGAGAUUUGGGGCAGGUGGUUUCACAAAAAUAUAAAUUUCCAUGAAAUGCACGAUCCUCCAAUAUCAUUUAUUUGGAUUUGUUGACUGAAAUCCAACGGAUGCAAGGGUUAACGGAAAAUUUAAAAAAAAAGUAGUGGAUCACCGGAUGAACGGGUUAAGGGUUUCAAAAUUAUCAAAUUUUUCGUUUUGUUUCGUAAGUCAUCACCAAACACGCAUACUGUUACCAAAAUGUGUUCACGUUAAGGGUUUCAUUAUUUGACCUAGUAAGUGCAAGCUGAAUACGCAGGGUUUUAAUUUCACAGUGUGGCCUUGAUUGAGGAAUCUCAAUUUAAAAAUAUAUUGUAAGCAUGUUUAAUCAUCCUUGUGAACCGGCUUUCAAUAUUUGCCCCAGUUUAAUGAUAUCAUGUGAGCGCUUUGCAGUUAUCUAGCCGUUGAAGGCCUUGUUUCUGUUAUGAAUCGAAGUGUUAUCCAAACGCUUUUAUUGUUUCUAUUUAAUUUCAAAUUAAUGACAAGUUACGCGAUUUAGGUGAUACGAUUACAUGGCACUUACGCCCAUGGAAAGUAAUAAAAAAUACAGUAAAAAAUAGCUGCUGUGACAUCAAUAAUAACUACAAUUUUUUAAAUUGAUAUUUUUUAAAAUUAAAAGUAAUUGAUAGCUACUAUUAUAUUGAUGUUGUCAUGUUGUAAUAAAUGGGUAGAGUUGUCUUUUUCAUUUUUUUAUGAGAGUAGAUCAGCUAUGUUCUCUUUUUUUUUCCUUCCAUUUUUUAAAGUUUAUUUUAAUAAAACUAUAUUUCCAAUUUAUUGGACAUUGAACUCAAACUCGUGAGCUCUGCUUUCACUUCGGAAGUUAUGCCAAGUGGUCAUCAUUUGACAUAAUAUUUAAUAACAAGUACCUAAAUAGUGGGGAUAGACAAACUCAAUUCAACGCAAUAGCUCCUAUCUAAUCCCAUCUAGUUUUGAUUAAUUGAGUUGACUAUUGUAGGUUAAUUGGGUCAUUUUUUCUAACUCAAUUAAUAAUUAGGUUUGGUUGAGUUAAUUAUGAAGAACUUGUCUAAUCCAACCCAACCUAGGAAAAUAAGAAUAAUAUGUUAAUCUUCAAUUAUAAAACCCUAAAGACUCAAAUGACCAACAUAAUUUUUAACAUUUUUUUAUUAUUUUAUAAAAAAGACUAUUCAAUAGUGUCUAGUGAUCCGGACUUUAAUUUCAAAACUAAAAUCACUCUUUCAUGUAAGUAAAUUUAUUACCUUUUAAGUUUAAAUUUUGAAAGUAAGUUGGUUUCAAUUUCUCUUUAUUUUUAUGUAAACAAUUGAUAGUACAUAAUUAUAAACAACUUUCAUUUAUUACUACUUACUAGAUAUGAUGCUAGCUAAUUAUCUAAAAGAUCUAAAUUUAGAAUUAGAAAAGAGAGAUGCAAGAAUUCGGGAAUAAAGUUUAGAAGCUCAUGGUUGAAAUUUUAUUAAAUUUAAGAUAGUUGAUUUUUUAGCUUUUUUUUAAUCAAACACUAGAUAAUGAAUAGAAUUUUCAUGUUAUAAUAGAUUUAUCUUAUUUUAAUAAAUUUUAAAUUUUUUUUUAAACUUUAAUUUUGAUUUGACAUUCAACCAAUCAUCCCAAUUCAACUCAGUCCGAUUAGAUUAAGUUAAACAUACUUAUUUAGUUGGAUUGUGUUGAUUUUAUCUUAAUUCAUUUAAAAGCGGGCUAGUGUCAUGACCCAACUUAGACCCGACAAGAUAUUGUCCGCUUUAAAACCCGCAUGGUUUUGUUUCUGGAGUGCCAUACACCUCAAAAUGCUUCAACUAGAGAGAUAUCUUGAAUAGGAGAAGUAGACAUCCACAUGGACGAAUUAUAGCGACAAAUUUCAAAGCCAUUUCCAACAUGAACGGUCUCAAAGCUCGGACACUCAAUUCUGUUUAGAGAUGGCAAAAUUUGGGUCCGGGUUUGUCCAUUCCGGUUCCGGACCCAGAUGACAAUUUGCUAUUCCAGAUUCGAAAAUAAACCCGGAUUUUUUAACUCCGAGUGCGAACCGAGUUCAACCACAUGGACAUCCACAUGGAGAAGUAGACAUCUACAUGGAUGAGUUAUAGCGACGAAUUUCAAAGCCACUGCCAACAAGAACGGUCUCAAAGCUCGGACACUCAAUUCUGUUUAGGGAUGGCAAAAUCUGGGUCCGGGGUUGUCCAUUUCGAUUCCGAACCCGGAUGACAAUUUGCUAUUUCGGAUUCGGAAAUAAACAUGGAUUUUUAAACUCCAAGUGCAAACCGGGUUUAACCUGUAAAAAUCCAGGUUUCCACAAUCCGAGUUUUGAACCUGGAUGGGCACCAUUUUUAGGCUUGUUCUUGAGUAGAAAACUAGAGUAAGGGCCCUGUCAACGUUCAACUUUACAACUUUUUUCCAUCACCGAUUGCUUCAAUAUCAAAACAAGAGUAAUAUUUAAAUCAAAGGGAAAAAUUGAUUAAAGAAUAUAACAAAUCAGUGAAGCAAAAAUGCAAAACAAAACCCACAUUUUGUGAUUGUCAGCUUUUCAUCAUCAAACAAAAGCUAAAAUGAUAGUAAAAUAGAACACAUAAGGCAACGGGAAUGAAAACCCAACGAAUUUGUGCCGCCGGUCACUGCUUCGUAUACGUCUGUGAAUGCUAAAUCUUCACUUCGUGUGUGAUUGUCAGCCGCCAGUUGUGACUGUGAAUGAGUUUAGGAGUUACUAAGAGAUUCAAGCCUUUGAUGAUGCUUGAUGAUGAACUAAUGAUGAUGAUUGGUGACGAAUUGAUGAAUUUGGGAGAUGAAAAGGAGAGGAAAUGGUGGCGGAGAUGAAAAGGAGAGGCUAUGAAUUAAGGAAUUUAGGAGAUGAAAAGGAGAGAAAAUGGUGGCGGCAGCUAAAAGCAUGAAAAUGCAAAUUAGGGUUUGUGUGUGUGUGUGCGCGCGCGCGCGUGUUUUUCAUUGAUUUUUUAUUUUUAUAUUUAUAUUAAAAAUAAAUGUAUGCAGGUCCAAGUUCUGGACAUACGGGUUCAGCUGAACUUGAAACCGGACCCGAAUAUAUCCGGGUUUAAAAAAUGUGAUAUCAUAUCAUAAUUUUAUUAUACUUUGGUACGGGUUGAACCAGGACGGAAUGGUCCGAGUCUGGGCCGGGUCCAGAAAAAACUGCCAUCUCUAAUUCUGUUGCAUGUUGGUGGAAACAUUUUCAGCCCCUUUGAAGAUUCAGGCCAUAAACCCAAGUUCAGAUUUGAGAGUAGGCCCAGAAGAACUGAAAGCUUUAACCAUUUUUGUUUUUGAGUGGAGAGACUUUUGGGUGCUCGUUGGUGAGGAUAAUGAAUGAAUAAUGCCUCAACGCAAAAAUAUUUAUCAGCCACAGUGUUUGUGUUUUUUGAACUGAUGAUUUUCUUGAGGUUCAUGUGAAGACACGUGUUGUAACUCUUUCCAUUUUUAAUUUAUCGAAAAAUCGAAAUUUAUGGAAAAAUGCUGACCAAAUGGGUUUGAUGAUACGGCUGACUUUUACUGUUUAACCUUUUUAACCAAACAAUUCAAUUUAGUAAUAAGUUGAGUUUUAAAAUUAUAAAUUUUAAUUUAUUUUUUCACAAAUUUUGAGAUUAAUUUGUAUUAAUAUUAUAAGCUAAAUGGUACAAUAUUUAUGUAUUACAUCGCGUAAGUAAUGUCGAUUAUAGUAAGAGACAUCACCACAUGACAACUUCUCAUUAAAAGAUUGUAGGAUUAUUUGUAGUUUAAUUGACUUAAUUUCAAUCAAUUAAGCAAUUAAAUUUG
rnacentral:lncRNA from 1 species